UAAUAGUUGUUUUUUUGAACCAUAUGUUGUAUGACUCAAGUUUCCUUGCAAACCAAUCGGCUUGUGCUUUUGUUAGAAUUUAUUUUGUUUCUUAUUCUUUUUUGAAUCCAUUCAAGGUAUAGGUCUUGGCUAAAUAAUACGUCAAGCCAUAAAAAAAUAAACCUAAAGAAAUUAGUCACACGAGCAAUAGAGACAGACACACGAGCUUUGUUGUAGGUGAAAGUACCUUUUGAGACUUUCGUGUGAAUUGGUUGGGGAACGUUUUGUUGUUGAUAAAGUUUGGGAUUAGAGAAUAUUAUUCCCAUUUAUCUUUUACAGAUAGAUUAUCCUUUCAAAAGAAAGUUUUAUUUCAGUAUCCUUCUUUUGAAGUCAUAAGGUUAAGAAAGACUUCCAAAUUUCGCAUAUUAUUCAGUGUACAAAUGAUAAUAAAAGAAAGAAGUUUUUUAUAAGAAAAUUGUGGCAAAGUAUUUUAGUUCACAAGAGAAUAGUACGUUGUGUUAAGAAAUGUAACUUGUAAAUAUUACUGAAAACAAAAAACAACCCUAGAAAAUAAACAAACACACAGAGGCUACAAUACAUGACCACAUACGCUUCUGGAGGAGCUUCUUCUGCCUAUUAUUCAUUCCAUCAUGGUGGUUAGAACAAGUAUGUAUCACUAACCCUACAAAUCUCACAUUUUUUACCACAUAUACACCACAUCAAUCCAGAGACCACCAAUACUUCAGGACAAACACCGCAAUUUCUUUGUGACAAGCUCUUUCACAUUAUGUUGCUUUCCUCGAGCUUGACUUCCCCACUUUACUUUUCCACGCUCCCUGCACACACAUUCAAAAGUAAAGCACAUAUCAGAACUUUCUGGCUAUAUUGCUUGUAAUAUUUAAGAGGAAGGUAGGUAAGUACAAGAGUCUCAUUGUCAGAAGUCUCAGCAUCCUCAGCAUCAUGCUCAGAUUCUGUCUCCAUUUCUUUGUUUUCUUGUUUCCCUUCAGUAUCUGAGUUAUCAUGUUCAGCUUCUUUCCCCUCAGCGUCCCCACUCAACUCUGUUUUUGCCUCCUGUAAAUCUUCUUCCAUAUUUAAAACUUCAUCAUCAUCCUCGCCUUCUUUCAACGACUUUCCUUCAGACUCUGAUUUUUCUUCGCCAACCUCCCCACUAUAUUCUGUCCCUGAUUCUGUGCCUGAUUUCACUCUUUUUCCUUUUUUCUUUCCAGCAACUUCACCUACUUGAAAUUUCAAAAUAGAAUAACUCAGUAAAAAAUAUAUAUAUUGUAUUGUGUAAUAUGAUUAACGCCGUUGUUGUAUGUAUAUUUGCAUGAUAGUAAAUAGGUUGAAAGGAUUUAGAAACAGAGGAUCCCAAUGGAGCUUACUAGGCAUGGCAGAAGAUCGAUUUUUCCUGUUUCUGUUUUCUGGUUUCUCAUGUUCUAAAGAGAGACUUCUUCGUGUGCCUUUUGGGUGUGUAUGUUUUAGGUUUUUCUUUGGAGUUCUUUUCCCUUUUGGCCUACAAAAGACAGCAGUCCCGGUAAAACAAAAUGUUUAACAGAAGAAAUGCAGAAGAUACGCAAAAAAUAGGGGAAAAAAUCAAUAAAUGACCCGUAUUAUUUGGAUUUCUAAUGACAGAAUUUCGCUUACGUAGUAGAAAUUGGCUCUUCAUCCUUUUGUAGGCUAUCCGAACUCUUAAGCUUACUUUCAGAAGAUCUAAACAAAACAAAAGAAAACUAUUGUUGUGAAUAAGACUAAAGCAAAAUACAAGGCGAACUGCACUACAAAAAGAUGCAAUAUCUGCAGUUGCAGAGAGUAAGUGCUACCUUUUCUUAUUGGAACUUCCCUUUGAUGUUUUGGACUUCUGCAGUAGGUACAAAUACUGUAAGCAUAUUUAUUAAGCUAAAAGGAACAAACUCGGUAGAUGAUUAGAAAUGGUGAAGAUAAACUGAAAAUAGAACCCGAAAACCAGAAAAUGAACCUUCGCAGGCUUUCUACCGGUGUCUAUGAGCUCCCACCGUUCUUUAUCUAGGUUAAGUACUUCAACAUCUCCAUCCUCGUAAAGUAUCUGCGAUAUCAUAUGGAUAAAGUACAGAGUUGGCAGGACCAACUAACCCAAGAAAAGGACAAAGAAGAAGCAAAGUGCUGAAAGCUUACCACAUGUCUCUGUUUUGUGGAAUCAUAAGAUUUCACUGUCCCUUCAUAAAACCUAUUUAUUUCACCAAGAUGCAAUUUCAGGUGAGAUAAAUGUAAAAAAAGAUACCAAAUUUUGUUGGAAAUGAAUGAUUGCAUCAGAGGAAUUCUAUGUAACAAAGCUUCUAUAAAUGGGCACAAGACAAAUUAACUCCUUAACAGUGUAGAUUUGCAUGGAUGUCAGAAUAACAAAAUUCGAAUGAAGACAAUGAGACCACUUUUGCACUGUCAAUCCGAAGAAAGUCACUUCAAAUAUGCUUACCGUUUAUCCAUAGGCCACCAAACAUCUAUUCUGCAACCGAUCAGUUCAUCAUUUACCAAUUUAUUUUCGUUUGUCGAGCACUGGACAAGAAAUUAUGUCAGACAAAAUGUUCAAUUACCACAAAAGUGACACAUCAAUGGAAGGAAGGUAAAGCUCCACACCUUAACCAAUCCUGACAUGUUUUUUCUUUUUCGCUUCAUUGAUCCAGAAGCAGACUUUAAUUUGCUAUCACCACUUUCAGCUGACCUACUCUGCUUUUGUUCGAGUAGAAAAGUUUGCAUAUUGAUUAAAUAUCAAUAAGUUGAACUAGAGUGAAAUAAAGCAAAGGGUAAAAUGCUAUUGAUGAUUUGUACCCUCUCACUGUAGUUGCCACCUUCGCUUUGAUUUUCCAGAUCAGUGAGAGCCCAAUCAGAAUCUGUAAUCUUUACUUUUGAUGAUAAGCUUUUCUUUCUCUUUCGGGGAGAGAUGGUUUCUAAUCUUUUCUCCAGGUCUGAAUUUUCAUCCUGCGAGUCCAAAGAGGCAUUUUUGUCUAUGUCUCCCUCUUGAUGAAACUCUUCUUCAGAAGCUUUUAAUGGAACUUUAGAACCACUAUUUGAAAAUUUGUAAGGACUAUGGCCAGAAGAUGAUCUCCUGCGCUUAGGGACCGAAACUACCGAUGUUGCAUCACCAGCAUUCUUUUUGUUAUCAUUGAGAUCUCUUUGACAUAUGUCUACUCUCUCACCAGUGGGAUGUUUGUGUCCAUUACUCGAUUCGAAUUUAUCUAGCAUUUGCAAGUGAUCAAAGUUUAUCUCCCUCACCAUCUUCAAAACAUCAACAUCAUUUUUACCAUUCUCAUCUUCAGCUGGUACAGAUUUAUUCUUUUUGCCCUUUCUAGUCUUUGUUCCCUGAGCUCUCAAACGCUCUACAAUUUUACCCAGAGGAAUUUCAUUUCCAUCACUUUCUCCAUCAAUCAUAACCUCAUUUUCUGAAGUUUGGGGUAUUACCUGCAAGGGAAAAGAUGGAUAAAUACAGAAAUCACUAGGUACCGCAACACAGAUUUAAGAGUUAAAUAACAUACAGAAGCAUCAGCAUGACUCUCCAACUUCAGAUCCCUGAAGUGUGCCACCACAGUCUCAUCAGCUAGCCACAGUUUCUCCUCACCUACCUGACAUGGGUUAUAAAACACAAACCAGGAAAAUAUAUGAGGUUAAACGCCACGAAUCUAUAAGCAAAGGCGGCAGACAGUAAUAUUGCCAAAGAUUAAAUGAAGCAAACUCAUCAUGAAAAUUUGCGCACACAACCAAAAAUCUUCUGGGUUCUUACCUGAGACUUGUCACUUUCAACUUUUUCAAAAGGUUUGUAAAGAGUCGCAGGCAGCGAUACAGGUGUGAUUUCCCCUUGUACAUCAGGCUCUUUCUGAGUUAAGCGAUUGAUUAUUGACAGCCCAAGCUCACAGAUCGCAUGUGAGUUCUGUUAAUAUAAGGUAUGAGAUGUCAGCUCCAUGGCACCACAACAAUGACAAGUAGUGUGAUUCAUUGUACCGGCAUGCUUAGAAUCAUUACAAAAAAAAAAGUAGUCCUGACAUGGCAGUUGUAAAAUAGAAGAAGCUCAAGAAGUCUUUUACCAACCUUUGACUUUGUUGCAUCUGUGACAUCUUCUGACUGUUUUAAACUUUGGAAAAUAAGAAUUAUGGUUGGAACACACUCUUGUUCCUUGUCAAUAUCCUCAGCCUUCACGUCUUCCUCUUUACGGAGCAACAUAGAAAUGAUCAAGUAUAAUUGGCUGAAAUAAACAAUCAGAAAUAGUAAGCAUAAAAUAUCAAUAAGAAAAAACAAAUAACUGAAAUCAUAAAUUUCACAGUUACAGAAAGAGAAAAAGUGGUGGCAUGUAGAAAGAAUACCGGUAUAUCAUUUCAUAUUCCUUCACGUCUUUGCAUUUCUCAACGUCAGGACAAGAAUGAUGUGCAAGUGCAUGAACCAGAUAAGGAAGGAUAUGAUGAGGGUAGAGAGUAACUGAAUUUGCAUCUGCCUGAGCAGAAAUUUUCCGCAGUUUUGUUUGAUAAGAAUGUUGUAUGAUAUCAGCUAGGUUGUGUUUCUCCUGUAUGUCAAUACAGACGCAUCGUUUAUAGCCAGAUUGUCAACAUUUUGACGCAGAAACAUUAAAUAUGUGCUUUCAAGUAAAGGGUGAUCAUACCUCCUCUGAUUCGAGAACAUUUGAUCCAGUAAUAUCAAAUAGGAAGGAACAGGCAUACUUUGUCUCUAAAACCCGAUCCUUUACAUACUGGUGAACUUUCCCGAGGAAUAUUUUCUUAGCAGCAGGAAAUGGUAUCUACAGGAAAGGUUAAGAAAGAAUGAUAAAAGUCAAAAUAGAACCCAGAUCAGAUGAAGGAUUGAAUGGGAGGUGUGAAUUGAAUAGAAAAGUAAAGGAAGUUACCUCAGGGGUUUUUAAAGUUAAAUGGAAGAUCUCAAUAGGUAUUCUAUCGUCCCAAUGUCUGGAAAGGCGGAGGACUGCCUUUGCAGCAGCAAGUCUCAAAUGGGCCUUGUCAACAAAACUGUAGCGAGGUUGAGCAUGAGUGCCUUCAAAUAUUACAGAAAAUGACAUCUUAGCAUAUUUAACACAUCUACGAACCUUGAUUCUAGAUCUUCAGAUACUUCCCCAAAAGAAAGAAUGUUUUUAAGUAAUCCAAGAAGAUCAUCAACACCCACACGGAGAUGAGCAUCCUUAAAAGGCAAGUAGCUCUUAACCAACGUCUUUAUCCCAUAUAUCUAUCAAGAAAAAAACAGUUUUAAACUAACUGUACAAGAGAGAAAUUACCUGAUCACUUUAACAUAAGGUCAAACAAACAUUGGUAACUAUAAGUGAAGUCAGAUAUAAAAAACGUUUCGUCAGGUACCAACCUUCAGUUGACAAAUUUCACUUUUGUCAUCCCAUGAUAAUUUUUUGUCAUCUACAGUUUCCUGCAAAGAGGUUUAAGUGUCUUCCAAUAAAAAACGAAAAGAGACCUGGGAAACUAGUGAAAGAUAGUGAGGUCUUGCAGGAAAUACAUACACUUUUGAGCUUGAGGAUUUUGCUUCUAAUAAACUCAACUACUUCACUUUCUCUAGUCUCAUAGACUGGCAUCGCAAUCUGCGAUAUGCAUCCAAGACACUGAAGAACAGCUGGCUGAUGUCUCUUGUCCUCCAGCAUGUCCACGAGUCUCUACAAAUCAAGUAUAAAACCAGAUUUUACACAAGCUAAUUAUUAACUACAGAUAAUGAUAAUUUUAAGCAAAGUAUCCAUGGGAAAACAGAACUGUCACCUUGUAUAGAACAGAGAGCGACUUCAGCCCAUCAUCUUUUGUUAUUGAUGCUAGUGCGUGCACAGCAUACUUAGCCUGCUUUCGGUUUCCUUCAACACAAAUCCUUUCCAGUAAAAGUUCCACAGAACUUUAAUAGGACAAUAGGAGAAACAAUAUAAAUCAGAAAUACGAAACUAGCAAAAGAGGUGAGCUCAAGCUUGAUGAAAAAGAUGAAUAUAUAAAUCGACAGAACUGAGAAUUCCACCUUGCUAAAACAAUGAGAUUCUCUCGAAUAGUACCACCAGCUUUUGCCAGAAUUUUUAGAGUACCCUCCUUUAUCCUUUCAUCAUCAUCUUUAAGGAAACUAAUCAGUUCUUCCUCAGCACCAUCAAACAAUGAUGGACAGAAACAUGCCAGGAGCUAAAAAAAUCAAUGCACAAGCAUCAAUCUGGUGGAGUUUCUAAUAAGUAAAAGUAAAAAUGUUCAUGAGCAUGGAAUAUAAUCGGCUAGAAUAAAUGUUAAAACAAAAAUAUUGACAGAAAGUUAGAAAAUCUUAAAUGAUGUGUCACAUAAAUUUUUACCCCUAAGAAGUCCAUGCAUGGUUGGAUCCCCAAUAUAUUUUGAGAAGACUUUCUAGCAGAUACUUCGGCUAAUAUCUCUUUCACAUAUUCUUUGCUGAAUAGCAGAUAAGAACACUUUAUGGAGAGAAUGCUGAGAAAUUCAUAGAGCGAAUGUUUCUCAGACAGUAUUUUAAGCAUAUCAUCCUGCACACAAAUUAAAACCAGAAACCAGUUAUAUGGUUGCCGAAAGCAAAUCUAAAUGUAAAUACAAACUUCUUGUUAUUCUCACCCGAAUCCUGGACGCUUGCAUUAUGCUAGUGUUGGGAUCAAGCAGAUUGGUCAAAAUCUUCCAGAUAUUAGCAUCUUUCAGUUGAUCAAGAAUUAAAAAGUUUUGCUCAGUCUUUGGGGGGUCGGAAAAUAAACGUGACAUAACUCUGAAUCCAAAUGAGAUCUUUUUCUGCAUCUCAGGAGCAUCAGCACUCUGCAUUCAGACAGAACAUAAGGCUCUAGAUGGUGAAAUUCAAAAGGAAAAAUUCAAACCAAAUAUUUUUUAUAAAAAAGAACUCUUCAACUACGUCGAGACGAACCUGGUGUGUCUGCUUGAUUGACAAAUAUCUUUGCAUUUCUUGUUGUAUCCUAGAGGUCAAAAAAAAAUUCCAAGAUCAAUCGUCAAAAUCCAAAACUGAAAACCAUAAAAAUCAUUCAAGUGCAAUAAAAUGUCAUCAUAUAUACCUUUGUCUUUGCUCCAGUAUUUUCUCAAAAGCUUUGGUCUCCACUUUGUCAAACCCAGAGAAGAUUUGUAUCCAAUGCUUAGCUUUAUCUCUUACAGAGAAAUCAUUAGGAAACAGUGAACUGCAUAGGAUAUAUUCAACUGUGUCUGAUCUGCAACACAAAAAAAUAUUUAGAACAUUUUCGCGAAGGUAAUAUGAUCAUAUUCAACUGGACUUAAGUAAACCACAAAAAUAUAUAAGAAAAGGAGCAAGGUUUUAAAAAAAAAUUAGGUAAAUGUCCUACCUGAAAUCUUUGUCAUAAAGACAUCUCAGGAUUUUUCCAGGAAUCCAAUCAAAAUCCCCAGUGCAUACCUUCCCAUCAGCAUACCGUAAGCAAUAUACCCGGAACAACUCCGUCAACCUUUCCAUAGUGUAUGUUUUUACGAGUAUCUGAUUUAGACAAAGAUCUAUGAGUUCAAAUGUCUUUCAAAUUUUAGUAUACAACUAUCUGAGACAACCAGACUGAAUGCAUAAAACGUACAGCUUUGUCUCGAAGCCGUUCAGCAACUAACUUCAUAGUGUCAACUGGAAUUGACGUCAAUGCACUCACAGCCACAUCACAAAUAACAGCAACAACUUGUUUGCGGAUAUUCUCAUCAUAAUCCAAGAGCCGGUCACAGAGAGCAGCUACAUAAGAAUUAACAUUACAAGAUUAGUCAAUUCUAAUGUAUACUAACGGCAUGAUAAAGAAAAACUUACAUAUAAUUUGAGAAGCUUCAGUUCUCGAAGGAUCCGAGAGCAAACAGUUCCUAAUAUGUUCAAGGAUUGCCAUCCUAACUUCAACUACCCUAUCGGUCAGCCUUUUCAGAAACUCCAAAAAAAUUGAACCAAACUCUUCAGAGAUGACACGUCCAGGCAAGGAAAACAAUUCUCCAACCAAUCCAACAACUUUCAAACGAGUUUCCAGUUUAUCAGCCUGUAUAUGUUAAUAGUAUGCAUUACGUAUUAUUCAAUAUCAAUCUACUUGAAAAGAUGAGCUCAUACUACAUGAAAAGUAUUGACACAGCAAAUGGAUAAAGCGACUAUUCCAUAAUAAUAAAAGUGUUGUGCAUGAUUCAAGAGUCAUGAUAAAAUUUGAAGUGCAAGAUAGCGGCAAAAGAUCAAAUAAAAUUAUACCAAAAGCUCUCCAAUGAGAUAUGGUGCAACUCCGGAUAGAGACUGAGGAGCACAGCGGUACAAAUCAUAGAUAACCUCAUGGUAGUCAAUUUGACUGCUGGAACAUCGGCUAUCUCCAGACAUUGAAGAUAUAAGGAACUGCUUUAUGUCAGAUUCAACUUUGGGCGCACACUGCUCUAUGACUUUCAUAGCAAGUCUUCUUGCAGAAUCUCUAACGUCCUGCCAUUAUAAAUGCAGAAUAUGAGCUGUCAGCUAUUCCAUAAUAUAAAAAAAAAACAAUCCUAAAUUAGAAUAAAACCAGUGGUCAAAGCCAACAACGUCAGAAUGCUCACACUUCUAUUCCGGCCCAAUUUAGAGAGUAAAAUUCGUAAAAGAUGCUCCUGCACAUCUUCACUUUCUUCUAAAAGAACAAUCAUUAUAUUUUGCAUUGAUGAGAAAACAAUCUCUGGAUGGUCAUCUCUGCACAUACAGAAAUAAAACAAUCCGUCAGUAUGAACCCCCCCCCCCAAAAAAAAAAAAAAAAUCACAGAACCACUUUAUCUUUUGUAUUACUAGCUAAAGAAACCAACGCAAAGCACAGCUAAUAAUAUGAUAAUUAACAGUGUUUUGCAGGGGGGGAAAGUAGAUGAUGUAAAUCAGCGGAACUUUUAAUCAAUCUGAAAAGAAAUCUAGGUUGAUUUCGAAACCCACCGAGCAACAUCAAGAAAUGUAGUAAACACUUCUUUCACCAGAUCAUCACAUUCAAGAUCCAACAUCACUACACAUGACCUGUACUUUGCAACUGUUUCUAAAAUGACAACCCUCCUUCCAAAUGAUGGACCACUGACAUCAUUCAACCCAGUAAAAGCACUCACAAUCAGUUGAAAAAUAUCCUGAAACAAGAUAAGAAACAGAAGAAAUCAGUAGUGGGCAUGUAUGUGAUCACAGUGCCAGAGGAAAUUCAGGACAAACAACCUUCAUAAUAUUAUCACUGUAAGGCGCUUCAGGUGCUGUAAUACGAGUUAUCUCAGAAAUGCAGCUUGCAACUAGAAGCUUGACAUCCUUGUCUUGAUGGUUGAGAAUAUCAGGUUUAAUAACUGCAUCAAGAAAAGGUUGAAUGGACUCGAGCACUGCAGCUGGUGGAGACUGCUCCAACUCAGAAAGACAAACAGCAGCUUCCUGCAUGUCGCAACAAACAAGUUAACGAGCUCACCAUUAGUCACGGUAUUGUACGAAAAAGUAUUAAAGGAAAGAGAUAUCUGACUAAACUAACCCAGCCAAGUCACCCCAAUGAAACCAAUCAACAGCAAAUCACAUUUCCACAAAUGUAGUUGAUAAAGAAACACUUUAGUCAAUGUAGGCUAUCUCACAGUUAUAAAUAGAAACUGAAAAUUGGGAUAACUAUUGCAUCUGUCAAAUUGCUGGUGAGGAUCAUACAAGGAGAGAGGACGCAAAUCUAGACACUGAAUUCGGUCUCCUGGGAACAAUUGAAAAGCUAACAAAUAGAAAGAGGAACAAUUCAGAAGCGAGACUAGUCUAAGUAGCUAAAUAUCUUCCAAAAAGAAUGGAACCAAUCGCAGUUUUUAUGCAUGACCUAAUUUCGCAAAAACAACCUAGAUGAAGGGCAAGUGUUAACGAAUAAGAUUGGUACAAACUAACCCUAACUCGCAACUCCAAAGAAGAAAACACUAGCUCAAUUAAUGAACAUGGAAGAGGAUCUACAAAGCUGAAAAUUUUAUUCGUUUCCAAUUAGGCAGAAUUUAAACAGGGGAGAAAGAUGAAAAAAUUCCCUCCAAACGAAAAACCGAAACUUGGACAAAUUGGAGAAGAAACAAGGAGAAGUAGAGAUGGGGAGUCACCUUUAAGAGUUUGAGCAAUGAAUCUUUGGAAAUAGGAGUUAGGUCAAGCCUCGAUCCGAGCUCAUUCAACUGUUCCUCCGGCUUCUGAGCCAUGGCGAGUGAAACGCAGAAGAACUCUCUAAACCGGCGGGUGUUGUCGUCUCUUAGAGGUGAGCAACCAUGAACGAAGAAGGAAAACGAAAGGUGUUUUUUUUUGUUGUUGUUGUUGUUGUUGUGAAUUUGAUGUUGAGAGUCACUCUAUGGAAGAAGAAGAAGAAGAAAGCCACAUCUGAUCUGAGCUCUCUCUCUUAACAACAAGACCCCCCGAUUUGCUGACUUACGGCUUUGUGUCUCUCAUCGCUUCCUUAUUUUCACUUAUUUUAUAUUUAUGGUCCCUCACGUUCUCUUCUAUUUACCCCUUGCCCCAGUUCUAAAGCCCAUCCUAAACAGGCCCAAUAGCAUAGACGACAUCAUUUUCUUGAAGGCCCAUUAAUGCGUUUUGUUUGGUGGCGCAUAGUCUUUUCUUCUUUGACCCAUUUUGUUUUCUGCUCUCUUCGCUUUCUCGCGGCAAUGGCGGCGGCGACGGGAAAUGACGACAACGGCUUCGAUAACCAGCUUAAACCAGAAUCUGAACCGGCUCCGGUUAACCUUUCUUCGCCUCCUCUGUCUAAGAAUGCUCAGAAGAAGCAACUGAAGCAGCAACGGUACGAAGCGAAGAAAGCUGAGAAGAAGGCACAGGAGAAAGAGCAGAAGAAGAAAGACGCCGAGAGAAAGCAUAAGGAAUGGGAGGAAACCCUAGCGAACGCGACGGAGGAAGAGAGACUGAAGCUGAUUGAAUCGAGGAAGAGUCUGCGGAAGGAGAGAAUGGAGAAGAGAUCGGAGGAGAAAGAGAAGAAGAUGGAGCGGCUUAAUCGAGCCAAAGAAAUAGGUCAAAAGAUCGUCGUAGAUGUUGAUUUUGCGCAUCUCAUGUCUGACUCCGAGAUCUCUAGCCUUGUUCAGCAGAUUAUGUAUUGCUAUGCGGUGAAUGGGAGAAGUACUUCACCUUGUCACCUAUGGCUUACAGGAGUCCAUGGGAAGAUGAGUACUGAGCUUGAUAAGCUUCCUGGUUUUGAGAAAUGGUUCAUUGAGAAGGAAAGUAAGUGUUACAUUGAUGCCAUGGCUGAUCAGAAAGAUCAUUUGGUGUAUCUCACGGCUGAUUCUGAAACUGUUUUGGAUGAUCUUGACCCCAAGCAUAUCUACAUUAUCGGCGGCUUAGUGGAUCGAAACCGAUUCAAAGGGAUCACCAUGACCAAGGCACAAGAACAAGGCAUUAAAACAGCUAAGCUUCCCAUUGGGGAGUAUAUGAAAAUGUCGAGUUCGCAGGUAACAAAAGUCCUCUCUUUGAGCUCCAAUGCCGCCUGCUGCUUUGUUAAUGUAAGAUUUGGUUUUUCAUUCAAUUAGGUUCUCACUGUGAACCAAGUUUUGGAGAUACUCGUGAAGUUUCUGGAGACUAGGGACUGGAAAACAGCCUUCUUCACUGUCAUUCCUCAGAGGAAAAGAACCGCACUUGAUCCCGUUGAUUCUUCCAAAUUGGAACCUCUUUCUGAAGAGCAUCAGGAGCAAGAGGCUGAUGCGGACGAGACUGCAGACAAACAUGAUCAUCUGGAGAGGAAAAAGGUAUGCCUUGAAGUUCCUCUGGAAAGUAAUAGCUAGAUGAAUGAAGAUUAUGCAUAUGAGAGAUGUUUCUAUAUCCUUUUAAACACUGGUUUCUGUAGCUGAGAAUUGGAAUCUGGAUUGUUUAGUCCCUUUAUGUGUUGAGUCAAAACGCAUUACCAAUUUCACCGUCAAUUCUUAUAUUAAAGAUCGCAUGCACGCUGUUUGGAAACCUAGUGCUUUAUUGACACACUUGACCACAAGACAGAUCUGAUGAAAAACAUAAUGUUCUUUCAACCAGAUGACAAACAAAGAAAAACCAUAAAACUUACGCCUACUAACAGUUAUGACUCACGCUCUGUCAGCUGUCUACUUUAUUAGCCAUUGUUCUUAGUACUUAUGUUGCUGAGUCGGAAAUAGUUCAACCCUGGCGCCACCUGCUGCUGAAGAUGAACCGCUCAUCUUAGAAUUAGGUUCGUUGCCACUGAAAACAAACCCGUUCUGAUGACGAUAAUGAUACUGCGCCAUCUGAAUCCCUGGCACAGGCCCGUAGUUUCCAUAAUCAGCCAUGGUCCCAUUAGGUCUUUUGACCACCAUGCCAUUGGUCAUACUUACAGAUCCAGCACUGCAGCUAACCCCUCUUUCACCCUCCAACUCUCUGUAACGGUGGAGGUACAGCGUGAGGGGUUCGAUGUAGUCAUCAAAACCGAGCUUGCUCAUUGCCCACAAGACGUCCUCAGCAGUGAUGGUCUUGCGCUGUUCCCGCUGACACCGCUCAUUAGCCUCCCCUGUUAUGAAGCUGAUGUACUCCGAGACACACUCUUGGAUAGUCUCCUUUGAGUCGUCUGAGAUCUUGGCGUGAGCAGGUAAGAUCCUCCGCAUGAUCCGUAUCACGUUGGCAAUAGGCAUGAACCUGUCUUGCUCCCUCACCGUGCACUCCUCUUCACCACCAUUGCUAGUUUUGUUAGGCUGGUUGAAUUCUGGGGGACGCAUACUGCCCUCUGCCAUGAGAAAAUUCGCUGGUAAUUCCCAACAAAAACAAGAAAAAAAGGAGUUUUAGUGCAUAAUGGUUAUGUUAGCUGUUUUCAUUGCUAAAGUUUGAGCUUCUAUGACGUCUGCAUGCGCCGUUGGCACAGUGGUUUACAGGAUUGACAAGCUUUUAAAUCCACUGUUUGCCAUGAAAAUAUUACAGAGGUGGAGGGAUUGCAAAAGAAAAAAGAAACAUCAGAGAAUGGUUUCUCGCAUGCAACUGAACGAAGAAGCCAGUAAAAGAGGGAUGUGUAGAAUGGCACUACCUGGUGCAGGAGGAGUGGUGGUGCUGAGGGAUAACUUGCGGUAGCCAUGGAAGCCUCCACGUUCCAUAUCUUUGUUCAAAAAUUCACGACUUGGUGUUUGUGAGAAUAUAUAUUAUAAAUAAUAAUCAAUGCCAGAAAUUAUGAAGCAUUUGAAGAAAAGAAGGGAAUGAGAGAGAGAGAGAGAGAGAGAGAGAGAGAGACAAAGCUUUAGUUUGGCAAGUGUCAGCACUCGUAAUUUCAGACCUCACAAGUUCCACAACGUGGCCAGCCAAAGUCGAUGUGACCGAGGAUCCUUCUCGUCUCCCUUAGCCGUUACAAAAUCCCGACCACCAACGUAUUUGUCUUUUUUAUUAGAACCUUCUAAACUCAAAACACCCAUACGGAUACAGAGUCGUAGUAGGAGUUAUUAAAAAAAUUAAAGCUACACCAAAAUAAAAAUUUAAACUCGAGAAAUCAUCAUCUACAAGUUUCCGUUUUGCGUGCCAAAAACCUAAUUUAAAAUCUUGUCACUCUUCCCUCUCACCCGAGGAGUUUGUCUUAUAAAAAUCUCCAAGUUUCUCAAAGUAUGAGCGAGUCUUGCUGUGCUCAGGCUGUUUCCUCCCACCUUCCAUGACUCUCCUGUAGUACUUGUUCAUGUUCUCCCACUUCUCCUUGCACUUUUUAGCAGAUCUUUCGUACCCUCUUUCCUUCAUUCUUGCUGAUAUCUCAUCCCAAAUCGAACCCUUGUUGAUCCCCGACUUGUCUUCCACGUAGCUUCUUGCACUUAUCAAUGCCUGCACUUCCUCUUGCGGCCACCUUCUGCCGCCGCUUCUUGAAUACCUAAACGUUCUCUCUCUUUGUGUCUGCGCGGAUUCACAUUUCUCGGGAAGGAUCUGCUGGAGUGGCUGCGGGAAUUCAGAGGGUUUAGGGAUCUCAAUCUCGUCACCAAUUACAGUUCUAAUGAAAGAGAUGAGAGACAAGCUGCGUGCCAUCUCUUGCUUCCGUGCCUCUUCAUUCUGUUUCAUCCUCUCGAUUUCCUGUUGCCUCCAAGCUUCCUCACGGCGUAUUCUCUCCCCUUCCAUCUUCUCCAUCACCUUAAUCAACUGGUUAUGCAUCUUCUCCUGCCGCUUCAUCAUAAUUCCCACCAACUUCUCCAAGAAAUGCUCCAGCUUUACCCUUGUUUUCCGCUUUCUUUUACCUGUGACGGUCUUGCCAACGUCUGGGGAUGAGUCACUAUCGCUAUCAACAGAGGAACUGCAAAACAAAACGUUCAUAUCAGUGUGCCUCAGUUGGCAACUCUCGAUUUCAUUAUCUACUAACUAAUAAUUCUAAAGUUCCCCAGAAUCUAUAGACAAACAAUGCUUAGAAAUGGUAUAAACAACACUCAGAAUCAAAUAAACCAACACUGCAAAAGGUUGUAAUGACGCCACAUAAACCUGAUUGCUAUCUGCAAAGUCUAAAACUUUAAGCUGAGAUGUUCAACGACGCAUCAGUUAAACCAAUAUAGAAUCGAAUGAUACCGCAAGCUGAACUAUAUAGAGCAACUCCGAGGGUCAAGACUGUCAAGAGAAUGUGUUUGAGGUCUACCAAAUAAACGUGAAAACUUAAAGACCCCAAAAAAUACAAAAAGUAACAACUUUUCACAGUAACAGAUCCAAAAAACUUGAAAAAGCUUACAUUUUUAGUGUACAUAGAUAGUGGUGAUGAUUUACCUGAGAGAGACACCAUCCCAAGAGAGGCGAUUACGAGCUUGAAACUCUAUGUGGAGGGGAAGAGGAUCAUCACCUUUUGAAAACCCGCGAGUCAAUUGACCACUUUGCUCAACGUCAGCAAUCUUCGAUCCCAAGGGAGUAUCGAAGCAGCCAAAGCCCAUCUCCGGCAGCCUAUCUAGAGUUCCGGCGAGAAUAUCAAGAGGAUGACGAUCCUCAGACGAGGACGACGGAGGCUUAACGCCACACCUGAUAGGUUUGAGUUUCUGAGGAGGGGAAGCCAAGUCUGCGAGCGUAGCCAAAGCGUCGUCGUUUCCGUGAGAACCCGAUUCACGGCUACCGUACAUCCAUCCGCAACCACCAUCUGAGCCGUCGAAAGGGUCAACAUCUUCGCUGAAUUCGUCGCCGACUCGUUUCCGACAGUCGCCGGCGAGAAGCUCCAUUUCGGAAAGGUAAAAAAAAUAUUGGGCGGCGUGAAAGAAAGAGACUGGCCAAAGUAAAAGCAGUUUGUUCAAAGGGUAAAAAACUAUGUAUUGACAUUUCUACCCUCGAACGAGCAACAUAAUCUCCAUCUUAUCCUUACUUCAAUUGAGUCGUUUUCUUUACGACCCGACCCGAACUGACCUGAAUAUGUUCUGUGAAUUUGUACCAACUACGACUACACAGAGAUACACUUACUUUAGGCGCCUGUGUGGCUCAGCGAAGGCCGCGGAGAUAUACCGACAUUAUAUGUUCUUCCGUUUCAGAUAAAAAUCAAUAUCAAGAUUGCUAUGAGAAUCUGAUGACAAGUAUUUAAGAAGAAAAUCAAAACAUAUUAGUUUCUCUAUCAAGCGUGUCAUAAUAAUACAAUACAUACAAAACAAUCCAGAAGAAACUAUUUGGCAGUAUCAUCAACACAAGUUUAAUUUGGUUCAAGAUAUAAAGUUUUCACAUUGACAAAUAGAUCUGAGGUAGAAAGAAAGUUUGCUUCCUUUACUUUUAUUUCCUUCAUCGUAUACGUUAGUUAGUACUUAAAACACAGGCAGGUUUGGUUUUGGUUUUGUUAUCAAACGAGUUGUGAUCAUCCAUUUAAUAAAUUAUUUCCCACUUUUGUCUGUUAUUUAGAGGUUUGAAAAGUAGUAACAACAAAAAAAAAAAAAUAGAAAAGGCAAAUCUUUUUGUGUAAUUUUGUGAGAAAGUUGUGAUCAUGAUGAGUAUGAGUUGCCGUUUGGCGAAAAGCUAUGGUUUAAUCAAAUUGUUGUGUGAUAAUAAUAACAAUGGGGGCCGUUGUCGUCUUCUUCGUUUUCCCCAAUUUCUUCUGCCUUCUCCGUCUGAUGGGUUCUCUGCGUUUCGCAGUUGCUCCACCAGAUCCAUGUCCGCUUCUUCCUCCACAAACCCCAUGUCCCUCCAGGAGGCGGACGCCGUUAAGCUGCUGCCAUACGUUGAAGACAAGUACGGUGGCGUGAUGACCGAGAUGACUCAUCCCAUGGAUCCUUGUGUCUUCUCCGCACUUCUCCGUGCCUCUCUCUCUAACUGGACUCUUCAGGUUCUCUCUUCCCUUUUUUCCUCUUUGUUGGGUUGUGAUCCGAAUUCAGAUCAUUCAAAUUCCCCACUGCGAGUAGAGUGAUAUCAAUUUGUUACAUAGAAAAAGUUGGGAUUUUUAGAAGUGUUUAUGUUGUCACUAUUCCUCUUGAUAACUAGUAUUGUAUUCUAAUGGGGGCCAGAGACUACUGUGCUGCAAAGAAAAUGUGGAUCUAAUGUGUAAUGUUCGCAGGGCAAGAAAGGAGUGUGGAUCAAAUUGCCAAAGCAGCUUAUCGGUCUUGCUGAAAGUGCUGUUAAGGUGUCUGUUACUUGAUGUUACUCUUGCAACCAGAUUUCUUCAUGUCACUGACUGCUUGUGUAUUAUUUGUAGGAGGGAUUCUGGUUUCAUCACGCCGAGAAAGACUACUUGAUGCUUGUGUAUUGGAUUCCCAAAGAGGCCCAUACCCUUCCUGCCAAUGCAUCUCACCGUGUUGGCAUAGGUGCCUAUGUCAUUAACCACAACAAAGAGGUGUGGUGAGACGAAAGUUUCAACCUUUUCUUUUGUAUUGCAACCUCUCCAAGAAUGGAUCACAUCUCUGUUUCUGUAUUUUAAUCCAAAGGUGCUGGUAGUUCAAGAGAAGACAGGAAGAUUUCAAGGCCAAGGUAUCUGGAAGUUCCCCACAGGAGUAGUGAAUGAGGUCCUGCUUCUUAUCAAAACUCAUUACGUAGUUAGGUACAGCUCUCUGAUGCGCCUUUUUAUUUUUCUUGUCUCAGGGUGAAGAUAUCCAUGAUGGCUCAGUCAGAGAGGUGAAAGAAGAGACUGGAGUAAGACUUCUUCAUGCAUCAACUUUUCACCGUCGCCUUUACAGUUUACAUGAGACCAGGAGCUAAUCCCACUCUUCUCUGGAUCUUAUGUUUUCAGGUGGAUACAGAAUUUGUUCAAAUAUUGGCCUUCAGGUUGCAACUCCAACUCCAACCGUAUCAUCUGAUAUAUUGCAACACAACUGAUCCUUACCUGUUUUAAAUUUUGGCAGACAGGCACACAAAGCUUUCUUUGAAAAGUCAGAUUUGUUCUUUGUGUGCAUGUUAAAGCCCCUUUCUUUGGAAAUCAAUGCACAGGAGUCAGAGAUUGAGGCAGCUCAGGUAACAGUUUUUCCUCCCCACUUCUACGACUCUCCAGUCUCAUCCACCAAAACUCUCACAAACCUCUUCUCUUUCUGAAAACGGUAACUUGGUGCAGUGGAUGCCUUGGGAGGAAUACACAAAGCAGCCAUUUGUACAGAAUCAUGAACUCUUGAGAUAUAUGACAGACAUUUGCUCUGCUAAAACCAAUGGAGACUAUGAAGGCUUCACUCCUCUCCGUGUCUCAGCACCUGAUCAACAAGGCAACUUGUACUACAACACCCGUGACUUACAUUCGCGCCAUUGACCUUCUUUCACAACAAACAAAGCUAACGAAGCUGGUUUCUCGGCUGCCCUAUCUAUGUAAGCAAUUUGACAUUUGAGAAUCGAUAUAUAUUUACCUCUCACCAAAACAAACAUCAAACCAUCCCAAAUGAAAACAGUUGCAUUCAAUGUAAUGGACAUCCAAUACAAUGGCUUUAGGUUACAUACAAGAUUUCAAUAAAGCAGAUUCGUUAGUGAAUCCUAUCGUUCAGCAAACACACUUGAUCCUCUUUACACAGCCGCAAAAUCUAAACCCUUAAUGCACAUCUGAUUUUACAUCACCAACGCCAAUGUUCGUUCUAUCACAUGAUACCAUAUAUAUCGACGAUAUUACGAAUUUUUAUGGAUUGUAAAAAUAGGCAUGUGUAUAAAUAUAUGUAUUUAUGUAUCUAUAUACAGAGAUCCACUUCAUCACCAAUCAAUCUUUUUAAGUCCUCGUCCUACCGGAGGCAGCUCCACCUCCACCGUUGCUACCGCCACCUGUGGCUCCAUACAUAUGGUUCUGCUGGUGAAGAAACUGAUGAUGUUGGUGAUACUGCAUCCCACCACCACCGUAGAACCCACCGGCAUCGCCGACGGCAUCUCUCUGAUGCUCCCCGGCCUCAGCAGCAGUCUGUGGCCUCCCGAGUCCAGUCCUCUCCCCUUCGAUCUCCCUAAACCUCUGCAAGUAAACUUUCAAAGGCUCAACAUAGUCCUCAAAGCCUAGAGUGGUCAUAGCCCAGAGCAAAUCGUCGCCGUUGAUGGUCUUCCUCUUCUCCUUCUGACACUUAUCGGAGGCUUCCCCGGUGACGAAGCUGAUGAAUUCGGAGACACACUCCUGCAUCGUCUCUUUGGCAUCUUUGGAGAUCUUGGCGUUGGCGGGCAAAGCCUUCUUCAUGAUCCGGCUUACGUUAGCGAUCGGCAAGAACCUGUCUUGCUCUCUGGGAGACAACGAGGACUGUCCGUUCUGGUUGUUCCCGUUUUGCCCUCCACCGGAAUCCCUAUCGGAAUCCCCCAUUUCUGAAUAAUUACAAGAAAAAGUUGGUAACUUUACUCUCUUUUAUGUGUUUUUUUUUUCUCAAAUCAUUCCACCACUGAUUCAAAAUUCGAAUUCAAUUGGUGGUUGACUUGGGUGGGAGGGAAGACUGAAGCGAGAGAUAUAGGGUUUUAGAAAGAAAGAUUGGGGGGGAGCGAAAUGAAAAGUGUCGGCUGAGACUGUACACAGUGGUGAAGACAGAGUCGCCGGAGAGUAUUAUAUAAAAGCGAGGAUGCACAACUUCUGUUCACGUGACACGUGAACUCAUAGGAACCGUCCAUUUACUGAUAAGAUUCUGACAACUGGAUGCAUGCUCGACCGUCGGAUUGGAAUGAUCGUGUUCGAGAGAGAUAAACAGCCCUUUCAAAAUCUGCCACGUGUUGUGGACCGUUAGUGGACCCGGCUCACCUUUUACCCGGAGCCGAACCGCAGAGGAGGAGCGUGGUUAACACACAGCAGAGAGUAAAGAGAGCGCGUGUAAAACCCGGAACGGAGAUGAACGCGUUAGGGAAACACAAGGUAACUGCCACUCAACGACCCAUGGGUCAAUUUUUCACUUUUUUUUUUUUUUUUUUUUUUUUUAAUUUUGGUAAUGUGUGUGAGUGAGUGAGUGUGUUAGUGUAAUUGAGAAUUGGUUUGGAUCAUGAGGGUGUGGUCUGUGGUGGGGUUCAUUGCCAUCAAACUGCAUCGACCAAUCAGAUCAGACAGCUGUUGUGUUGGUUAACACACACACACGAAAUAAAGGAUCCAGUUUUUGUCCCACUUUUGACGGUCUCGAUCUUCCCAGGAACAGGAAGGGCCCUCAACCAAUGUCGCUUUACUAAGCGUGUGAUUAGUUAACCUUAACCAUAAUCACCAGCUCUCCUAGUGACAUUAUUAUUAAUGAAUCCUUGUCCACCUAUUGGGCCGUAAAAAUAUUAAAUCAGUUAACAAAACUGAAUGGCCGGCCCAAUUGAUCUGUUGUUGACAAUGUCUCUAAUGGCUUUCUUUCUGACAAGUGUGGUUUGGUCAACAAAACCUUAAACACAAGGCAUAGUGCUGACUGCUGCUGUGCUGACUAUAGAUGUGUACGCCGCGUGGAGACGACCAAAGUCAAUCAGCAGCGUUGUGUGUGUGUUUUGUUUUCUUUUGUUCAAACCAAAGCUGAAUGAAAUGUGUAGGUGAACCGUGACCGUGAGAAAGAGAGAGAGAGAGAGAGAGUAUAGUUGGGGGUAGGCUUGAUUCUUUUGGUUCCUGCAUGACUACUGAUAAAUUCAAUUUGUUGUGUCUAGUAGUAGCUUAAACAAAAGAUUAAAUUUAAAAUAAAAAAAGAAAAGGAGAAACGUCACAUUACAUACAAAAACGUUGCACCAAAUUUAAUUAAAUACUUGGUAAUAUAUAAUACAUAUACGAGUGUGAAAGAGUAGGCGAACCACUCAGUAAUUGCUUCCAAGUGCCGUCUCUCUUUCCCUCUCCCGGUUCAUUGAUUCAUUUGGAAGAUUCAGCUCCUCUUAAGUUAAUUUCAUUUAUAAAAGUCAGCCAUGAGUUACUACUGCUAGUCUUUUUAAGAAAAAGAUUGAAUUUAAAAGGCAAGGCUGCCGUACAGAACUGUGUGACCUGAAGCCACGCAAAGGGUCUCUUCCUCUUCUUUAGCUUCUUCUGUAUAUAUACUCUCUCGUUCAUGCUAUUCUUAUUUCUUUAAACAAAAGCAAACAUUUUCAUAUCUAGAUUAAAGGCAAAAAGAAACAUCUUUUCUUUAUUUUUUUAAGAAAUGGGAAGCUUCUUCAUUCUCCGUUGCGUCUUCAUAAUCAUCUUCUUCUUCAACGGAGCAUUUGGGAAUAUAUGGACCAGAACAGAGAUGGUGGAGCUGGCUGGCUACGGUGAGCAGAAACUCUCCUCCGUCCUCAUCACCGGAUCUCUUAUUUGCGACAUUUCACGUCCUCGCCUUCACUCCAUCGCUAUUCCAGGUAUAUACAUAUAUAGUUUAUCUACCUAUUCUUCAUGCUUCUUGUGCGUUCGAGUACUUACAUGUUCCUCACAGGUGCAACUGUUGCCAUUAAGUGCCACACUGGAUCGAAAAAGAGGUCCAGAUGGAUUAAGGCUGUUACUGAUGAUUCGGGAGAGUUUGAAAUCGAUCUUCCCUCCCAACUCCACGCGAUUCCGGACCUCGAAAACACAUGUUUCAUCAAGCCUCUACAUGUGCCUAAGCCCUACAGAUGCUAUCACACUUCUACCAAUAUACACAAACGUAUCAAACUUGUUUCCUCUACCAAUGGCUUCCGUGUAUACACCUCAGGGAAGAUCAUGUUACAGGGCUACAGUUCAAGAUCAUAGCAAGCUCCUGGUGUCAACAUUUCAACAAACAGCAGAUUCUUCAAGUUCCAUCAUGUGAAAAGCAUUUGUUUGUUAUGGUCCUCGUUUGUUUAGCUGGCGCUUCAGUCGCAGAACCGAGUUGAGUCUCUCUAUAUUGUUUUUCACGUUCCCACGUUGUACAAACAUAAGCUGUUUACGUCAUGUGUAUAAAGGCUCUCAUGUUUUUGGUACAAAAGUAGUGUAAUCACAUAAGAACAUCAUAUAUCAGAAGAAAUGUUUCGCAGUGCUAACCCAUAUUAAAUGCUGAAGCAAAGACAGAAAGCAUGUCCCCAACCAAACAUUGCAUUAACUAAACAUUGAAGGCAAGGCUAAAAGGCAGAGAUAACUCAGGAUCCAGACGCUUUAGGGUGAGUUUCAGAGAGUAUGUAUGCAGCAACAUCACCACAACAAGUAAGCUUAUCAGCUUUGUCUUCAGGGAUUUCAAUCGAGAACUCCUCUUCAAUAGCCAUAACUAGCUCCACCUUAUCUAAGCUGUCCAGCGACAAAUCCUUCUGGAAAUCAGCCCUUUCAGUAACCUGUAAGUAACGAAGCCGUGUUACAAAACAACAUUUUUCACUGAAAACACUAUACACAGAGAGAAAAAAAAAGCAGAAGUUCUUACAAGCUUAGAGGAGUUAGUUUUGUCGUAUUUCUUCACCAGCUCAAUAACCCUACUCAAGAUUUGAUCUUGGCCUCCAUCUGCAGCUGCUGCUGUUGUAAAACUCAUAUUACUAAUACUCUUGAAAACAUUCUUGUUCUGAAGUGGCGAAUAAUCGACUCUUAGUCUCAAAUGUUGCAGGAUUGAGCUCCUUAUGCAAUGCAUCUGAAACAAACAUAAAUCAAGUGGACGAAUUUACAAUCAAGUUUCAGCCUUUUCAAGAGAAAAGAAAAACCCCUAAAAUGUUCCCACCUAUCGUUGUGGGAACAACACCACUGAGUGAUAUGGGAAGAAAUCAAAUCCAAGCUUAUAAAAACAGAGACUUGAAUCUUGAUCAAAUUUCAAAUAGAAACCACACAGAUCGAGAGCUUUUGAAGCAAUACCUGACUGUGGGAUAUGCGAGUGAGUGAGGAUUUUUUUAGCUCUAUCCCCUCGGAAGCGGGAGAAUGAUAGAGAGAGUCAGAGAGCAGAGCACCGAGCAGAAACAGAGAACAACACCUUCUGGGCCAAAAUUAUUAAUGGGCCUUAAUAACAUGGGAUCUAUAGGCCCUUUGGGUUGCGGCGUUUCGACUUUUAAGGCCCACCAAAGUUUUUGGCUAAUAUCUUUUGCUCAUUUUCGGCUAAUAUCUUUUGCUCAUUUCUAAUUUUCGGCAUGUGAUUACUCUUAUAACUUAUUAUAAACCUACCUUUCUUGAUUUAGUAAUUAAUAGACCAAACUUUAAUAGUACAAGAAAUAGUUGGUAAAUAGGGUUUAUAAAGCCUAUAUUACAUUACACUAUUAUGGUUAGUGGACGAUAUUCAAUUCUCCAUGUGUCUAACGUUUGAUGUCACACUUUUAAUGAUUUUCAUAGACCUUGUCUAUGAAUACAUUAGUAGGUCAUCCCAAUUAGUAAACUCCAGAUUAAUGUUACUAAUUAAAAAAUUAAGUGAUAUAAUUAAUAUAGACCAUUGAAUUAUUAAAAAAAGAAGCGUCAAUAAGUUUUAGAAUAAGAUACUGAUUUUAUAUCAUGCAAACCGGUAACUAAUUGACUUGUAAAUUUUACAUAUUCUUUUUUGAAAUCUAGUGAUUUUGUAUCCCUAGUAUAGUAAAACAGAAGUACAAAUGCACUUCCGGGUCGGGUCAAGAACAAAAAAUAACCCGAAAUUACAAUGAUGGAUACUUCAAUUUUAGAUCAAAAAUUCGGGUAUAAUAUUACCCAUUAACUAUUAAAAUCCGAAAAUUUAAAAAUUAUCAGUUACUAAAACUUCCCCUUAUUUAGGAAACUAUAAUAAUGAUACAUAUGUAUAUUUUAGAAAUCCAAAUUAAUUGUGAAUAUUUAAAUCUUAAUGGUGAAUAACAAAUGCACAUUUUAAGGAAAUUAUGUUUAUCAUUACCUAAAAAGAUCUCAAUAUUUAGAUAAUAUUCUAAUUAAUAAUUAUUCCGUAAUUUUUGUGAUUUUAUUGUUAAUCAUAUGGAAAUCUGAUUAAAUAUUCUCCUAAAAAAUAAAAAUUUCCAAAUAUUAAAGGUUAUGAUUUAAUUAUCAACUUUAAAAUAAAAAACAAAACCAAAAUAUUAAAGGUUACAGUGUCCCAUAUAAAACUUCAAACAAAAAUUAUUAAUUGGAAAUACAUUUAAUAAACAUUCAUUUUUAAAACAGGUUCUAAGUUUGAGCAAAUUAUUUUUUUUUCUAAAAAGCUUCAAAAUAUCAUAAUAGUUAAAUUUUAAAAUGUAUAAAAUAUUAUAAAUAUUAAAAACUUUAUAUAUUAUAAAUAUUAACUGAUAGUUUUGCAACGGGUCAGAACAUAUAUUAAAAUUAUUGAUCAUUUUACAACGGGUCAGAAUAUAAUACACACCACUUAAGUUUUAUAACCAAAUAUUUUGUAAUACCUAAUGUUACAUAAAUAUGAUUUCAAAUUAUAUGGAAAAAUUAUUCACUUUUAGUGAACACUUAUUAUUAAAAAAAUUAUUAGUUAUGUAACCACCAAAAUUUAAACUAUAUGAAUUAAUGAAAACAGAAUAAUUACCCCUCAUUCCCAAUUGCAAUUAUUUAAUCAAUAAUAUUUAUUUAUUAUGAAAAAUUAUCAACACAAGUAGAAAAAUCUCUCACUAGGUUAAUGUUUUCGUUAAUCUCUCACUAGGUUAAUGUAGCGCGGGUCCAACUCUAGUUAUUCUCAUUAAUGUGUUAGUAAAUCAAAUUCAAAACCGAGAUUUCGGUUGAAAAUUAGAAAAACGGUUUUUUCGAUAUUUUUGAAGAAAAAUAGUUGAAUUUUUUCUUUUCGGUUUUUACGAAAGUAUUUUCAAACUUUUUUAUGAUAAAUUUUGAUAAGAAAAUUUCAAUGACAAUUUAAUCGUUUACGAUUUUUAAAAGGCUAUAUCUUUCGAAUAUUUUGGUAGAAAAGCGGAAAAACUUAUUUUCUACCAGUUUUUUACGAAACUAGUUGUAGGAAAAUCGAUCAAUUUCUGGAACUAGCUAAAAUGAUUGACGUUUUUGUUUGUAAUAAUUUGGACGGCAAAGAAGUAAUUUUAAUAAUAUAAUGAAGAAGAAAAAGAGUAAGCAUAUGAAAGAAAAGGUGGCAAUAAUGUAAUGUGGAAGGAUGGAAAAAGGCACAAGUAAUGCCUUGUGCACUUGAAAGUUGAAACAUCUAUCUUCUUCCACUUGGUGAUUGAACUAACUAUUUUAAUAUUCACAAUUGAUAGGAAAUAAUAUGAAGAAAAAUAGGAUUAUAGUAAUAAAUAAUAAUUUGAAAGCAAACGAAGGGACAUAGAAAAAUUUGUGGGAUGGCAAAAAUCUUUAUCGUCAUCAACCAUUGCUCCCAUGUUCAUGCCCACUUUGAUUCCCCAAUUCUUUCUUUUUUUUCAUAUUAAGUAAAAGCUAAUAAUGAUCCAUUUUGCAACACAAAUGAUUGAUUUGUCUCUUGAAAAUCACAUGUUGCAUCGUUCUUAUCAUCUACUUAACCUAAUUCACAAUUACCAAAACAAUUGUUUGAAUCUUCUACUACUACUACUACAAAUAGGAAGAAAUCAAGAUUAAACUUUAACUUAAUCCAUGUUUUUUUAUUAAUAAGAGAUUUUUUAACUUAUAGGUAAAAAUAAAUUUAAAAAAGAGGGAGGAAGUGCACACGCAUUGGUAAACCCAAAGCGUCGGUUAUAAAAAUAAAAACAUGUACAGUAAAAAUUAUAUUUACAAGGAAGAAACAUGUAAUGACGAAAAGACCCUCGUCUCUUCGAAAGGAAGAGAGGAGUGAAUGGCAAAAACAUUCCAUAUAAAAAACAAAAAAAACGUAAGAAAAAGUUUUCUCCUUUCUGUUUUUUUUUCUCCCCAAAUUUUCUAAACACAAAAAUUUGGUUUGGUGUUGUUGUGCUGAAAGAGAGAGAGAGAGAGAGAGAGAGAGAAGCAUUGCUUGCUUUUGCUUCCAUCCAUUUGUUUUUUUCGAUUUUAGCCUCAAGAGAAAAUUUCCAAAAUAAAAAAAGACUCUAAAAUUUGGACGAUAAUCAGAAAAAAAGAGAAAGAAAGAGAGAGAGAGAGAGGAGGGCCUCUCGCCCUCUUAUUAAAACCUUGCCUUCUCCAAAUCUUAAGAUUUCUCAAUCUCUCAGCUUCCUUUUUUUUUUUUCCUCUUUCUCCGUUUUUUUUUCUUAUAUAUUACGGUAUAGAUUCUCUCCUUCUUCUUCUUCUUCUUCUUCUUCUUCUUCUUCUUCUUUUUGUGGGUUUUUGUUUGUUUCUUUUGAUUCCAAAGCUUCAACCUUUUUUGUAUUGAUCAUUGGGGUUUUUGUUUUGCAGGAAUCCAGAAUCGUGGGUCGAUCGGUUAUUACAUAAUCCGAUCACGACCCAUCUGCUCUUUUUCCAUCCUAUUUGCUUCCCCCUUUGAGGUUUUUGUUUCAGAUUCCACUCACUUAGAUCCAUGUGUAUAUCUAGUUUAGACUAGAAUCGGGAACAAACUAAUUAAAAAAACAUACCCCUUUUUUUUUGUUUCUUGGCAGAAAUGGAAAUGGAAUCAUGUAAGCUCUUCAUCGGUGGGAUAUCCUGGGAAACCAGCGAAGAUCGUCUUCGUGAGUAUUUUCAGAGUUUUGGUGAGGUUUUAGAGGCUGUGAUUAUGAAGGAUCGAGCCACUGGUCGUGCUCGUGGCUUUGGUUUCAUUGUCUUUGUUGAUCCUAAUAUUGCUGAGAGAGUCGUUUUGCUUAAACAUAUUAUUGAUGGCAAGAUUGUAAGUUUUUUCAUCUUCCACCAAACUACACACUACAUAGUACAUUGCUUCCAAUUUCAGUCUUGCUCAUUAUACUUGCUUCAUUUGGAGUUUGCUGCUUCUCCAAGCAAAAAAAAAGCUAUUCUCUUUUACUCAUUCCUGUUUUAGUCUUACUUGACUCUUUAGUUUACACUCAGCGUCAAAGAGAAAGAGCUUUGUCUCUACGAUAAAUGCAGAUCGAUCACUAAUGAAAAUAUUAAAACUUAGAUUGUUUCCGAGUGCUUACUCUUACUUGACUGUUCUCCCUGAUUUGCCAUGUUCAUAGUAAAACUGUUUUCUUUUAGUUACGCGGUGUGUUGAUUUUCUCCAUGAUCACAGGUUGAGGCUAAGAAGGCAGUUCCAAGAGAUGAUCACGCAGUAAUGAACAAAAGUAACAACAGCCUCCAGGGAUCACCUGGCCCAUCUAGCUCCAAGAAGAUCUUUGUGGGGGGUUUGGCAUCCUCGGUUACAGAGGCUGAGUUCAAAAAGUAUUUUGCUCAGUUUGGUAUGAUCACCGAUGUUGUCGUGAUGUAUGACCACAGAACGCAGCGGCCUAGAGGCUUUGGGUUCAUCUCUUAUGACUCUGAGGAAGCUGUCGACAAAGUGCUGCAGAAGACAUUCCACGAACUCAAUGGUAAGAUGGUGGAGGUCAAACUCGCUGUUCCUAAGGAAAUGGCUCUCAACACAAUGUGGAACCAAAUGAAUGUAAAUAGCUUUGGCAAUAGUAGAAUCAGCUCGUUACUGAAUGAUUACACCCAGGGAUUCAGCCCGAGUCCAAUCUCUGGUUAUGGAGUAAAACCUCACGUUAGGUACAGUCCAGCAGUAGGUAAUAGGGGAGGAUUCUCACCGUUUGGACAUGGGUAUGGAAUCGAGCUGAAUUUUGAGCCAAACCAGACUCAGAACUAUGGAUCUGGUUCAGGCUUUGGUCGACCCUUUAGCCCUGGAUAUGCUGCGAGUCUCAAUAGGUACGGUAGCCAGAUGGAGUCUGGAGGAGCUAGUGUCGGGAAUGGUUAUGUGCUUAAUGCAGCAACAAAAAACCAUUUAUGGGGAAAUGGUGGUCUAGGUUACAUGUCUAACUCUCCGAUAUCAAGAAGCAGCUUUAAUGGAAACCCUGGAAUGCCUUCAUUAGGCAGCAUCGGAGACAACUGGGGAGCAGCUGCACGUGCACGCAGUAGCUACCACGGUGAGAGAGGAGGCUUAGGAUUAGAGGCAAUGAGAGGAGUUCAUGUUGGUGGUUACAGCAGUGGCUCAAGCAGGUUGGAGGCAGACUCUCUGUACAGUGACUCAAUGUGGCUUUCGCUGCCCGCAAAGGCAGAGGAAGGAUUGGGAAUGGGAGCAUUGGACUUCAUGUCUAGAGGACCAGCUGGAUACAUCGACAGGCAACCAAACGGAGGUAUGAAUUAUGAAUUCCUUUUUGGAUUUGAGAACUUGAGCUUUUGAUAGAAAAUCUGAUGAAGUCCUAUGAAAAAAUGGUGGUGUUGCAGGAAUUGCAGCUUAGAGAGGUGAGAAUUCUAUACCAUUGGAGAUCAGGUGAUUGCAGAAGAGACUUUUUAGAAGAGGAAAAAAAUUAUUAAAAAAAAAAAAUUAUUAUUGGUUCCAAAAAGCUUAAAGCUUUUCUUUACUGUUUUACUAUUUUGAUUGUUGUUAUAGCUUUUGUUUUCACCCUUUUUUGGCUAAUUUGGGGGGUUUUGUUUCUUUUUUAUCUUUAAAAGAAAAGAUGUAAACUUGAGUGAGUGAGUGAGUGAUGAUAUAUAUAAAGGAGACAAAGAAACAAUGAAAUGUAUUUUGUUCUUGUCUUUCUCCCUUUAAUCUAAAAUCCAUAUAUUGACAAAUUCAAACAUGAAAAAACGAAUUAAAAAAAGAGCAAUUUGCCUAGAAUGUAGGCAACGUAGUGUGAGGCCGACGUGUGGCAAACAUGUGGAUGAUGAUAAGCCACAGGACAAAGAAAGCAAUCCAUCAUCCAUCACAGUAAUAUCCAUUUAUGUGAAGUGGACCAAAAGAGAGAGAAGCAGAGUGUUGCAGUCCUCAAAUAUAGAGACGAAACAUCCAAAUCCUUCAAACUCUCUUUCUCUCUCACAGCUUCAAGACUUCACUGGAAUCGCCACCAUUGUCCCUACGCUCCUCCCCUAUAAGGGUCUUGUCUCACGAGGCUCUCUCUCAAAAACCAAUAAAGAUGCGGUUGCUAGUUGAAGAAGUAACUUCACCAUUGUCCCCUGCUUCAACUCCAGCAUGUAACUCCCAUAGUUGCAGAUGGAAGCCUUACUCCAACUCUAGUGACUUCACAGCCAACGCAUCAGUUCUUCUCAUCCUUGUCUUCUCAGCUCUCAUCUGUGCUCUCUCCCUCUACACUGCAAUCCGUUGCUUUCUCCGGCCAGCCCUCGAGACUAACGACGACCACAAGCCUGAACCUGAGACAGUUGCUUCAUCCGCUGCACCAACUCCUACGCUUGUCUACUCCUCCGACCUUGAGCUUGCAGGAGCUGAAGCAGAGUGUGCCAUAUGCUUGUCGGAAUUCGAACAAGGAGAGAGCAUCCAAGUGCUAGAGAAAUGUCAGCAUGGUUUCCAUGUCAAGUGUAUCCACAAAUGGCUCUCUUCCCGCUCUUCCUGUCCCACUUGCCGAACUUCUAUCUUCUCACAACCCUUGGAAACUCCUCCAAACCAGAUCAAUGCUUAGAGCUUUUUUUUUUCUUUUUACAAAGCUUAGAGUUGUAUCAUGUUUCGCUUGAGAAUACCCUGUUUAUGUUCUGUAUUAUUAGGUAACACAGACCAACAAAAGUAUUUACUAGUACUUGUAUUAAAUCUAACUCUACAUCGCCACGCAAUGAAACAAGCUCCCACGAGUUUUUAAUUAUCCAUUGUACAAGAAGUGUCUGGACCAGAACCAGAUGAAUCAAUGGUUUUUAAGUGAAAGAAUCUAAGAAAAAAACUAGAGCAACUUUAAUGACAAUGCGUACAGGAUAAAUGAAUCAUGUAACCACCUACAAUAAAUAACUACAUAGUGUGUAGUACUUGCUUAAUUUCACCAUAUCAACGAAGCUUCGAAUUACAUACUAGGCCAACAUUCAAUUAAUGGGCCUAAGGAUAGUUCACUUCGGGCCUUUUCCAAACCUGUAUAGUCCUCUCUCGCCUAUAAAUAGCAAGUAGAGUGGGUCUAGACUCUAGAGAGACUAGAGAGAGAGAGAGAGUCUCACACACAGUCACACAACUUUCUUUGACUUGCAAAAAAGAAACAGCGUCGUUUUGAGAAACGAGCUGCAAAAUGGAAGCCAACGCAAGCAGCUCCGGCGAGAAGAGCUCUCCGACUCCAUGUAAAGUUUUCAUCUUUCACUGCUAUUUCUUUAAUAAAAAUCGAGUCUUUUUAUACAAAUCUCUCAUUAAUUGUACGUAUUACGUGAAAGUCACGUAGUAACAAGAUUAGGAAUUUGUGUAUAUGUAGUGAUGAGGAGCCCGUUUCUGAAAAGUGGGAGUGGGGCGGUGUACGAGGUGAGUGAGACGAAGAAGGCGUGCGUGAUGAGAGUCGACAUGCCUGGGUGUCCCGAGUCAGAUCUCACCUACUGGGUCGACCCCGUGGCCAACAACGUCCACUUCUUUGCCGACGAACCAGCCAUGCCGGAGUACGAAAACACCGGACGCAAAUACGGAGGAUCCAUGGUGUUCAACCCAAAGGCGUUCGACGUCAAGAAAGCUAAGGUGAAGCUUAUCAACGGAGUGCUCUGGGUCACCGUCCCUAAGAUCCCCGGCAAAAACGCCUCCAUUGAAGUCAUUGAGAAGAUGAUCCAUUACCCGAUUGAGAAACAUCAUCGCACCUGAUCUCUUCGUUUUCUAUCUAUUGCUAGCUAGCGUAUGGCUUUUGAUCAUGCACCUGGUUUUAUAUAUUUAUGUUUUAUCCAUCUUUUAUGGUUUAAGACUUUUUUAAGUAGGCUAUAUAUCGAUCUUGCUUCUUCUAUAUGCAUUUCAGUGUUGUCAGCUUUCUCUUUGUUUUGCUUUAAUCUUUCAUUAAUUUAGCUAUAAUCGAUCAGACUUUAUAUAUAUUUGCCAUAAUCAAACUGGAUAUAUAUAGCACAUAUAUAUACAUAUAUAACCUUGGAGAAAUUUGGAGCAAUAUCAAUGGAAGCAAGCGUCUAGAUAGAUAGAUAGAGACUGGAUAAACACUCUAAUAAACAAUGGUUGAAAACUUGUACAUGAUCACAAUUUUAACCCCUUGAGGAUUGCUUACGUCAGCGUCUUCUUCCAUAUCACUGUGAAGAGAUUGGCAUGGCAUGGAACAGCUUUACUUUUGCAGUAGUUUAAUUUUUGUCGUAUGUGGAAAACCAAAAUGAGGAAAAUCAUGGGACAGCUCAUAGAACUGGUGGCGUCAGCUAUUUCUCGACGGUAAAAACAUCAAAAGAGAAAACGACGGUAAAAAAAUAGAAUCAAAAAGAGAAAAAGCAAGUUUCUUUUGAAUUUUAUUUACCGAGAGAUAGUUACUAUGUAUUUUAUAUUUUACUAGUGGGUUGAAAAACUUAAAAGAUGAAGAGAGUGACGUAGGCAAGACCAGUCAAACUUCGCUAUUGAAGGCGAAAAAAAGCCAGCUGGAGUGACCGCAUAGUCAUCAUGGUGCUUCGUCUAUAUUUUGUAUUUUAGAGUGAAUAUAUAACACUAAAAACGCCAUUGUUACGCAGCCUAAAGCUAGAACUAGAAGAGAGAAAAAGAAAGAAAGAAAGAAAGAAAGAAGAGAGAGAUGGGUGAGCCGAAGGUACAAUUGCUGGACAUGUCAAGAGUUCCUAAAGUUCGAGGUGUCGUCUAUCUCUUUCUUCUGUCGUUAUCUCUCUAUAUCUCUUUGUUAAUCUUCCCUAGAACAAUAUUGUUUUUUUUUUCUAGAAAGUUGUCUCCUUUUUCCGGUUUAAGUGUUAACAUGAACUUGGUACAAAUAUUUACAAUUUUCGUGUGCAUGAAAAUGAAGCUGAUUAAGCUAGUACUUCUUUACUGAUUAAGUUGUAGCUUUGUUGACUUCGAUAAUUAAGUUUCGUUCCAUGGUUCUCUGUAAAUAUACAUAUCUUUGCCAUGAAAAAGUAAGGUCUUUUAAUUUUGUUUAUCAUGAAUGCAGAUCGAUCGAGUUAUUGUAGUUCCAUAUUUGAUAAGGGUCGUCUUCCUUUGUUACUUUCUUAAUGAAGUUUUUGACGUUUUACAUUAUAUCUUUUCAAUCUUUCUACUGAUGGCAGAGGGGUUCUACGCGACGAACAACCAGUUCCAGAAAGAGGGUCCAAAGGGUUUCGUCCAAGUGAAGGUUCUGGAGGACGACAAGCUCUAUGUGCGUGUGGACUUGCCCGGUGUUCCAGACGACGCCGUUCACGUCAGAGUUGACGCCGUCAGACAAAAGGUUGUGUUUUUCUCCGGCGAGACUGUCGUCAACCAGAAGGAAGGCGUGCGUGAGUACUCCGGAACAGCCGGUCUGGGCUGUGACUGCUGCGAGAUCACAGGCGUGGCCGAUGUCAAAAUGAAAGACGGGGUUUUAAGGAUGAUUCUCUCGAGGGUGAGGGUGAACAAGGAUCAACAGGACAACACGUGUACUCUCACUGUGCCUCCUUUCACAGGUUCGAUAUCCCAUUUCCUCUCUAAAGUCACCAUCUUUUCUACAAUCAUAUAUCAACACACAAUCUAAUUUUCAAACGACAGGCAAAUCCGGGAUACGUUUGGAGGAUCAUCCGUAUGUGGUGAAAGGUCGCAAGGAAGCACUUUUUUGGGAUCCAACAGUAGUGCAAGGAGGGUUUUACUUUGCAGUAGACGUGCCAGGUGCUUGUGGGGAUGAUGUAGAAGUUUCUGCUAAUGAGAACGUAAUCAGAUUCAAAGCUGAGAUCAAAGACGUUGGUCAUGAGCAUGAUGAGAGCGGUCGAACCUACCUGGGAAGCAUGAAAAGUCCUUUUUGUUCCCCUGAGCUACCUUUGAAUACCACCCACACCAUCGGUUGGGAUGUUGAAUUUGGUGUUCUCAAGGUUGUUGUUCUACCUCCUGGAAUCACAACACCAUCAACGCCUAAGGGAACCCCUAUCGAAUAAUCCAAUCUCUUUCUCUCCUUCUCUUUUAGUACUCUCUACUGUUUUUUACAUUUUGGGACAAGUUACAGUGACUAGUUUUUCUCUGUUUACGCUGAGACAAUGGUGUGUGAAAAGAGAGAGAGAGAGACUCGCUAUGCUUUUGCGUUUGCUAUGGAAUCAAGUAAUUCAUGUCAUUACUUUUCACAAGAAUCUUUAACCCUUUUUUCCCUAUGCUGGAUCCAUCUAAUAACCUGAUUGGUGAUGAUUGAUUGUUUAAAACCACUAAAGCUGAUCAUAUUGACAAUUCUUUUUACUCUAUGGGAUGUCUAAUGUUUAUAGAUCAUGGGACAUUUUAUAUGAUAUGUCACUCAACCAGGGCACUCAACAGUGCUAGCUAAAUCCCCCAAUUGAAUCGAAAUGGUCAUAAAGGUGUCGAGUGUUGGUUGUGUAAACUAUAGAAAUGAUGCUAAAGUUUAUAGUCCCAACUCUGAUGGCGUCUGUUGUAGUUGUAUCAUAGUAUUAAGAUAAGGAAAUUACAAUAUUGACCUAAUUGGAAACGACGCCGUUGAAGGGAUUGUUUCGGUAGUGCGUGCUUUCUCGUCUUCUCGAUUGAGAUUUUUGUUGGAUCCCCAAAGAAGAAACCUGAAUAGAGAGCGAAAAUGGCUGGAAGAUUGAGUGGUGUGGCCUCACGAAUCAUGGGCGGAAACGGCGUCGUUGCCAGAUCCGUCGGCUCUUCUCUCCGUCAACGCGCCGGAAUGGGUCUCCCCGUCGGCAAACACAUCGUCCCCAAUAAGCCGGUGAGAGUCAAAUCCCUUCUUCUUCUCAAUUUCUUUCGAUUUUGGAAACUGUAUUUGAUUUUCAAAACCCCUAAUUGCGACUCAGCUUUCGGUUAACGACGAGCUGAUGUGGGACAACGGGACUGCGUUCCCAGAACCUUGCAUAGAUCGGAUUGCUGAUACCGUCGGAAAGGUAUUGGUUUCCAUUUCUAUAUAUCUGUCCUUGAUUGUAUUUUGUUUACCUGAUUGAGAUUCUUUGGGGAUGACUAUGAGCAGUAUGAAGCAUUGGCAUGGUUGAGUGGCGGUCUAGGGUUCUUCGCGACUCUUGGUCUGCUCGCUGUUUUGAACGACAAAGCUUCCAAAGUUCCAUUCGUACGUCAAAAAAGCUUUCAACUUGGCUCUUAAUUCUAACGCACAAGCUUUGUCCUGAGUGUCAUUUAGUCGUUGCUUGUGCUGCAAUAUCUAUAUCUCUAUGCAAGUUUUUCUACUCAAAGCUCGUUAUCGUUUUCACUACACCUAAAUAUGAGAUACAUACUUGUCAUAGUGCUUAGACAAUGUGUUUGCCGCAUAACUGAAUGAUCGCACAUCUCAAUCUUUGUUUCUUCAUUUGUUGAAUGCCCACAAUAUUUCGCUUUCAUUUUUAGCAUUUUGCCUGUUUAUGAACAUAUAAACCAUUCUUGCUGUUUGCUUUUGCAUCUCACCAGUUUACAGGAAGAGACCUUAUAACCCACAUUGUUUUCAUCAUCCUGUCUUAAUUGAUUGAUUGAGAGUUGAGACCAUACAUACUAGUUAGGAAAACUUGAAAGAAACAUCCACCAUGUUUUUUUGGAACUCAGUAAAUGUUAAGGUCAUAAGCAUGUAAGAGAAACAUGAAGCCUCAUAGAGGUGGUUGUAUCAGACUAUCUAUCAGCAGAUUAAAUGUAUAGGCUUGUUCUUUUUGUGUCCACUGGCCUAGAAUCAUAGACUUUGUACCAAAAGGCUAUAUUAUGAUGAGUGUUGUUUUCAAGGAUUUUGAGUAAAAGGUUUAGGGCUAAGAAGUUGCUCUAUGUCUUCUUGUCUAUACGUGAGAUGAACUGGUGCCCUUCUUUUAAUCUUGAAGUUCUUCUGUGGCAUUUCAUAUCUCUGCUUUUGUGUAUCUUUCUGACCUUAGUGUAACUUGUUUUCCCAUUUCAUGAUCAUCUCUUAUUGUGUUGCUGCAGACACCGAGAGUGUAUCCUUAUGACAACCUGAGAGUUGAGCUUGGAGGAGAGCCAUAGAGACCUAUCAAGUGAUCGACUUAUCAAACUAGUGGAGCGUGUUUUUCUUCACUGCCUUGUUCUUACAAAAUGUUUGUUAUUUCCUGCUUACAACGUGAAGUCAAAAUAAUAAAAGAACUUUGUUUUCAUUAUAUGCGUUGUCUCUGUAAUUAACAGUGACCAAUGAGAGAUUCAUAAGAGAAGACUUCUGGUUCAGCAGAUCUUGAAUUGUGUUUUGUAAUCUUUUGAAAGAAAAAAAAGAAUCUCCCCGCAAUUGAUAUUUGAUAGUUAGCGCCAUGUGUCGAACUAAAUUUGAGCCUCGUUAAAGGCUACUAGAAAAAGAAAGAAAGAAAAAAAAACGAGUUAGCCUAAUGUGGCAUGUGAAUGGGACAUUGAGAGAGAGAGAGAAGCUUGAACUUGUUUGUUUCCGUCUUUGGGUUUUGCCUAAGUUUAGAAAUCAAAAGCUUUGGUUCUUCACCAUUACGUAUUCGGUAUUCUUUUCCUAUUUUUGUAUAGUUUCAUAUCUUAUACGCAUUUAUUUAUGCAUCCUCUUCGUUUUCUCUCAUUAUUUAUCUUAUCAAAAUUUAUCUCUCACCACAAGUAGGAGGGUUAGGAAAGAAAUUUGUUGAAAAGAUAUGGUGUGACGACGGUCUUAAACAUUUCUUGUACCAAAGUAAAAGUUAAACACUUCAAGAAACUAAUUAAAAACAAAAUCGAAAUUUGAUUAGUGUGGGAUAUGAUGAAUCGGAUUUGACUUGUAGAAAAUAUAUACAUCCAACUAAAGUUUGGAGACCACACACACAUAUAUAUAGACCUCAAAACAAUUGAAAUGGUCGAAUAAAGACAGCCACAUCACAUGAGUCAUGAUGAAUGAGAUGUAUAUGAUGAUAUUAUUUCAAUCUGAUUCAUGAUCAAAUCAUCAAUGUGAUCUGCCAACGUGUCAACCCUACUGGCUCUUAUUCAACCUGAUUGUUUUGGUUGGACCCCUUCCUUCUUCAAAACAAGAGAUUAUUAUCCCAUUGGUACCACACCUCUCUCUUUCUCUCAUUGUGUUGUUGUUAUAUGUAAUAUAUCAUCUUUAGUUUCAAACUAUAUUUUAAGGGAAUAUAUAGCACUUCAUAGUCUUCAUUUUUGUUUGCAAACUGGAUAUAGCAAAACUCAUCGUACGUACAUAUUAUACAUGCAUGUGUGUGUACGAGGCUGUGAGCUUAUCGAUUCAUAGACCAAAUUUAGUGCAUAUUAUAUGUAUGAAAAGAUUUGACCACCAUACAAUAACAUAUAUGUUCAAUUCUUGAAAAUUUCUUUCUUCAUAGGUCUUUUCAAGAUAUAUAAAUGAUAAAGUACGAUAAUAUAUAUAUAAGAGUUGUUCCAAAAUUACAUAUUAUUGGAGAGAAAGGACAAAAAAGAAGAGGAAGGUGUGAACCAGGGAAGUUGGGCUCUGGAGGAGUACCAAAGGCUGCACAACGAACGUGUCUCACUCUCUCUCUCUCUAUACUCUUUGCCAACUGUUUGGCUUCUAUUUUUUUUUUCAUUUUCUCCUCAUUCAUUUCUAUCUUUUUCAACAUUUUUAUUUUAUUUUGAAUAUAUAUUCAACAUUUUCUUAGCCUCUUACUUAUUCUUAACCACAAAAAAAAAAAACAUUUACGAAUAAUAAUAUAAAUGGUAUGCACUUCUAUAAAUUUAAGGUAUGUAGCUUGCUAGUAUACCAUUUUUCAAGUUUUCAAAUUGUUAAUCAGUUACUUUUUAUGUUUCGAAACCACACCAUUUAACGAUUUUGAAAAUUGAUUCCAUUUCAAUUUUAUCAAAAACAUAAGCACAUCUAUAAAUUUCAGGUAUGUAGCUUGCUAGUAUCUUUUUCAAGUUUUCAAAUUGUUAAUCUGUUAUUUUUUUUUUAAUAUUUCAAAAUUAUACCAUUUUACGAUUUUUGAGAAAUGAUUCCGUUACAAUCAUAUAAGAAUUAUAAUUAGAAAAAAAGCAAAAUAUUACUAUAAAGAAACAUAUUUUAUAUAAUAAUAGUAUUAUAUAUAUAAAUAAGAACAAAAUACCAUCAUUUUGGUUUUUUCCCCAAAAAUACCAUUAAUAUCAAAUUAUUAAGCUUCAAAAGAAAAGAUAUUAUUAAAAUAAUUAGAUUAUUCUACUAUUCAUAUAACAUAUUACAUAUUAAUCAAAGCUAUAGAUCGUAGAUAAAACGAAACUAGUGAACUCAAAUCAUAAAUGGAGAAGCCAAGUUUAUCCAUAACUCUUGAAAGUACAUACCUAUAUAUUUAAUCCCAUAUAGUACUUGGUUUAUAGGACUGUAUUAAAUUAGUUUAGCAGAUAGACUGUUAUGACUUAUGAUUACUUGUCAUCUUAAUCUCUAGUGACUUUGGGGUCAUUCACAUUUCCAAGAGUAUAACUUGUCAUCUUGAUCUCUAGCCAUCACAGCUUCGCCACUUGUAACUUGUAAUUUGUCACACCCCAUCAUUUUCAUGGGUCAUUUUUAAAAUUUAUAUAUUCAAACAUUAAAAUAAAAUAAAAAAACAAUAUCUUUCUUAGACAAACUGAAAAGUCAUCAAUCAUAUUCACUAUAGAAUCAAUGACCUUUUUUUAUGUUUACCCAUUAUCCAAUAAUUCCAUUUUGUCUUCAAUAAUACAUUUGUAGUUGUCUCUUAAACUAAUUUGACCCCAAUGGAAUAAAAUUGUGAACCAGCAAAUAUAUGUGAUUCACGUUGGAUAACAUUUUAGUUGGUUGAAAGAAAACACAAUUAAAAUUUUCAAACUGACAAAAAAAAAAAUCAUUUUAAAGGGGAAUAAAUAGAAUUCAACUAAUUAAGAAUGUCUUUACAUACUAAUCAUGUGUCACUCACUCUCAUAAACCGAAUAUUUUGUUAUAUGACCACACAAAUUACAUCUAUAUUAUACUUAAAUAUUUGCCAAACACAUAAUAAUAAUAAAAUAAAUACAGUUAUAAAAAGGCUCCUCUAGCACCUUUCAAUGAAGUUGUAGUUUACAUUUCUCAAACUCUUUUUGUUUUUUUUGGUCCUUCCAUUAGAAAACGGAAUAAAACAGAAUGAACGGUGGCGAUGUCGCCGUCGCCGGAUCCGACGAUCUGAAAUCCCCGCUCUUACCUGUCGUCCGACAUGAGGAGGAACCAUUCCAACGUCAAACGGUGGGGCAACAGCUUCGGACAAUAUUCACACCUAAAAACUGUUACAUAGCUCUCGGUCCUCUUCUUUGCGCCGUCGUGUGUCUAUGCGUACGCCUCGGGGGAGAUGACACGACGACGGCUAAGAACAUGCUCGGCGUUCUUGCUUGGAUGUUCGCGUGGUGGCUGACGGAGGCCGUUCCCAUGCCUAUCACCUCCAUGACGCCGCUCUUCCUCUUCCCUCUCUUUGGAAUCUCGUCGGCCGAUGUGGUGGCGGACUCUUACAUGGAUGACGUCAUCUCCCUUGUCCUCGGCAGCUUCAUCCUCGCUCUCGCCGUCGAACACUACAACAUCCAUCGCCGACUCGCCCUUAACGUUAGUCUUCUUCUUCUUCUUUUUUUCACAUAACUCAAUUCAUUUAAUUAUUAUUAUUAAUCAUUCAUUACAAAACUAUGAUAAGCUAAAACUAGGUAGAGUGUUUCAAUUGAAUCGUAUCCCCACUUCCUCUUAAAUUAUUCAUUUAGUGGUCCAUGCAUAUACGUGGGGAUGCCAUAUUAUGUUUUCCCUUUGUCUUUUUUUUUUUUUAGUUCUUCACACAAUUUUUUUCUUUCAAUCAUCAUUUGCAUCUACAUAAACUAUUGUUGUUACAUAAAGUUCAAAGUCUAAUAAAUUGAUCAUAUAAAUAUAUUAAGAGUCCUCUCUUUUCAAUGUUGAAAAUUACCUAAGCCAGUUUCUUUAUUUGAUUGAUCAUAAACAUACUUUGUGUUAUAUAGAUGAGGCGUCAUAUCAUGUGGGUUGUGGCCCUUAGGCCAAUCCAUUGUAUCAUUUAUAAGACACGUAAACACUCUAUGAUUUAAGUUGUUCGGUCUCCAAUCAUUAAGCUGAUCACAAGUCACAACUAUAAUUAUUAUUUAUUUAACAUUAUUUGAAACUAUGAUCUUUUAACAGUAGGAGAUAUAGUAAUUAUGUGGAGCUCCCAACGUAUCUAAUUAUGAUAAGGUACUAACAUAUUUCUUAUGGAUAAUCUAAUUUUUGAACUAGAUAACGUUGGUGUUCUGCGUGGAGCCGCUAAACGCGCCGCUGCUUCUGCUUGGCAUAUGCGCUACAACAGCGUUCGUGAGUAUGUGGAUGCACAACGUAGCGGCUGCAGUCAUGAUGAUGCCAGUCGCUACGGGGAUACUUCAGAGGUUGCCCUCUUCGUCGUCUUCGUCGGAAGUUGUGCCUCCUGCAGUGGGGAAGUUUUGUAGGGCGGUGGUGCUUGGUGUGAUAUACUCAGCACCAAUAGGUGGAAUGAGCACACUCACUGGAACAGGUGUGAAUCUGAUACUUGUGGGAAUGUGGAAAAGUUAUUUCCCGGAGGCUGAUCCAAUCAGUUUCAGCCAGUGGUUCUUUUUUGGUUUCCCAUUGGCUUUGUGCUUAUUCGUGGUGCUUUGGGGUAUUCUAUGUGUUCUGUAUUGUCCCAGAGGAGCAGGAAAAGCUCUCUCUCCUUAUCUCCACAAAUCUCAUCUCAAGAGAGAGCUUGAGAUGUUAGGACCAAUGAAUUUCGCUGAGAAGAUGGUCUUAACCGUGUUUGGUGGGUUGGUUGUGUUGUGGAUGACAAGAAAUAUAACAGAUGACAUCCCCGGCUGGGGUGUGAUCUUCGACGGCCGGGCAGGGGAUGGAACGGUGAGUGUGAUGAUGGCGACAUUGCUGUUUAUAAUCCCAAGCAAGAUUAAGAAAGGAGAGAAGCUGAUGGACUGGGGCAAAUGCAAGAAACUUCCAUGGAACAUAGUCUUGCUAUUGGGAGCUGGAUUCGCUAUAGCCGAUGGAGUGCGCACAAGUGGCUUAGCCGAAGUCUUAUCAAAAGGACUGGUCUUUCUCGAAACAGCUCCUUAUUGGGCAAUUGCUCCAACCGUUUGCCUCAUAGCUGCUAGCAUCACAGAGUUCACCUCAAACAACGCAACAACUACAUUGUUGGUCCCGUUGCUGAUAGAGAUAGCAAAGACAAUGGGAAUACACCCUCUGCUACUGAUGGUUCCAGGUGCCAUAGGGGCUCAGUUCGCUUUCUUGCUCCCAACGGGAACACCCUCAAACGUCGUUGGGUUCACAACGGGGCAUAUCGAGAUCAAAGACAUGAUCAAAACAGGAUUUCCUCUCAAGAUCGCCGGAACAAUCUUUCUCUCCAUCUUGAUGCCCACUCUUGGUAUAGCUAUUAAUCUGACUCAAUAACUAAAACAUUACUCUAAUUAUAAUUUAUUUAGAAUCAAGUUUGUUAAUAUAUACUAUUAUUACAUGACGACAUGCAGGGGCAUACGUUUUUGCAUCAAAGGGAGGAGUUUAGUUUGACGAGGGAAACACAGCACACUAUUGGAUUAUCAUACCGCGCAUAAGUUUUUGAAUUGCCUUGUAAGCUAUAUAUAUGUGUAGAUAAUUAUUAUUAUUAUGGUCAAUACAUGUAUGAUGGAACUGGGAAAUAUAUAUAUGUGGUCAAAAAUUCACAAAAAAAUGGGACCGUUUUUGUAACCCACUCGAUGAUAGUUUUCGGCAAACAUUGCUUUCUUUUGUGCUUUCAAUGUACCCUCGAUGAUAGUUUUCGGCAAAGAUUGCUUUCUUUUGUCAAAGGUUACAUUUUCGCCACAUCGGCAGAGAUAAAGAAUGUCCCCGUUGUGGGGCAGAGGAAGAAACGAUCAACCAUUUAUUUUUUGAAUGCCCCCCGGCUCGACAAGUGUGGGCCCUUUCACCUAUUCCAACAGACCCGUCGGUGUUCCCCCUUUCUUCUUUGUAUGGUAAUCUUGAUUUCCUAUUCUGGAGAGGAAAAGAAGGUGGUGUCAUCGAGGAGGAUUUAAGCGUUUUUCCAUGGUAUAUAUGGUAUAUUUGGAAAGCGCGGAAUAAACUGAUCUUCGAGAAUGUUUCGGAGCUACCCCAAGAUACGAAGGAUAAAGCAAUUCAAGAGGAAACACUUUGGAGAAAAGCUAAUACAUUGGUAGCCUUACCUAGUGUUCGGACACUUAGGGAUGACGAAUGGAUUCCACCAACGAACGUGUUGGUGUGUUAUAUUGAUGGAUCUUGGCACGAGAAGGAUAGGAGGAGUGGUCAUGGUUGGAUAGCUUCCAUUGGUAAUAGGACUUUCCAACUAGGUUUGCGUUACUCCCCACGAAGUCUUUCGCCCAUCCAUGCAGAAUUAGAUACUCUCCUUUGGGCAAUGAAAUGUCUGAGCAAUCUAUUGGUGGUUCAAGUUACAAUUGCAACGGAUUACUUGGAUUUGGUUAGAAUGAUGGCAAACGAUGAGGAUUGGCCGGCCUUUGCUUCAGAGAUUCGAGACUACAAGGAACUUAGAGACUCCUUUUUGGAGUUCAAUUUAAAGCAUAUUUCUAGACUUAAAAAUAUCAGUGCCGAUAAACUUGCGAAAUGUGCAAGAAUACGCGGUUACUGCUUUUCUCAUGUAGGUUUGUCGGUACAUGUUUGGCUCUCUCACAAAGAGAAUCAAUUCCGAUAAACUAGUGUAUGGGGUUCGUCGGCAAAAAAAAAAAAAAAAAAAUGUACCGUCGGUAAGUUUGGUCAUUUUUUUUUUGUUUUGUUUCUGUGUAGUACAUAUAAUAAAACGAAAAGGGUUAAAUUAGUAUAAAACGAUGAGUAUUAAUGUGUUUGUGUAUAAGUGUAACGUUCUCUUCUUCUUCUUGGCUGAUUCUUAAAAAUACUACACAAGUGGCACAAACCAGCGGUCCUACGUGUCCAUACCAUACCACUGUUUUUACAAACACAACAAACCAAAGGAAAAAAAAAAUCAUUAUUAUUUAUAAUGUUUUCCUUUUAUUGUUUGUCCUCUACACUCAUUUAUCUUCUUUAUUUGUCCUUUGCUAUAUAGUUGUCUAUAAAAUAAUUAAUGUGUUAGAAAACUAUAAAUAGUCAAAUGAGGAAAAUAUAAAAAACUAUAAAUAGUUAAAAUCCUUUUGUGUAUUUAGUUUUCGUAGGUAGAUGUUGGCCAGUGCAAAUUGCAAAAUUCAUAAAUGAAAUCCAAUUCCUUAUUAAGAGGAUAGACCUCAAUUAAUUUGUCUAUAUUAGGCUUAAACUAAAAUAUAUAUAUAUAUAUGUUUUAUACUAUAAUAGUACAGUUUCUUCAAAAAAAAAUUAAUGAGUUUUUGAUUAUUUUACCAAUAAAUUAUAAUAUUUUAAGAGGAUAGACCUCAAUUAAUUUGUCUAUAUUAGGCUUAAAUUUAAAAAGAAAAAAUAUAUAUUUUAUACUAUAACAGUACAGUUUCUUCAAAAAUAAUAAUGAGUUUUUGAUUAUUUUACCAAUAAAUCAUAAUAUAUUAAAUACAAAAGUUUCAUAAAAUAAUUUUGUUUGACUUCUUAUAUAUAGCCAUUUGUAAUUAACAUCAUAAAUAAACUAUCUACCAAAAAAAGCUAGAAAUCCAGGACACGUCAUGGCACGUGGCGGACCUCUCAAGUAUAUAUAUUGAAGUGCCCUGCCAAUACCAUAGAAUCAAGUUUAGAGGAAAACAAAAUCAAUAACAACGACACGGUUACAGAGCCCAAAGAAACAAAGAUGAUGAAUAAUAACUCUUCUAAGAUCAUCUUCCUUCUUCUCCUCUCUCUCGUCGUCGUCUACGCUUCUGCGGCAGCGCGUGUCGGUGGUUGGAGUCCCAUCAGCGACGUCAAAGACCCCCACGUCGUAGAGAUCGGCGAGUUCGCGGUCACAGAGUACGACAAACAGAGCAAGUCAGGGCUCAAGUUCGAGACGGUUGUUAGCGGCGAGAGUCAGGUGGUUUCUGGCACGAACUAUCGCCUUAUCGUUGCGGUUAAUGAAGGUGGAGCGAGCAAGAACUACGAGGCCCUCGUUUGGGACAAGCCCUGGUUAAAAUUCAGGAUUCUCAAUUCCUUCAAGCCUGCCAACUGAGUUUUCUUUUAAAACUUAUGUAACCGCUCUCUCUUUCUUUCUAUAAAACUUCAGAAAAUGUGAAAGUUAAAAAUAAUCAAAAAAAAGGCAAUGAAGUAAUGUCAUAAUAUUAUUUUUAAAUGUAAUAAUAAAUAAUCUUUUGGUGUGACAUGUUGAGACAAAAAUCUGAAGAAUGGAACAAGUUUUGACAAAUCCGCUAAUCAUGGCGGAUAAUAUGGCUAACAGAGGAGAUUAUGGGAUCAGUCACGAGACCGUUGAGAGAUGUUUUGUAUAAUGCUAAAUUACAAAGGGAAGGGGGAGGGGGGAACAUGUGAAGGGAAGAGAAGUGAAGGUGUAAAGUGAACAUGUCCUUUUGUCUUUUGGUCCAAUCCAUUACUACAUAGCUCAUUCAUUUACAUGUGACCCUUUUCUUUUGUUUAUCCAACUACCCUUUUCCUUUUUUUGCUUCACAAUUUUUUCAUUCAAGGUGAUUUCUUAUGAUAUAAUUGUACCAACUAUCUCAUUUACUAAAAUAUAUAUAUUUUUUUCAUUCAUAUUUGCUAACAAAUUCCAUUGGUAAAUGAAAUAAUAAAAAAUUAUAAAAAAAACUAAUCAAAAAUCUAUUUGUAAUAUUAGAUAUUGUAUAUAUUACCAAUAAUUAGUCAAAGAUUCGAUUUGCUAAUGACCGGUCUGAAGAACAGUUUGAUUUAGCUUAAGAAUUAUUUAUAAUCAAAAAAAAAAAUGACCCCAAAGAACAAAAUAUAAAUUAGUUUUAAAAUCCGAGGGAAGCAAGAGAGAGAGAGAGAGAGAUUGGUGAAAAUAGCUUAGCUUUCUCUCUCUCUGUUUCAUGAGCUAAAAAAAUGGUGAAAGGCGAGGAGAUAUAGGAGACAAAUCCAUAUCCAGAGACAAGAAAAAGCUUCAAUUUUUCGGAAUAGUUCAGUUUUGUCUUUUUUUGUUUGUUUGUUUGUUUGAAUUUGAGAAAAAAAAGGGAGAAGAAGAAGAAGAAGGAAAGGUGUAAGGAUAGGGUCGUGCGUGUCAACGAGAGGUGCUGGACGUGAAGCCUCCUCCGCAUCGGCGAGGAGGCUUCCGUCUCAGCACCACCUCAGCGGCAGCCUUAGCUCUUCUGGCUACGGCGGCGAACCGUCCGAUCAGUCCGAUAUCGGCGGUGCUAAGAUGAAAGGGCUUUUCAAGUCCAAGCCACGCACUCCGGCUGACCUUGUUCGACAAACUCGCGAUCUCCUUCUCUACGCCGAUCGAUCUAACUCCUUGCCUGACCUCCGAGAAUCCAAACGCGACGAAAAGGUUUCCUUUUUCAUUUUUUUGGAUAUAUUCUUUUCAAAAGUUUGAUUCUUUCAAUGUUAAUUUUGUUGCAUUUGUGCUCCAAUUGAUCUCAAUCAUCUGUCUUGGUUUUUGUGUCAUUCAUUUCAAUAAUGUCUCAAUGGGGUGCGUUUGUGCUCCAAUUUGACAAUGAAUUGUCUUGUUAAAGAGGUCUGGUUGAUGUAUGUAUGGUUGCAGAUGGCGGAAUUAAGCCGGAAUAUCCGUGACAUGAAAUCGAUUCUCUAUGGAAACAGCGAAGCAGAGCCUGUUGCUGAAGCUUGUGCACAAUUGACUCAAGAAUUCUUUAAAGAGGAUACUCUACGCCUCUUGAUUACAUGUCUCCCUAAUCUCAACUUGGAGGUAACAAUUCAGGCUCCCCAAUCGGAGAGACUGCUUUUUUCGAGAUAUAGUUCGAUGAUUUGAAUUGCGAUCUUUUUUUCUCUUACCAGGCCAGGAAAGAUGCUACACAAGUUGUUGCAAAUCUACAGAGGCAACAAGUCAACUCACGGUUGAUUGCAUCUGAUUAUCUUGAAGCCAACAUCGACCUCAUGGAUGUUCUCAUUGAAGGGUGAGUGAGUGUUACUGUUAGUGGUCAAUAUCAUAUCAUUUGAAGUAGUAAUUAGUUGCUAGUUUUUCCAAAUUAAGAGAUUCCUUAUUUUAUUAGCUUCCCAUGUUAUAUGUCAGCUUCGAGAACACAGACAUGGCUUUACACUAUGGUGCUAUGUUUAGGGAAUGCAUCCGUCAUCAGAUUGUUGCCAAGUGAGCAGAUCUUUCCUUUUACUUCAGUUAACAACCUGUCCUGUGAAGUAAUUAGCGGUUCAGAGAAUAACAAUUUCCUUGAUUCAGAUAUGUUUUGGAGUCUGACCAUGUGAAGAAGUUCUUCGAUUAUAUACAGCUUCCUAAUUUCGACAUUGCUGCGGAUGCUGCUGCAACUUUUAAGGUUCCAAAACGCUGCAACAAACUUGCAUCUUUUCCUGUCUAGAACUCUCAAAACGCAAUGAUAACUCCAACACUGUAUUUGCUUUGACAGGAAUUGCUGACAAGGCAUAAAUCUACUGUUGCCGAGUUUCUUACCAAGAAUGAAGACUGGGUAAGUACUUUUAAUAACAUUACAUACGGAUUCAUAUAUCUGUGCGUGAGGGAAGAACAUUGUGAUUUUACGCUCUCAAGAUCCUAUGCCAGACUCACAUAAUCUCAAUUUGUUUUUGGUUUGCAGUUUUUCGCAGACUACAAUUCAAAGCUUCUUGAAUCAAGUAAUUACAUAACCAGACGGCAAGCCAUUAAGGUAGGGUUACUACUUAUACGAGAUUCUUGAAAAUGAAAAUGAUCAGUCUGAUGUAUUGUAUUGUGUAAAUGUUAAACAGUUAUUGGGUGAUAUAUUACUGGAUCGAUCAAAUUCAGCUGUGAUGACGAAAUAUGUUAGCUCAAGGGAUAACUUGAGGAUUCUCAUGAAUCUUCUGAGAGUAUGAUGCUUGAACACAAAUACCCUCCUCGAUAUUUAUUUUGUUGAUCAUACUAUUAUAUGGGAAGUAAAUUAAAAUGUCUUUGGUUUACAGGAGUCAAGCAAGAGCAUCCAAAUAGAAGCAUUCCAUGUCUUUAAGGUAUAGUUUUUUUUACUGAUUGUCACUUGUCAGUCUCCAAUGUGAUUGUAAUGAAAGCAUCGUCACUUUUGUACAGCUGUUUGCGGCAAACCAAAACAAGCCUGCAGAUAUAGUCAACAUUCUGGUGGCAAACAGGAGCAAGCUUCUGAGAUUGUUGGCUGAUUUGAAACCUGACAAAGGUUUGAAAGUCCUGUCAAGUGACGAGUUUGUAUCUGUUCCUUCUCUUCCUUAACCUUAAUAAUGCUGCUUUGUUUGGUUCUUUUUGUUGGCAGAGGAUGAGAGGUUUGAAGCAGAUAAAAGUCAGGUUUUGAGAGAAAUCGCAGCCCUUGAGCCGCAAGAUCUUGCUUGAAUCAACCAACGCAGAUCAUCACCUUCCUUCCCUUUAAAAACACUCGAAAAGACAUUUUUGAAGCAUCUUGUUGUUUUUGUUUAUUAGGUAACCAAUCUCUCUCUCUCUCACGCUCUCACACACACAAACACACACACACAGAGACAAAAAAGUUAUUCGAUUUAUGUAUGUACACUCCCUCACUGUUGAUGAAUAAAAGGCUUUGAUUAACUCGGUUGAGUUCACAUCGUGAAUGUUGUAAAAAGGCACAACUGUCAAGACUUCAACAACUAUUAUACAUCAAAAUGUAUUAAUUUAAUCUAGCCAUACACUGGCACGUAGAAACCCAAAAGCAAACCAAAUAAACAAGAAUUUUUUUUUUCACUCGCUAUUUCCUUUACACAAAAGCUACGAUUAUAGAGACCGACCAUCGCUGUCUACUCGCUGACCCAUUUUGGCAGAUUCCUCUGUUUUUCCUCUCUUUAUGACUAGAUACCAAGUAAAAGCUUCCAGCACGGCCGCGGCUAUGCCCAGUACUACAAUUAUAGCGGUGUAAGCGUUUCUCCACUGCUUCUCAGGGCUCAAGAUGUCUAGUCCUUUGAAAACAUUCACUACUACAAGUAAAAUCACGGUAUAGCCUAUGGUGUGAUGGUAAAUGUUCCAGUAAACUCUGUACUUGUGCUCUGGUUUGGGUCUUACAAACAUAGCAAACACCUAACGUGUGCCACAAAAAAUAAUGAUUAAGAGAUACAACAAGGUUACAACACUUAAAAAAUAAAUAGUUCAAAGAUAGCUAAACACCUAACGAACCGCUCCAAUAAAUAACUUUAGAAAUCCGGAGCGGGUCGCGUUACACAAAGACCCUUGAAAGAGCCUCAAAGAUCUUCAAUGAGAAAAUAUCAGUGGAGCCUGACAAUAAUCAAAGAUAGAUAUUAAGGGAACUAGCCUCUGAGAGUAACGGGCAGAGGGAAGAGCCUUUGAGAGUCGCGAGGGAAGAGCGAUGAUAUUAGGGAGCGAGCCUUUGGGAGUCGCGAGGGAAUAGAGAAGUUUUGCGGAUGUUAUUGAGGGCACAUAAGAGCAUUACCACACGCUCCAGCCCCACUCCGAAUCCACCGUACCUGUAAACAUGCAGCCACUCGUCAACUCAACUCAUAGUAGGAACCCAACUCGAUUGAUCAGUUUGUGGUUACCUGAAUGCAUCGAUGUACGUGGAUAUUGUCUUGACAUCAAUGCCACAUUCUCUUGCUCGCUUCUCCAAGAGUUCUGGAUCAUGGAUACGUUGAGCUCCUGACAUGAUCUCCUCUCCUAUAAGACAUAAAGCUCAAAAUAAAAUAUGGGCCGUGAAUCCCACAUCCAAGAGAGAAAGAAGUUGGGCCUAAAAUAAAAUAGGGAAAGGGGGUCCAUAAGGGCCCAAUAUGAGCCCAUUAUUACCAAUCCGAAACCAAAAUGGAAAUUUUCCGGUUCUCUUUCUUUCUUUCUCUCUUUCUCUCUGACUCUGUGCCAGAGGAGUUACUGCGUGUCUUUGAUUUCCCAGAAGAAGCGUUGAAUCUUUUUUUUCGUUUUUUCCGAUUCCAUUUUUGGGAUCCUUUUUCGUCUUCUUCUCUUUUGGAUCCAUUCCUUCUCUCUACCCAUUUUUUCUUUUACUCGUUGUUGUUCCUUCUUCAAGGUAACCUUUUUUUCUCAGCAAAAUUCCCGAGAAUAAAAACAAGGUUUUUUCCCCCUCAUUUUCAACACCUUAUGAUUAUCCCUGUAAAAUGUGAGGUUUUUGCUCUAUUUUUGCAAUAUGGGUCUGUGAGAAUUGUGAAUUUUGUUUUAUCAUCAUCGUUUUGUGUUUGUGUUUGUGUUUUGUGUGUGAUCUUACAUUUGAUGAUGUGAUCUCUCCAUGUAACUUUGGAAUUCUGUUUUUUUAGUUGGUUUCUAUUACAAUGCUCUGUUUGCUUUAAAGAUAUAUCACAAUCUCUCUUCUUUCUCUCUAGCGAUAUGGUGUGGGGGGGUUCUUCUUCACUUGGGUUUAGUUUUUGAGGUGAAAUUUUGGUGUCUAUGAUUCUCUCUGUUACAAAGAUGUUUAAUUAUCUCUUUAGAAAAAUCCCUGUAUGGCCUACCUUCAUCUGAAAAGAUUACAUAUUUCACGCAGAUAUUGUAUUACCUGCAGAGGUCAUUUACUCAAUUCAUCUUUUAAUGUGAGCCCUAAGGACAAGACUGAGGAUUUCUAUCAGUGUUUUAAGUUUGCACUUUGUGUGAUCAAAGUGAUGAGUAUUUUGUUGGUUGAAUUGGGCCCGCCGCUUGUCUUUUCUGUCUCAAUUCUGUUUCUCCUUAUGAUAAAACCACAAUAUUUCUCUGCUUUCUUAUUGGAGGCUUUCCAUGCCUUUGUGAUUUCUCAAUAGUUUGUAUCUACCGACUUUAAAGUUAGAUUCUCAUGAUGAGCUUGUAUAAACUAAAGUCGCCUUUACUUGUUCUAUAUAGGCCUAUGUGAGCUUGUGUAACCAGAUUCUGUAGGAGGUGUCAAAAGGGCCAGAUCCAGCUUUCACAAGAGGUAACUUGUCUUACUUUUGGAUCCAGAAUGCGUUUAUGUGCUGAUACCUUUGCUUGUGUUAGAUUUUCUUACGGUGGUUGAGAGCUUAAAGUUUUGAAAUUUAGUCAACUUUGCUGCACAGAACCUUCUAGGAAGCUACCUCAAGGACACAGGUGAUCUUAAAGAUUCUCUUAUUUCACCUAUUCUUAACUCUUAGAUCUCAACCUUUCCUGUUUCUCAAGUGUCCUUUGCCAACUCUACUUAUUCUUGUAUUCCUUCUUCCUUGCUUUGACACUUUGUUUUGUUCUUAACCUUGUAGACAGGCUUACAAGCCAGUGGUAAAGACAUGUUUCUGUAGAAGGGGUAUUCUCGAGCAUAAAAAGGAGAUGGCUUUCUACUCUGAAGAUGACAAGAGCGAAGACUACCUCUUUAAGAUCGUUCUAAUCGGUGAUUCUGCAGUCGGGAAAUCAAAUUUGCUUGCCAGAUUUGCGAGAGAUGAGUUCUAUCCCAAUUCAAAGUCGACAAUUGGAGUGGAGUUUCAGACACAGAAGAUGGAUAUCAACGGAAAGGAGAUCAAAGCACAGAUAUGGGACACAGCAGGUCAAGAACGUUUCAGAGCCGUCACUUCUGCAUAUUACCGAGGUGCAGUUGGAGCUCUUCUGGUCUACGACAUCAGCAGACGGCAGACUUUCCACAGCAUUGGUAGAUGGCUCAACGAGCUACACAGUAAGAAUCCACACCAAAUAAAGCUCUUUCUUUCUUAUCUCAUGUCCUGCCAAACAAUUCUCUCAAUACGAAAUGGUUAUAAUGAAAUGUUUCAGCGCACUCUGAUAUGAACGUUGUGACGAUCCUGGUGGGCAACAAGUCGGAUCUGAAGGACUUGAGAGAGGUCUCCACAGCGGAAGGGAAGGCAUUGGCUGAGGCACAAGGGCUUUUCUUCAUGGAAACAUCGGCUUUGGACUCAUCAAACGUGGCAGCUGCAUUUGAAACGGUUGUGAAGGAGAUAUACAACAUACUGAGCAGGAAAGUGAUGAGCUCACAGGAGCUAAACAAGCAAGAUCCUGCUUCACUCAGCAAUGGCAAGAAAGUUGUGAUUCCGUCAGAUGGGCAGGGGGAGUCCAAGAAAGGUGGAUGCUGUUCUUCUUGAUGGUAACUGAAAAUGUAGAGAGCUUAAAAAGGAAGAUUAUUUAUAAUCUUGUUUGAUUGUUUAUUUUGUCCACGCUGCCAUGAAUGUUGAAAUUUGAGAUGGGCGGUGUCGUGGUUUGGUGUGGAAGUGUUUAGGUGUAGCAAUCUGUAAAUUUUCUAUUGCAGAAGCUUUUAUGAAACUCGCACACUACUUACUACUCUCUAUAAAGUUUGCUCAUGAUAAUGAUGGUCAGUCUUCUGUUAACUUGUUAUACAUCACAUCCAAAUCUUGAUACAUACAUAACACAUCUUGCUAUUAGAAAUGAUUUAAUCUCUAAAUAAUAAUGCUAUUCCAGUGAAGCAAUUGUCAUCGGGAAGAGGAUCAAAUCUGUGGAAUUAGAUUUUAAUAAAAGAUAGAGAAAUAAAUGUGUGUGAGCAAAUGAAGUUGAAGUGCAAAGAUCCACACGUGCAGUGCAGUUGUUUGUGGAAGUAAAAUUAGAGGGCAUCCAUGUGAGCAGAUUGGCUCCACACAUGAUUGCAUUUAUCGCCGUAGUACGGAUUCCACACACUCUCAAGCAGGACAUUUUCUUAACUAUUUUAUUUUUGUCUUGUGCUCUAAACCAGUUUGUAUUUUGGCUAUAGGUUUGCUUCGGUUUCAUCCGGUCUAAUGAUCUCGGCGAGUCCAUUCAAGACCUGCAAAUAGGAGAAAGGCCAUUUUGACUCUUAAGCGUAUAUAAAACAAGUGAUGUGUUGCCAUUUAGCUUCUGUCGUUUGUCUCUCUUUACCUUUUUUGUCUUAUUGAGGGAUACCUCCAGCAUUUCAAUUUUCUGCAGGAACCAACCCACACAAAUCAGACUACAGAUACUUUUAGAGAUUCUUGAAAGCAAAUAUUAUAGUUCUUGUGAAAUGCGCGCGAUUUCACCUUCUGAGAAUCCAGAAUAGCGGUUAUCAAGGCAGUAUACUUCUCCAUUGUCAUCAUGAUCUUGCCUGAAUUAUCCUGCAUUUCCAUUUACAUCUCAAUUAGCUUCAAAUAUUAAAUUCAUAAUAUCGAGUUUCAUUUACACAACUCUUUUGUACCAUUUGAAUAGCUGAAGCAGUUUCUGAGACGUUAUCCAUAGUUUGCCACUCUGAAUCUGCAUCUCCGGUUGUGGAAGGCUCCUACAGGUAUAGAAGAAGUUAUCCCAAGUUAUACUGGAGAAAACUGUGUAAUAGUACUUGAUGGAAAGUUCUGGCACCAAACCUGGAUCUUUUCUUUGAUGUCUGGAUCAUUCCAAGGUCCUUCAUCGCUAAAAAGACAGCCUCCAUGAUCUGAACAAGUGCAAUUUCCUCCAAGAAAUGUCGGCAAGUUGCUGUUUUGUUUUUGUCAUCAGGCACAAACAAUGCUGAGAUUCCAAAGCAAACAAAUACUUUUACCAGUUUACAGCAAAUUGAAUGUACAAAAGGUUUAGACCUUGGAUCUAUUGCUUCAAGUAGCUCUCCAAGGUAGUUAGGUCCUAGUACCUUAAAAACAAACAUAAAUCUUGUUAAAGAACUUGUGACUAAACCAAAAAUAGAAAGAAAGCAUUCAAUUAGCAUAUUCUUACCUGAACUUUAGCCAAUGUCCGAGCAUCAAGAAAGGUCUUGAGUGCGAGCCACAACAUCCGGAAUCCGGAACUGGCAUUGACAACAAACAGGCGAUGCAAAGUCUAGAACCGAAACCAAUCAGAUUUGCAAGCAUUGUUGAUGAAGCUAGUAAUGAAUCUGGAAAAAAAAGAAAUCCACCUACCUCAGGGUAGUAGUUGCUGUCUAUCUUUUGAAUUUCCAUAAAGAGUGAUCUCGCAGUUUUUGAGAAAUUUGACAUUCCCUUUAUCAAAAACAAUAGAUUAGCCGACACAAACAAUAAAAGUCAUAUAAAAAAGGCGACAUCUUACCACUCCAGAGACAUCCAAAAUGGUAGUGGUAGACGAAACAUGCUUCUCUGAAGCAAUAGAACAAGCGGGAUAUCUCGAGGUCAGCGUUUUCUCUUGUUCUUGAAUAUGGUACUUAACAUAUCUCUCAAGUGUGGUUGCUUUAAGAAACGCAUUAAGGUCAACCAUACCGAGUCGCUCAAUGUAGAUUGGCCUACCACUUUUGUCUACCUUAUGAAAGCCGUGAGGGUAAUGUUUCUUCACUUCACUGUACUCCUCAAACUUAAACUUCUGUCCAACAUUAUUAUAAGAUAUAAAUCUAGUUAGUUAACAGACCGAACCAAAGAAAACCAAAAAAGAAGUGCUCUCCUUUUGUUGUUUUUUACCUUAGAGAUCAAAUCAACUUUAGAAUCCACUCGCCACUUGAUACAAUUGAGAAACGCAUCUUUGGAUUUCUCCAGAUCAAACUCCCUCAUUUUCAGAAACCUGAUUGAUUGAUGAAAUAAUAUGAGCAAGAUUUUGGGUUUUAUAGGACGAAAUGAAGAAAUUUGAAAAUAAAAACCUGAGAAGUGUGUAGUGAUCUCCAUGAUUUGCAGGUAAGUGACCAUGGAGGAGAAGCAAGUUACGAAACGCUUCAACCAUAUCGUCAUUGGUUGGUAAGUGUUCAUCUUUGUUCAAGGAAUCGGAUUGCAUAGAGUCUUCAGAACCAACAGAGAUGCGUAUAUCUCUGUAACCCUCCAUCUCUGGUUCUUGCAUCGUUCUUGGGGGGCUCUGUUUUCAAAAAUUCAAAAGAAACUUAUAAGGAAAGGAGAGAACUUUAUGAAUUGAUGAAGUAAUGAGCAAGUUAACAAGAAAAAAAGGAGAGAAUCGAAUAAUUGAUUUCUCUCCGCGCGGGAAAACCGAAAGAGAGAAGAAUAACGGUAUUUUUAUCUCUUUGCCUUGUCUUUACGGCGUCGUUUCCGGAAACUAGGAAGGCCCACUAACAGAUUUUGUAAGAUUAAAUGGGCCUACCGUAACUAACUUUAUGAUGAUGCUUUUGGGGCGCAUCUCUGAAUUGCACAGGUUUGGUUUAUACAUUCUUCUAUAAAGUCAUUUAAUUUUUUUUUCAAGUACAAAACAUUUAUGUAUACAUCUCCUUUAUGAACGCCAGAAUUUGUUGUUUUACUAAAGACAAAGAGGUCGAUUGGUAACGACUGUUAUUUGUGGCUGUAGAGACUUUAACUUUAAAAUUUUGGCUACAGAGAAUUUGGCUGUAGAUGCUUUUGCUAUAAAAACUUUUACUGUUAAAAUCUAAUUGGCAAUGAACCGCUUUUAAAGUUAUGUAUGUUAUUUUUAUUAUUAUUAUUUUAUAUUUCUAAUAAAUAUACAUUAUAUCGUAAAUGAAUUUAUAAAAUAAAAGUAUUAUUGAAAUGGAUCUUAAAAGAACAAGAAAAAAAAGAGAGUAAUUAAUUUAUAAAAAUAAAAUAUAUAAAAUAUAUUAUAAACUUGUGAAAAGGUUUUAAAUGUAAUGGGGAUAUGAAAAAUAAAUCUUUUUAAUUGAUUAAAUUUAAAGUCAUGUUUUUGACGCUUUAAGAAAAAUGAGAAAACAAAGAAGGAAAAAAAAAAGUGACUUUUAAUGCUUUAAAAAAAAAUAAAAGCAAAAAAUGUUGAUUGGCAAAUUAAUUACUGUUAAGGCUUUAAAACCAUUUUAAAGCCUUAAAAGUCAUCACCAAUCGCCCUCAAAGUCAUUGUUGUGAUUUGUGAACAUAUAGGAUAAUGUGAAAACAAGGUUGGCUCCCCAUGACCAUGAGAUGAGUGAGCCACCAUCAAAAAGAUUCCAAACCUUCCCUUUAGGCACUCAGGGUCAGGGGUAGUUUAGUUAGUAAGUGACAUCCAUUUCUUUUUUAUUUAUUCUUUUUGGUAAUUUGGUUGUAAUUUUUUUUCUUUCUAGAUUAGUAUUUUUGAUUUUACAUAUUUUCAAAACACUUUUGAUGAGUAUCUGACUAUAUGUUACAUGACAAUUGGUAUGUUUAUCUUUUUGGGUUUAGUGAUUGCAUACAAUAGUGAACACAAAUAGUUUGUGAUAAAAAAAGAAAAAAAAUCUUACCAAAAAAGAAACAAACAAAUUAAGAAAAAGCUCAACUCCUUGAUGUAGUUUUUUUUUUUUUUUUUUUUUAUAAACCCUAUCGGCUGAUCCGGUCAGCCCCGGUAGAAACGCAGUGAAGUGCUUCAGAGUGGACUUCUCCCCGAAGGGCCACCACACUGUCUAUCCCGAGUUUGGAAUGCUUUCCGACUAAUGCCAGGGGGUAGUCAGGCCGCCUGCAUUUCUGACUACCAGGUAAACCAACUGGGCCUUGGCCCAAUUGACAGACUUCCCACACAACCAUGAUUUUUGUUUCCAGGGUGGAUCGAACCUGGGUUAGUUCUUUCCAAGCUUUCCCCAAUUCUCCCUUACCACUGGACCACGGCUGUGCGGGCUCCUUGAUGUAGUUUUGCCAAAUAGUUUUUUUCCCCAUGUAAAUAUUCAUCUUAUUAGGAACUUUUAGUAGUAUGUUUUUUUAGCAUUUGAAUUGCUUUGUGAAAUGUAACGCAAGAUCGGAUAUAUCAAAAGAGUCUAUAUGGUUCCCCUUUGGAUUUUACGUACAACAAAAAAAAGGUUACAACAAUCUCUAACGUUCAAAAUAUAAAUAGAUAGGGUACUAGUAGUAGUAGUAGGAUUGACGAAUGAUGAGUGAGUGAGUGAGUGAGUGCUACUUUUCAAAAGAGGAGGACGUAGGGACCAAACUGAGGUUCACGUGAUGCUUAUAAGCAGAAGAAUUCGAAGCACUAUCUCAUAAAUUACUUACCCACCUUUUGUGUUUCACCCAUUUUGCUUUCUCUCUCGUUUCAUUUUCGUUUUAAUUUCCAAUUCUCCUCAACACGACCGUUUUAACUGUCCACAUUAUAAUCCCAUUUAACUACAUCUCCAAAUUAUAUAUAUAAUGUGUAAUGCCAAGAUAUAUAAAAAUACGAACGAGACGCAGAGAAAGAGUGUGGGUUCCUCAUGCUUGCUUAAUUGAGCAUGCUUCCAACAAUCUUAUCGUGAUUAUGGGCAUCCCAAUAUACAUUAAUAUUUUAGCUAUAUAUAUGUAUAGACUACCAAUAAAAAAUAAAUAUAGAUCAGUAGAAUUAUAAAAUCAUGGGCUCCUAUUUAUUAUUAACAUUAAUGCUAUAUACUAAUUUUGACACCAAAUAAAAAUAAAAAUGCUAUAUUCUUAUUGGCUCGAAUCUGUAAUAAAGACAAACCCUAAUUUCAAGACCUGAAAUAAUUAAUCCAAACACGUUACUCCAAACAGAAAAAAAAUAACAGCGACCUAACACGAUAAUAGGCAGUGUGCUACUUUUCUAUUAAAAAUAAAAUAAAAGCUAACUCAUAUGAAGAAAGUAAAAAACAAUUAAGGACUCAAUUUCUUGGUGUAAAACAGUAAAAGCUAAGACAUAUGAAGACAAAAAAACUUAUAUAGAUUGUUGUUGUGUGCAUGUGUCUUUGCCUUUUUGUUGCCUUCAUCAAACUUCACCACAAAAAUAUGACCGUUACGACUGAAACGUACUACAAGCUUAAUUAGGACCACUACAAGAUAAACAAGUACACACAUAUAUAUAAAACCAUCGAUCUUCUCCUUAUUUACAAUUGCUCCGACCGUUUCCUUCCCCACUCUCCGAUGGCGCAACUCACUAAUAAUUCCUUUAAUUGUCUUUUUUCUAUUUCUCUCAGCUUGUUAUUGUUAUUCCACUGCUUAUGUUUUCGUUUUUCGUUGGUUGCAGCUUGUUCAAACUCCACCGAAGAUCAGCAGAUUCAACACCACCACCACCGGAAAUGGGUUGGUCCUUCCGGUCACAAAGUCAUCACCGUCUCCCUUAACGGCCACGCUCAGUUUCGCUCUGUCCAAGACGCCGUGGAUUCCAUUCCUAAGAACAAUAACAUGAGUAUUGUUAUCAAGAUUGCUCCCGGACUGUACCGGUAAUUAGUUAAUUCUCUUUUUUUUUUUCCUCUCUAGCUAGUUUCAUGCACACAUGCAAAUUAACUUAAUACAUUUUGUUUCAUGUGGUGGUCAGAGAGAAAGUGGUGGUUCCAGCGACAAAACCGUACAUAACGUUCAAAGGAGCCGGUCGGGACGUGACGGCUAUAGAGUGGCACGACCGUGCGUCGGACCGUGGUCCUGAUGGUCAACAGUUACGUACCUAUCAAACUGCUUCAGUCACCGUCUACGCUAAUUAUUUCUCCGCUAGAAACAUUAGCUUUACGGUACUCUAUUUAUUUCUAACGCGAUUAAUAGAAAAAUUAACUUUCAUUAAAAAUGUGAGUCUUUUUUUAUUGGUUGAAAAUAUCCGAGUCUUUAAUUUUGUUUUUUUUUUUUAAAUGUGAAGAAUACUGCGCCGGCUCCAUUGCCGGGGAUGCAAGGGUGGCAAGCGGUAGCGUUUAGGAUCUCCGGCGACAAAGCUUUCUUUUCCGGCUGUGGGUUUUACGGUGCACAAGACACUUUAUGCGACGACGCUGGCCGUCAUUAUUUCAAGGAGUGUUACAUUGAAGGCUCUAUUGACUUUAUCUUCGGUAACGGCCGCUCCAUGUAUAAAGUAAGGACUCCUAAUAAUUACCAAAAACAGACUAAUCUUCUUGGGACUUGUAAUAUAAAUAUAAUGCAUGAAUGAGAAUGUCUUAAAUAAAGCAACUAACUAACUAAGAUGAGUACUAUCAACUAUGUCUAAAUUAAUCUUGUUGGUUGAAGGAUUGUGAGUUGCAUUCGAUAGCGUCAAGAUUCGGGUCGAUAGCAGCGCACGGGAGGACAUGCCCGGAGGAGAAGACGGGUUUUGCGUUCGUGGGUUGUCGGGUAACGGGUACGGGUCCGUUGUACGUGGGGCGUGCCAUGGGACAAUACUCACGUAUCGUCUACGCAUACACCUACUUCGAUGCUCUCGUCGCUCAUGGAGGCUGGGACGAUUGGGACCACAAAUCCAACAAAAGCAAGUACGUCAUUAUUAUUAUUAUAGUCAUACUCAUUAAAUAAAUAAAUGAGAUAUGAUUUAGAGUUGUUAAUCCGAAGAAAUGAAAUAAAAAUGUUGGGAAAUUAGGACGGCGUUUUUCGGAGUGUACAAUUGCUACGGGCCAGGAGCAGCCGCGACGAGAGGCGUGUCGUGGGCGAGAGCGUUGGACUAUGACUCCGCUCAUCCGUUUAUUGCUAAGAGCUUUGUUAAUGGGAGACAUUGGAUCGCUCCUCGAGAUGCCUAACCAAACACCAAAACUUCUUCAAAAGAAGUUGGUUUUCCUUCUUUAAUUAUUAUUAUUUAUUUGAUUGUUUUCUUCUUUUAGCGAUUUGUUUAUUCCUUGAUAUAUAUAUAUAUAUAUAUAUAGUAGAAUUGCAUCUUCUUCAAUAAAUAAAAAAGCAAUACGUGAAAAAUUGGUCAAAUUUCGACCUUAUUAUUAUAUAUUGAGCAAAAAGUACAGUUUUGCAACGUAACUCUCCCGAAGACAACUUUUGGUUCCAUUCUCAAAACCCAAAUGAAGCAAAGAAUCAUCUAUACAAACUACCAUUAUAUAUUGCCUCCCCCUGAAGAAGACGAAGGAGGCGUGAAUUCCAAGCUCCAUGUUUCCCUCGUGGCUUAGUUUCUGUGUGUGACAACUUUCCUACCUGUGACAGUAACCAAAAAAUUUGGGAAAUUUCCAGUUCCCCAUGAGUCGGUGACUUAGAGUUCCACUUCCUGAAGCUCCUCUCCUAAGCUGCUGCUGCUACUGUUGAGUAGGAUUGGCUUGAAGGUUGAUGGACUAGUCGGAGGCGUAAACGAAGUGUUGAAGUUUCCACUCCAUGAGGCUGUUCUUCUGGAAGCAGGAGCCGGAUGAUCCCCGUUGACACUUAUUCCAAAUCCAUUUCUGUUGAUGUUAUCCAUACUUGGAUAUCUCUGCAUAAUCAUUGGUGGUGGAGCCCCUGAAGAGGCUACUACUUCAUCUGCUGAGUUCUCCUCCUGUCUGGCGUCAGCAGCAGCUGCGUCCAUUACCUGGUCGUUUGUACACGAUGCAGGUGCUGGAACAAAGAAUUUUGUUUUUGCUGGGAUUGGUGGUUUUGCAGUUUGUAAGGAAGGUGACUGAUACAUGGUCUGAGAGUUUCCACGGCCUGGAUUAUAGGUGUCAACAUAUCUGCACAAAAAGAGAGUAAAGUGAUUAGCUCUAAGCCUGCAUGUUAUCUUCUGUAAAACACUAACUAGACUGCAAACAAUUAUUCUCAAAACUUUACAACUCACAGCUAUAAAACGGUAAUCAUGCUUAUCUCAUACUAAAUGUUGUCAUUUUUUAUACCUUUCCUAGUAGUAAACCAAGUAUGGCUUAUAUUUCCUCCUUAAUGCAAUUCUAAUGUGACAGUACAGUUGCGUUCAUGAUUUAGAAUCCAGGAUAGUCUUCACAGAUUAUUAUUCUAUAGUGCCUCUAGUUAUUUGUUUACCUUGAUCGCACACCCGUACGCCCACGGGCUGAGAAUUGAUUCGAGCCGUGUGAGAUUGGUGGGAUUCCUGAAGAAUUCUCUGACGGGGUUGGAGCGCCAGAACUCCAGUUCCCAUUAGAUGGAUUCAUGACAGAUUUGUUUUCAUAACCCAGUGAGUUGUUUUGGAAUGUGCCUAUUGUUGGAGGAGGAGGUAGUGCAGCUUCCUCAGCUGGGGGUUCAACACCCCUUUCCACCCAUCUCUUUAGUUUAUCGUCAUAGUAGAAUUGAUUUUCUGCGCCCAAUUUUGCCUUAACCCAAAGCAUUAACCAAAACAAUUAGAAUAAGUUCAAGAGAUAUCAUCACGACCAAAACAUUUAGCAGUUACCUCUUUGGAUGGCCGAGCUAGGACCCUCCCUACAGUGUUCAGCAUCCGCAUGCCAAAACCAAAGCGACUAAACCGCGAACCUGCCACAGUCCCAGAUGAUUUCAACUUUGUCACCCCGUCAACAGCCUUUUCUUUCGAGGAAUCAGCCAUAUCCUAGAAAAAGGGCAAACUUUUCUAAAUUCCGUAUUUUAAAAUAUCCUUAGUUGUGAUUAUGGGUUUCUGGUAUAGACCUGUAUUGGCGUCCUACCAAAAUCUGGCUCUGAUACACUCCUAGUGUGUACUGCCAUUCUCCUCCCAUUCCCACCCGACUCAUGUACGGGUUCCAUUGAGGCAGGUGGCAUCAAUGAUGACAUUGUAUUAACCGAUUGACUAUAUGGUAACUUAGUGGCUUCCUGUUGUUGAUAAUACUCACUUCCCUGUACGUUUCCCUUGGUUGAAUGUGGUGCAGGUGGUGGCACCCCAACAGCACGUUUCCCUUGGUCAAAAAAGUUCAGCAGUUUUCCAACAAGUUUUGCCGGGGCCAAAUUCACUGGAUACUCACCCUGAAAUGGUGAUGUACGGUUAAGUUACAUCAAUAAAGAAAAGAACACGCUUUCGAUUAUUCCAAGUCUUAUGGAUGUCCAUUUGGCUGAGUUUCUUCUUUCUUUUUCUUUUUUUCUUUUUUUCACAUUUUAAAUCAAUGGAAAGGAAAACUCACAGAUGUAAGUCUUAUUUUUACAUUUCCAUUUACAGGAAUAGACAACUAACUGUAAACCAACCAGAAAGAAUCAACAGUUCUAUGAAGUUCUAUUGGAACCAGAAGUUGAGUAGGUUGUACCUGUUGGUGGAUUCGGAUUCUCUCUUCAAGAGAUGAAACAAUCUGCUUCCACAUUUCCACUUCAGGUGAUCGGCCAGUCUUGAGGCAUUUUAUUACUGCUUGACAGUACCUGAAUCAGCCACAGCACAAAGGACAUCAGAAAGCCAUUAUACAGUACAGUCUAACAAAGGAGUAGAUGAUGGAAAGUGAAUCUCCUAACUUCAGUGCAGUCGAGAGUUUUCCGACUUCAGCCAGCAUAUGGGCAUAGAUGACUUUAUAUGGUUGAAAUGGUAACAGGGUAUACUGAGAGUUUCCCAACGUCUUAGAGUAUUCAUAUAACUCUGUUCUCUGCCCAUCGAAAGAUCAAUCGACAUGUCAAUAAAUAUUUCAACAAUUAACAAAAAAUGGUGUUCUCCAUUAAAUUCGUUGGGAUCCUCUUCAACACAUUCGAGGAAUAUGGAAGGUAUAUAGGAUAUGCACAUAAUAUUUAUUGACACCACACUGGCUAGUAUCAAUACAUAACAUGACUAGUAUGGUAAUAACUACAAACCACACUGAUCGAAACAAGCACCUGUAUAGCCUCGGGACUUGCAUAUGUUCGAGGAUAUUUCCAGUGAUCCGCUCCGACAAGGCAGAGUCUGGCGCUUUCUGAGUAUGGAUCAAAGUUCUUAUCCGCAAUUAAAUAGCAAAUAUGCGCCGCAAUUAUCUGAUUCAUAAGAGUAGUUCAGAUUUCAUGAUAAAGUUUCCCUGAAGUAAAACAACACAACAAGGGAGAGAACCACCUCGCCCCUUUCUUUCCACAUGCAAUCUCCAAGAUGAGUAAUCACAAGCUCAUCAUCUGUGGUUCUGUUAGCAGUUAUUAUACCCAAGUUCUCUUCCCAACUGUCAAGCAUGCUACUACAUCCAAACUGCAAUACAAGGAAACAAAGAGACAUUAUUCAUAAGCUUCCCCUGGCAGAGCUUCAAAAGCAAAUAAGUAAUUUGAAAUGGAAGAGUGACCUAGUUCCCUAUGGUAGAGAAAUAUUUCUUGUCUUACAGUGUCUUCUCACUGUCUAUACAGUUCCCGACUUUAUCAUAAUACUUAUCUUUAGCAAUGAUUUGGUGGACAUUGAUUGAUUAGCAUCUUAAUAGUGAGAUGAUUGUAUUUAUCUUAUUUUGGAUCUUGGGGUUGACCUAUUAACUAUUUAAUAAGAUCUUAAAAGCAGUAGGGGUAUCAGGCAUGUGUUUGUUGCAUUCUUUGAUGGAACAAGAGAGUUCACCUAUUUGUACUCCUCAGUACAACUUUCAUUGUAAUCUCUACAUCUUGUGUCAACACAAUUCUAUCUUUUUUCUUUAACUCUUUAACCUACUAACACUAUCUUUAAUCUACUAUGCGAAAUAGAUAGUUUAUGUAUUACCUGAGGUUGCUGUGGAGACACAUUUAUGGAACCAGGAAAUGAGAGAUCGCUUGUACUUCCAGUGGAGAACACUUCAGCUGGUUGUCCUGCUACCAGCAGGCACAAUGUCCGUAAGGGUGACCCGGGAACCAGCUGACGAAGGGCCAUUUGUUUUACAGUUUCAACAUAGAACUGCAUUAAUCAAGAUUUGACCAAGUCAGUCAACCAAGCACUACAGUUGAAUGUUUAGUUCUAUAGCGAUCAAAGGAAAAAAACCUGUUGCCCAAUUUGUGCCGCAAUAACAAGCGCUGGUCCCCAUAAAUGACCUUCUUGUGCACAUUGGAGAGCCUCCAUCUUCCUGCCAGAAGCCAGAAGAGUCUGCACCUCUGAAGCAGUUACCUGGGGAAUUCUUCCAAAUGAGUUAAUAAGCAAAAACCCUAACCAUGUUAAUGUUUUAAAACCAUUUUCCUCUAAAGAUAAAAUAUCAGAUAUGAUGUCCAAUACUCACUUGCAUUUGUGAUUCAGGUGGUAAAUGCUGUAAGCAUUGGGUAAUAGGAGCAUAACCAUUUUGUACGCCGUCUUUCUUGGCAAAUGCAAAAAGUUUAGCGACUGCUGCUUCAGCAGAGUCCAUUUCCUGUGUGCAGUGUAUAUACAAGGAUGAGAAAUUGUAAUAGAUAUGGGAAGUUUUCUUGAACUUACAAGACAUCUUAUGAAUUGUUCACCUUUUGUGAUGUAUCAGUACCAAAAGGAGACCGUAGUUUCCCAUAAUACUGACAAGAUAUUCUGAGCAAAGAAAGAAGCAUCUUUAAAAGUUUUCCUCUUGAAAAGUCCAUACAGGAAGAUUCACAAUUCAAAAUUCUCUCAUCAAGCCACUUAUGUAAUUCUUUACUUCCAAUAUUUCCUCCAACCAAGGGACCUGGAAGAGAUUGUUGAUCCAGACAACUGAAGUAACUCAAAGAGUUUUCCUCGAGACUUGAAUAAGAGGCACUCCCAGAAAUAGUUUCGGCCAGGCUCAGGACAGAGAUAGAGCUUCCUCCAGUUCCCUUAUGAGUCAGAUAGAAAAAGGUCAGCAGUGAAAACAUGUUCACAAUACAUUUUAUCUUUCAUACAUGUUCUAUGAUAAGUAUAUAUAUAAGGAAAAAAAGUGAAUUUCCAUAAACUUCCCAGAGUGUAAAUAUAGCCUAAUGAAAAAUAACACUUCGGUUCUAACCUGACUUCCAAAUGAUGAAUUCUGGAGAGAACCAUGGUCAUCCUUCAUAACAAUGAGCUUUCCUCCAAAUCCAAAAUUAACAAGUGCAUGUGGUGGACGCCCAUCAGAUGAUCUUCCUGCACUUGGGGAGAAAAGCUGACUGUUCUGAAAUGACUGUGGAGCGUCAUCUACAUACUUCUGGCUACUAUAGAAAUCAUUCGAGAAACUCAUAGGCCCAUUCUGCGUGACACUAGCCGCAUUCAUAUGCUGAGGGUUGAAGCUCUGAAUACCAAUCUCAUUUGGCGUAAACUGUUCAGCCACAGGUCCUGUACUGUACAAAUGAUUUACUUGGUGGUUACUUUGAAAGUUUGAUGAUGAGGCAGAAGUAACAGCCGCUUCCGCAUUACCUGCAUUUUCUGAUUGCCAAGUAUUUGUAGCCUGCUGAUUGUUGGCAUAGUAAGAUUGGUCCCAAUUUCCAUGUUGGCUCUGAAUAGCAAAGUCUUGCGCUUGAAAUGUCUGAUUUUUAUCGUUAACAUCAUACAUACUACUCUUGCUAUUACUGUGAUACAUAGCUGUAAGAGCAUGACCAUUCUGAACAUGCUGAUCAUGAGCUUGACUAGUUACAGAUGUUUGAGAAGCCUGGUUGUAGCUGUCCAGAGACCGCCAUUCUUGAGCAAUUGUGUCAUAGUACCAUCCCGGAUAUUGGGAGUCAAAGAUCAUGUGUUCUGGAUACCCAUUGUUCACUUGUGAAACCUGGUUCCAAGUAGACACAUUUUCAACUGUGCCAGCCACUGCAGAUGUUGUACUCUGUCUCUGAUAAGCAACAUCCGAGUUAUUAGCAGCAAUAUUUUCCCAGUUACUCGUUGAGUUUUCAUAGCCCUCCUGUGAAUUCGUGCUUGCAUCAUGACCAUCAACUUGAUACCAUUGGCCAGUACUUGCAUCAUAUUUCCAUCCAGGAUAGAGAUUUUCCCAAGAUUGACUAUUAUCCACGUACUGCCCACUUGCAGAAUCCUGAUGCACCUGACCCUGAUGUUGCUCUGAACCUAAACUAUCUCUUGUGUUCUUUGUAUCAUUAGAUUCUAAGUUUGCCGUGGUGGCUACAGCUACUUCUGGCUUUCCCAGUAAAUUUCCUGCAGUCCCAUCCAGCUCAGUGAAGAAAUCAGAGUAUGAACCAAACCCACGACCGUCAUUUACAGAUAAAUCCGCAUCAAACGAACCCCAAUCGAGCUCCUUAACCCCAGGAAUCCCGGGCUCAUCAACUACCUUGCUUUCUUUAGCUGUUUCAGAUAGUGGUAUAUCAGCUAUCUCUGAUCUCAUUCCACAAUCUCUCAGUUCAGUUGCAUCAUCACUGUUGACAAAUUGAACAGCUUCUGUAGGAGCGUCUUUUCCCGGCGGACUACCUGCACCGUCAUUUGCAACAUUGUUUCCCGGGUCUGCUUCAAUCAAUGUGUCAUCUCCAUCACCCACAGGAUCUUUAGCAAUGGAGAGAUUGGAAAAAGCUCUGGCGUCAUCGGAGUCACUUCCGUAGUCGAAUUUCUGAUCUGUGGCAGAGGAUGAAGAAGCCUGAGCUUCGCUGGGAGAAUAGGCAUCAUCAACAAGCUUGUCGAAGAAAUCCUCAUCCGUUUGAUCCUCCAGCAGCAAUUGAGAAGCCGAAGCCAUCAAGCAAGCAGAAAAGAUAUCAAAAUCGGAAUUAAAGAAAUUGCCCUAGCCUCACCGAUCAAAUGCCAAAGGUAGUAGUAGUAGUGCUGUAGAACACAAGGAUCAAGUGGAACAUGAUACCAUAGACUCCGAUCCAAAAAAACUAGAAGAAGAAUUCGUCGACGAAAUCUCCGAUCCACCAAAUAACAGUUAACGUCUAAUGUAAGCCUUUUGUCACCUCACAGCCUUCAACAUUAUUCCCACACAACUGUUUCCCCAAAAAUUGUCUCCCGAUAUGAUUCGAAUUAUGACUUUCCUAUUAACAUUUCUAUAUAUGCAUCCAACAUGGUGGACCGAUCUGUCGGGAGGGAUCAUCAAAUGCAAAGAUCUGUGUCUAAGAAACUUACAGAUUUUUCCGAAAUCUCGUAUCUAGGAAACAGACGACAAUGGCAACGUUUCUUUGUGACGACAGGCAGCUUCAUUGCUACGUCAUAAAACACACACACACAGGUUUGUCUCAGCUACGCUUUAAUUUCUAAUUUCCUUCGUUUCGAUUCGACGAAAGAAUCGGCUAGUUGGAAGAUGCUCACAACGUGUUUGUCGAAAUUCCUGAUCCAGAUGUGAUAUCUCGUCGGAAGGAAGAAGACAUAUAAUUUGAUUUUGUUGUUUUUUUUGUUUUUUUUACGUUGGAGGAAGAAGAACGAGACUUCUCUCUCUGUGUCUGUCUCCACACAGAUCUGAUGAAUCCAACGGUAGCCAUUGGAUCGCUCCUUAACCGACCGGUUCAUCCGUUAAUUUAACUAUAGCUGAGAUCGGACAAUAUGAUUAUACAGGAUAUAAAAUUAUCGGCCCAAUAAUUAAAUACCACCAGCCAACAUAAAACAAAGAUCAAAUGUGUAUAAUUAGCAGGCACGUGCGUGGCCAAGAUGCUCGUGUCGACACCAGCGGUUUUUUCUUUCAAAGUCCGCGUUUCUGGUCCAAAGCUCGCGUUGAACCACUGUAUUUCGGACACUGACGUUUUUUCUUUUUCUUUUUUUUUUUUAAUAAAUUUUGGGAAUAGAUCAAAAUCAAAUUUAACUGUAUUUUUUAUCGAAGUAUAAUUAUUUAAAACCGAACUGUAACAGAAGGAAGAAAUUAUGCUGAAUCCAAAACUUGGUUCAGCCGUUUCAAAUAAUAUAAUGUAAAGUAUAAACCAAACCCAUAUUCAUGAACGAAUAUUAUUGUGCAACUCCUGAAGUCUGUUAACAAAGAAAAAUUAAUGAAUUUUAUAUUUAGAAAAAAAAAAAAAAUAAUAAUACAAACUGCAUAAUACAUAUUGCCUCCUAUCAUUGAUUGACAGAAGCAGAGUAAGUGUUUCAUAUAUUUUGGGUAACUCAUGGAUUAACAUUUGAUUGAUUGAUCGAUCGAUCAUCUACCUGUGACAGUGUCAGUGAGCAAAACUUUUUUCUGUGAUAUUACAUAUUUUUCAACUUACAGUUCCACUUCCUGAAGCUCUUCUCCUAAGCUGCUACUGCUACUAUUGAGUGGGCUUGGUUUGAAUGUUGAUGCACUCGUUGGAGACAUAAACGAGCUGUUGACGCUUCCGCUCCAUGAAGCUGUUCUUCUUGAACCUGCAGCAGGAAGAUCGCCGUUGAGGCUUAUUCCUGAUCCACUUCUUUUUAUGUUGUCUAGACUUGGAAAUCUCUGCAUUGUCAUUGGAGAUGGUGUCGGGGACUGGAAUGACGACUGGCUUGUUGGGGGAGCGCCUUCAGAGCCUACUACUGCUUCAUCUCCUGAGUUCUCCUGCCUGCUUUCAGCACUAACCGAUUCCAUUACCUGGUCGUUGUUUGCAAACGACGCAGGUGCUGCUGGGACAAAGAAUUUUCCUUUUGCAGGAAUUGGCGGUUUAGCAGAUUGUACAGGAGGUGACUGAUACAUGCUCGACGAGUUUCCACGGCCCUGGUUGUAGGUGUCAACGUAUCUGCUCCCCAAAAGAGUAAAAUGAUUAGUCCUAAGCAUGCAGAUUAUCUUACGAGUAAACACUAACAAGGGAACAUUUGAUUUCAGCGGCUUUUCUUAAUAAUCUAUCAGACAAAUCAUAACUAAUUAAUAGCUGCACAACUAGUAACUGCAAUCAAGAAAAAUAUGCCUAUCUCACACGCAGAGGUCUAAUAAAUCAAUGGUCACUCUUAUUAUCUCCUUAAUGCUAUUCUAAUGUGACACUACAUUUACGCUCAUGAUUUAGGAUGUAGGAUUCAGGAGUCGUCACAGAUUAAUAUCUGAAGAAUCAAAAACGGUCUGCUUACCUUGCACGCACACCCAUACGCCCACGAGCUGAAAAUUGGUUUGAGCUCUGUGAGACUGGUGGGAUUCCUGGAGAAUUUUCUGACGGAGUUGGGCUGCCACUACUCCAGCUCCCACUAGACGGAGACAUCUCGUUUUCCAUGUCAGAUUUGUUUUCAUUACCCAAUGAGUUGCUUCGGAAUGCGCCUAACGUUGGAGGAGGAGGUAAUGCAGCUUCCUCAGCUGGAGGUUCCACACCUCUUUCCACCCAUCUCUUUAGAUUAUCAUCAUAGUAGAAUUGAUUCUCUUCACCCAGUUUGGCCUUCACCAAAGCAUGAUUCAAAACAAUUAGAAUAAGUUCAGGAAGACUCAUCACGAUCUUAAUAUUUAGCAAGGUGCACCUCAUUAGAUGACCGAGAUGGUAAGACCCUCCCUACAGUGUUCUUCAGUAUGCCAAUACCAAAGCGGCUAAACCGAGAACUUGAGACACUUCGAGUUGAUUUCACCUGUGUCACCCCAUCAGCAGCUUUUUUUUUUGCGGAGUCAGCCUGAUCCUAUCAGAAAAAGGUAAAUACUUAAGCUAUAAGCAACGUUUUCUAAACCCAUUUAGGUUGGUAUAGUUGGAAAGCAUCCUUAGAACUACUCGAUCCAGAGAAUCAUCUGAGGGUGGGGAGGCGGGGAUAUGGGGUAAUUGCAUUAUGAGGAUAUCUGUUGCCAAUAAAAAAGAAGAAAAAGAAAUGGUUUUCUAGUGAUAUAGACCUGUACUGGCGUCCUACCAAAAUCUGGCUCUGAUACACUUCUAGAAUGUGCAGCCAUUGUCCUCCCGUUCCCACCCCACUCAUGUACGGGUUCAAUUGAAGCAGGUGGUAUCAAUGAUGACAUUGUAUUAGCCGAUUGACUAUAUGGUAACUUAGCCGCUUCCUGCGGUUGAUGUUGAUACUCAUUUAUCUGUAGGUUUCCAGUUGUUGAAUGUGGUGCAGGUGGUGGCAUGCCCCCAACAACACGAUGUGUCGCACUAUCAAUAAAGUUGAGAAAUUUUCCAACAAGUUUUGCUGGGGCCAAAUUCGCAGUAAACCCGCCCUGAAAUAGAAAUGUCCAAUUAGGUCAGAUCAUCAGUUUUAAAAAAAAAGCUUUACAUUGUUCCCAGUUUUAUGGAUAUCCACAAGGUUUGAGUUUCUUUCUUUCAUAUAUUUAAUCAAAGUACACCUCACAGAUGUAAUCUUAUUCUCAGUUGCAACUUUUUAUCUGGCAACUUGCACAUUUCCAUUUAAAGGAAAACGCAGCUAACAGAUGCAAAACACACCGGAAUAAUCAAUUAUUCCAUGAAAUUCUGUUGGAUCCAGAAGUUGUGUAUGUUCUACCUGUUGAUGGAUACGGAUUCUCUCUUCAAGUGAUGAAACAAACUGUUUCAACAUUUCUACUUCAGAUGAUCGACCAGUCUUGAGGCAUUUUAAAACAGCUUGACAGUACCUGAUUCAGCCACAAAAGAACGACAUCAUGGAACCGUAUACAGUCUAACCAAAGAGUAGAUGAUGGAAACUGAAUCUUCUUACUUUUGUGCAGCUGUAAGUUUACCAACUUCAGCCAGCAUAUGGGCAUAUAUGAUUUUAUAUGGUUGAAACGGCAACAGGGUAUACUGAGAGUUUCCCAGCGUCUUAGAGUAUUCAUAUAACUCUGUUCUCUGCCCAUGCACAAACCAACCAAUGAAUCAAGAGAAUGUCAAACAAGAAAAAGAAUAGUGCCCUCCAGGAAUUUCGUCAGAGUUUCUAUCCAACAUGUAAGGAACAUGGAGGGUAUUCAUGAUAUGCUCAAAAUAGAAUCUUCUGUUAACUAAAAUCCAGUGAUAAAAAAUCACCUGUAUAGCCUCGGGACUUGCAUAUGUUCGAGGACAUUUCCAAUGGUCCGCCCCAACAAGGCAGAGUCUGGCGCUUUCUGAGUAAUAAUCAAAUCCCAUAUCCGCGAUUAAAUAGCAAAUAUGUGCCGCAAUUAUCUGAUUCAUAACAGUAAUUCAAAUGUCAUGAUAAAGUCUUCCAUGAAGUAAACAAUACAACAAGGCAGAUAACCACCUCUCCCCGUUCUUUCCAUAUGUUAUCUCCAAGGUUAGUAAUCACAAGCUCAUCAUCUACGGUUCUGUUAGCAGUUAUUAUACCCAAAUUCUCUUCCCAAUUGUCAAGCAUGCACUGCAUGCUACUACUUCCAAUCUGAAUUUCAGGAAAACAAAGAGACAUUAUUAACAAGCUCCCUUUGGCAAAGCUGCAGAAGAAAAUAUGUACUUUAAAAUCUAAGAGUGAACUAGAUCCUUGUAGUAGGAAUUGUCUCUAAGCUACAUUUUCUGUCAACGCAUUUCUAGUUUUUUUUUUCUCUGCACAUUGUCCGGCAGAGAAGAAACAGAAGGUUCAUGAAUUACCUGUGGUUGUUGUUGAGGCACAUUUACAGAGCCAGGAAAAUGGACAUCGCCUGUACUUCCAGUGGAAAACACUUCUUCUGGUCGUCCUGCAAGCAGCAAGCACAAUGUUCGUAAAGGUGACCCUGGUAUCAGAUGGCGAAGAGCCAUUUGUUUCACGGUGUCUACAUAGAACUGCAAUUUAAGACAUCAACCAUGUCAGUCAAACAUCAACGAGAGCGAAAUAUCUUAUCUAUAGCAAUCAAGGGAAAGGUACCUGAUCCCCAAGUUGUGCUGCGAUAACAAGUGCUGGUCCCCAUAAAUGGCCUUCUUGUGCACAUUGUAGAGCCUCCAUUUUUCUACCAGAAGCUAGAAGAUUCUGAACUUCUGAAGCAGUUACCUGGGAAAAUCUUCCACAUGAGUUAAUCAGGAAAAACAAAACUUCUUCGAAAGAGUAUAUGUGAUUUUAUGUCAAAUACUCACUUGCAUUUGUGAUUCAGGUGGUAAAUGCUGCAAGCAUUGGCUAUAAGGAGUAUAACCACCAUUUUGGAUGCCAUCUUUCUUGGCAAAUGCAAAAAUUUUGGCGACUGCUGCUUCUGCAGUAUCUGUCUCCUGUUUCAGUGUAAAUACCAAGAUGAGGAAGUUGCAACCUAUACAAAUGUUUCCUUUUAAGAAAAUAACUGACAAGACAUCUCAUGAAUUGCUCACCUUUUGUGAUGCAUCAGUGCCAAAAGGAGAUCGGAGUUUCCCAUAAUACUGACAAGAUAUUCUGAGCACAGAAAGAAGCAUCUUUAAGAGUUUCCCUCUUGAAAAAUUCAUGUUGGAAGAUUCACAAUUUAAUAGUCUCUCAUCAAUCCACUUAUGCAACUCUUUACUUCCAACAUGUCCUCCUACCAAAGGACCUGGAAGAGAUUGUUGAUGCAGACUACGGAAGUAGCUCAAAGAAUCUUCCCCAGGACUUGAAUAAGAGGCACUCCCAGAAAUAACUUCUGCCAAGUUUAAGACAGAUACGGCGCUUCCCCCAGUUCCCUUUGAAUUCAAAUAGAAAAAAGAUCAGCAGGAAAUUUCAAUUGAGGUUACAAUUGGACAAUAUAUUUCAUACAUGUUUAAUGAUAAGCAUCCAAAAUUAGUGACAGUUCUACGUUAGUUUGCAUAAAAUUCCUAGGGUGUAAAAUAAACUAAGGAAGAUCCACACUUAAGGACUAACCUGACUCCCAAAUGAUGAAUUCUGCAGAGGACCAUUAUUAUCCUUCAUUACAAUGAGCUUCCCACCAAACCCAAAAUUAACAAUUGCAUGUGGUGGACGCCCAUCAGAUGAUCUUCCUGCACUUGGGGAGAAAAGCUGAUUGGUCUGAAAUGACUGUUGAGCAGCAUCUACAGAUUGCUGUCUACUAUAGGAAUGGUUUGAGAAACUCAACGGUCCAUUCUGCGUGACACUAGCCACAUUCAUAUGCUGAGGGAUGAAGCUCUGAGCUCCAACCGCAUUUUGCCUAAGUUCUGCCACAGGUUCUGAACUGUACAAAUUAUCUACAUGCUGGUUUCCUCCUAAGCUUGAUAAUGAAUCAGAAGUUCCAGCCGACUUAGGUUCACCUGCAUUUACUGAUUGCCAAGUGUUUGUUGCCUGCUGAUUGUUGGCAUAGUAAGAUUGGUCCCAACUUCCGUGUUGGCUCUGAAUAGCAAAAUCUUGCACUUUGAAAGUCUGGUUUUUAUCGUCAACAUUAUACAUAUUACUCUCGCUAUUACUUUGAUACAUAGCUGUAAGAGCAUGACCAUUCUGAACAUGCUGAUCAUGAGCUUGACCUGUUACAGAUGUUUGAGAAGCCUGGUUGUAGCUGUCCAGAGACCGCCAUUCUUGAGCAAUUGUGUCAUAGUACCAUCCAGGAUACUGCGCGUCAAAUACCAUGUGUUCUGGAUAUCCAUUGUCCACUUGUGAAACCUGAUUCCAAGUAGACACACUGUCAGUGGUGCCAGCCACUGUAGAUGCUGUACUCUGUUUCAGAUAGGCAACAUCCGAGUUAUCAGUAGCAACGUUUUCCCAGUUACUUGUUGAGUUUAUAUAACUCUCCUGUGAAUUGGCGCUUGCAUCAUGACCAUCAACUUGAUACCAUUGGCCAGUACUUGCAUCAUAUUUCCAUCCAGGAUAUAGAUUUUCCCAAGAUUGAGUGUUAUCUACAUACUGCCCGCUUGCAGAACCGAGGUGCACUUGACCCUGGUGUUGCUCAAACCCUGCCGAAUGAUCUAAACCAACACUUGUGUUCUUUGUAUCAUUAGAUACUAAAUUUCCCCCAGUGGGCACAGCUACCUCCUCCUUUCCCUGUACAUUUCCUGCAGCUCCAUCCAACUCAGUGAAGAAAUCAGAGUAUGAACCAAACCCACGACCAUCAUUGGCAGAUGAAUCCGCAUAAAACGAGCCCCAAUCAACCUCCUUAACCCCAGGACUCCCAGAUCCAUCGACUACCUUGCUUUCUUUUGCUGUAUCAGGUAGUGGGAAAUCAUCAACCUCCGAUCUCACCACAUGAUCCUCCUUUAACUUAUUUGCAUCACUGUUGACAAAUGGAACAGCUUCCGCGGCAAUAGAUGAAGGCUCGUCUUCUGCCACGGAACCACUCGUACCCUCGUUUGCAACAUGGUUCCCCACAACUGCUUCGUUCAAUGCGACAUCUCCACCAGCCAAAAAAUCGUCAGCAACAGAGAGAUUGGCAAAAGCUUUGGCAUCAUCAGAGUCACUAGCGUCGUCGAAUUUCAGCUCCUUAGCAGAGGAUGAAGCGUGAAUGGCGGUGGGAGUAUAGGAAUCAUCAACAAGUUUAUCGAAGAAAUCCUCGUCCGUUUGAUCCUCCAACAAGAAAUCAGGAGUCGAAGCCAUCAACCAAUUGAAAACCGGAACCGAAAUUAAAACCCUAACCCUAAAACCCCACAAAAAUCACAGAAAGAGAUGGAUGGAUCUGCAAGCUUCUCUCGCGAGAGGAUCAACUGCAAAAUCCAAGUUAAGAUUUAACAGAAGAGGAAGAGGAUCAAAUAGAGUAGAGUGGACACAGAACGAUCCAAAAUCUAGAAAGGAUUCGUCGGUGAUCUCCCGGAUCUAAUCUCCGAUUGAAACUCCGAUUAGUCGGUGAAAUCUUCGAGAUCGACUGAGAAAAGGGAUAGAGAGAGAGACUCUUUGAUUUUUUAUUUUUUUGUUUGGAGAUUCUCUUUUCCGAAUUUACCCUUAUAUGUAUAAUUUGUAAACACAAAAUUUAAUUAUGCCAUAGGGACGAUUAUGAUGAGCCCAUAAUGAAUCAUAUAAAAAUGGUAUUUUUUAUUUUGGUAAACGUAAUGACUAUUGACUUUUCGCGUAAUACUAUUGACCGCAUCACUUAUUCAAAAUAUUUCCUAUGUCCAAAAACAGAAAUUAAAAGUUACCUUUUCAUAACGUUUUACCAAUAAUAAAAUAAACAGAGAGUAAAAAAAACAAUAAUAUUGAUUAAAAAAAUGUUACAAACAGACAAAUUAAUAUUGAAUAAAUAGAUCAGAGAAAAUGAUAGAUUGUGUUCCAUUAAUGAUGAUGAUGAUAUAACUAUUAACUAGAGCAUCUCGACUUUAUAUGUUUCUAACUGUUAAAAGGUUUUUUUGGUUUGAAUUAAUUUUACAUUCGAUUCAUAAAAAAAAAAAUAUUCACAGCCAAUUUAACUUAUGUUGUUAAAAUCUAAGUUCACUAACUUUUUACAAAAAAGAAUAAAGUAUAGGUUUAGUGUAUUAUACAUGUUAAUUAACUUUGUAAUCUUUGGCGUUAAAAGAUGAUUAGCUCUAACUCGUGAAGAAAGAAUAACAUAUAUACUAUGAAUGAAACAACAAACUUGUAAUUUCGAUAUGAUUUGUGACUUCACCCAUCAUCUUCUAUCAAUGCUCUGCGAAAAAACAAUAUCAAAACGUACUGAACAUAAAUGUAUGUUGUUUAUAUAUAUAGCUUUCUAUUUUCUCCGUUUUAAAAUGUUCACUAGCAUUUAUAUAUAAACUAAAUCCAACUCUCUACCAUUUCCCAUAAACUGAUAGAAGAGAAGAAGAAGAAGAAGAAGAAGAAGAAGAUGAACAACAAACAAACACGAUCAAGACAAAAGAGGCUUCUUAGAGUCGUACUCACUCUCAAAACUCUCAAUUUCUGAAAACCCUUCUUUGCCUUUAGCCCAUAGCACCAGGUAUAGCCCUACGAACAUCAACACCAUCCCUCCCACACUGUAAGACAAUCAAAAUGUUACCGCUCACUCCGAACCUUUACAAGAUAUGUUUGAAGUGUUGUGUGAAUGUUUUUACCUUCCAAGGCUUACAGACUCUCCUAAUGUAAAAACGGAGAAAGCAACCGAUAUAACGGUAGCGAAUGGACUAAACAUUGAAACCAGAACCGGUCCACGUUUCUUCAUAGCCCAUCCAUUAAAGCUAACACAUGCUCCACUCACUGUCCCUCCCUGCCAUUACAUGCAUGUAGAGAACAAUCAACUUAUAAACCACUUAUGUUACGUGUGUGUAUAACCCAUGAAUGAUCCAUCUGAAACUUUACCAGGACAGAAUAACCAACGAGGUUACUGAAACUAACAAAUGAAGUGGCAAGUACUUUUGCUUUCCGGUUUUGCAAUAGAAGUACCACCGUUGUUAUCAACACUCCUAGUAAUGCCGUUAUUGCACUUAACGAUAUUGGUGCCGGAAACUCUGCUAAUGUCGACGCCUGCAAUAACAGCUUUUGAGAAACUAUACCAAACUGGCUAUGAUGAUUGGUGAACCCAUGUGUAUACUUACCUGAAGGACGACGUUGGUUGAUAAAACAAAGACGGCUCCAAGAAGGUAUAUACAUCCGACGACUCUGUCUCGAUCAAACACAAAUUCUGAAGCAUUCUCUUCUUCGUUAAGUCUUAUCGAAGUGCUGUGCAUUAGGCUCAUUGUUAAAGCGCCAAACACGCACAACAAUGUCCCUAAGAUCUUCAAUUUGCUGUACACGCAUUUCAGGUUCAUCUUCUCUAACCUAUCCAUAAUAUUAGAAGACACACUUAAUGUUGGAAACAAAACGACGAAAGGUUGCAUGUUAAACGCACAAGGGUUUCUUUAGUUAUUCACCCAACCAUCCAAGCUAUGAAAAAAAUGAGACCAGGAGCCAGAUUAGGCAUCGCUGUUGCCAUUGCUGGUGAUGUCAACCUGAUUCCUUCUAGAAACAGAGAUUGAAACAGGGUAACCCUGUUUUUGCAUAUUCACAACAAAGACAUUGCGCCAAAUUCAAACCCACGUUUCAUACUUUUCAAACAAAACAAAAGAGAGUAAAUGGGAGGGAUGAUACUUACCCAGCAAAGGCGAUCAAAACUAGCUUACCAAACAGCCUCAAACUAAGCUCAUUUGGCCAUUGCUUCCUUUAGAACAACAAAAAAAACAAAACAAACCAUUGACUAUGGUGAAAACACAAGUUUUUGUUUGCCUAGGUUAUGUGAAAAGGUCUAUAAGGCAAACCUUUCGAAGAGAAUGGCGAAAGGCGAGAGUAUUACGAAAGUGGCAAAUGUAGAGAAGAUGACAAUGGUGAAAGGGCCGAGACCGAGUGACAUCAAAUAACUCAUGAGCAAAGAAUUGCCAGCGUAUACGAAUUGAACCAUAACUAAACCUCCUACUAUCACCAUCUCUUCUAGCAUCUCCUUCUUCAUCCUCUCCUCUAGGAGAUUGAGCACCGGUCGAUACAAAUUUAAACACAGAAACUGCAUGGCAGGAAAUACAUCAUAUGCAUAACGAGUUUGGAUAAGAUUGCAAUACAUAAAAGAUUAGAACAAAUGAACUAUUCUCUCUAUCUCUCCUUUACCUUCAUCCAGACAAUAUCUUUGGAAUCACAAUCAUCUUCCUUUCUCUCUCCCUUUUACUUUCUCAUUAUAUUCCUCAAGUUUUUGCUUCUGUAAGAAAACAAACCCUCCAUUGUUAUUACACCUAUAUUUGUUACUUUCCAAAUAACUUUCAUGUCUAUUUUAAGCCAUCUUUUAUCCCAACCUUCAAUCUCUUCUGCAGUCUUCCCCAAAUUAAAGAUUCAUUUUUUUUGAAACAAAAUUUACCAAAGAUUUGGACUUUUUGAUUAUAUGAUACAUUCAUGGACCAAUCUGUCUAAAAGGGUAAAUAUCAAAUGCUAAGAUCUGUGUCGAAUAAACUUACAGCUUUUCCGACAAGAAGCCAUGUUAGUUCCACUGCCUCUUCGAACUCAUGGACAACCAUAGUCCCUGCUCUGGCUCGGUUUGAUUCCAUCGGCGUAUUACGCGCUGCCGUUGAAUUGAUCAAUGACGGUGAAAAGCCAGAUGCUUCUCCACUUGUUCACUUGCUCCGCGUCUCCGGAAACUAUGGUUACGUUUCUUUGUGUCAGCAGCUUCAUGGUUACGUCAUCAAACAUGGGUUUGUCUCAGAUACGCGUGUUUCCAAUUCCCUGAUGAGGUCUUACAAGACAAGCGACUCGCUGGAAGAUGCUCACAAACUGUUUGAUGAAAUGCCUGAACCAGAUGUCAUUUCUUGGAACUCUUUGGUUUCUGGUUAUGUUCAAUCGGGAAGGUUCCAGGAAGGACUCUGUUUGUUUCUCGAGCUCCACAGAUCUGAUGUCUUCCCUAACGAAUUCUCUUUUACAGCCGCUUUAGCUGCUUGCUCACGGCUGCGUUUCAUGAGACUUGGAGCAUGCAUCCACUCCAAGAUUGUGAAGCUUGGCAUAGAAAAAGGAAAUGUCGUAGUGGGUAAUUGUCUAAUCGACAUGUACGGUAAAUGUGGUUGUAUGGAUGAUGCAGUCUUGGUAUUCCAACACAUGGAAGAAAAGGACACAGUUUCUUGGAAUGCCAUUGUUGCUUCCUGCUCAAGGAACGAUGAGCUCGAGCUGGGACUUUGGUUUUUCCACCAAAUGCCAAAUCCAGACACUGUAACGUACAACGAGAUCAUUGAUGCUUUCGUCAAGUCCAGAGAUUUCAAUAAUGCCUUUGAGGUUCUAUUAGAUAUGCCAAACCCUAAUUCAUCGUCAUGGAACACAAUAUUGACCGGUUAUGUCAACAGUGAGCAAUCAGGAGAAGCUACUGAGUUUUUCACAAAAAUGCAUUCGUCCGGAGUCAGAUUGGAUGAGUACAGCUUGUCAGUAGUUCUAGCUUCCAUCGCUACUCUCGCUGUGGUUCCAUGGGGAAGUCUUAUCCAUUCUUGUGCCCUCAAGCUUGGCCUAGACUCUCGAGUUGUUGUUGCAAGUGCUCUUGUAGACAUGUAUUCCAAAUGCGGCAUGUUGAAGGAUGCUGAGGUGAUUUUUUGGACUAUGCCUAGAAAGAAUCUAAUUGCAUGGAACGCAAUGAUCUCUGCAUAUGCUCGUAAUGGUGAUUCAACCGGGGCAAUCAAGCUCUUUAACCGAUUGAAACAAGAAAGAUUCAUGAAACCUGAUCGGUUCACAUUCUUGAAUCUCUUAGCUGUUUGCUCUCAUUGCGAAGUUCCAAUGGAAGUCACGCUUGGCUACUUUGAGAUGAUGGUCAACGAGUAUGGGAUAAAACCAAGCGUAGAGCAUUGCUGCUCUCUUAUCAGAGCUAUGGGGAAGAGAGGAGAGGUUUGGCAGGCAAAAAUGGUAAUUCAACAAUUCGGUUUUGGGUAUGAUGGUGUGACUUGGAGGGCAUUGCUUGGUGCCUGUGGUGUUCGAAAGGAUCUGAAAGCUGCAAAAGUAGUCGCCGCAAAGAUGAUAGAGUUAGGGGAUGCUGAUGAAGACGAGUAUGUAUACAUAGUGAUGUCGAAUCUUUAUGCUUACCAUGAGAGAUGGAGAGAAGUUAGUCAAAUUAGGAAGAUAAUGAGAGACAAGGGGAUUAAGAAAGAAGUCGGCUCUAGUUGGAUUCAAGGACAAAAUGUAGCAAUACAGCUUUAGAAUCCUUUAAGUUUGAGAUUUUGGUUAUUUAAACAUAAUGUUAAACUAGCCUUGGAAUCAAACAUGAGGCCAGAAUCUGGGAGAUGAAUCGAGUAAAAAGUUGAAAUUGCAUUACAUUUUUUUCUUCAUUAAUCAAAGAACAUAAGUUUGGAGUAACAAACAAAGAACUUGUCUUUAAGUUUACGAGAAGAACUUCCCUCCCUCAAUAGUAAUACUCUUCAUGAAUGUAUCAGGUCACCUUGGGACUGAAAGGCCCAUCUCUACAACAGUAAGCAGAAAGAGAAAUAAAGAUUAGGACAGAAACUGAUAUUUACAAAGAAGAGAGAAAGAUAGAUGCUUUUGGCUUAUUGAUUUGGUGGUAAGAAUCUUGGAAAAUGUUACAGCAGAUCAGACCAACAGUAAACUAGUCAAGCCAUAUCAUCUAGAAUAGCUUCCUAAAAUCUAAAUUAUCACCAAAGCAUUGUUGACAGAGCCCACCUUUAAAAACAACUGCAAAUACGUCUCACGUGCCAUCGAUUCCAUCUGGGACAAAGAGCACUUUUACAAAUUACUACAGAAUCUUUGCCACUCUUACACACAGAUCAUGAACUAACUUCCCUAGACUGGCAUCCAUAGAAAAGAAAAGCAAGAAACAAAAUGACAAUCUUAAAUUCCACGUAUUCCAGGAUUUAUCCUACAGCUUGUAUUCCAAUAUUUCAUAUGGAUUACUAGAACUCAAAAAAGGUUCGUACUUGAUAAAGAUGCAAGGAUCCCACAUGGUAACGGUGAAAUUAUGUGCCUGCAUGAAUCAAGUACUCAUAAUUAGACGGACACAAUGGCACUAAAGCUCAAAACUCUAUCACAACUCUAGGCACUAAUUAACUCAAUUAAUAUAGUUUUACUAGGGUCAGUCCUGUUGUUAUGAGUCAAACAUUAAUAUCCACACUAAAAUAAUACAACUGUUUCCCAAAGCAAAAAAGUCAUAUAACAUAAACAAGGAAGAAGCAUGCAACAAAAAUACACUCAUAGAACUUGCAACAUAUCAUGUAAGCAAUCAUAAAAAAAUUACCAUAUAUAUAUAUAUAUAUAAUCCUUAUUCUCACAGCAGUCUAACGUCCUCACAUGUAAAGGACUUGUGAAGGUUUAAGCUUUCUAAGUCUAACCAACAACACUGACUGAUAAGACCAAAGGGCCCUGUAAUAACUAUGGACGAUGUGCAAUACCAUGAAAGGAAUGAACUUUAAUGUGAGCUCAGUCAUUUAAGUAGAGAAAUCAAGACUAGUGCAACAUAGAAUUACAAAAUGUAAAGACACAAAGGAAGAAUCAUCAAAUGUAGAGAAGAAAGCAAAUAAAUAAAUAAAAAGCUACUCACAAGAAAGAAAGCAGAAAAGAGAAUUAGAGGUCGGGAGAGGUGCAGCAGAGAGUACCCUGAGAGAGAGCUCGGCUGCUUCUGGAAGUUGUGCUAAGGCAAGACGUCAACCGAGCAGCCGCUACUGUGCUGUGAAGUGGUAACAAAGACUGAACACAACCAAGCUCAGAUGGGCACCUACAUCAUCAAACAUUAAAUUCAUCAAAUGAAACCCUAAAGCGAAGAAUUAGGAACAUUACAGAUCAAUGAAAUGACAAAAUGGGAGUGACAUUUUUGACCGAGUAAAAACGAAAUUAGGCGAUAGAGUUCAUAAAAUAGAGACCUCGAGAAAGAGAAGCGUGGAAGAGGAGAAGCAGCGGGUUUAGACGGGAUACGAAAUCCGGCGGAUGAAGCAGCCGGUGAAGAUCCUGUGCCAACAGGGGAAUUACGAAGCGAAGAUCUGAUGGCCGAUCUGAGAGACGAGACGGAGGAUCUGCUCAUGAUUCUAGAAGCCAUUGCACGAAGUAUAAGAUAGAAGCCGGGAAAAAAAAAAAAACGAAGGGAGAUCGAACUUCCUCCACAGAGGUUUUAUAGGGUUUUAAGGAAGGACGGAGUAACGAAGAAGACGCCGGAGGAUAAUAAAUAAAUAUCGCUGUGUUUUUUGUUGGGUUUGGAAAAUCUUUCAAAAAUUUUAUGGGCUUAGGCCCAUAUAUUGAUAAACAGGUCCACAUAAUCUAAAUCUUUGAGACUAGUGAGAGAAUACUACGUCUACGUACGUGCCAGCCAAACUUCUACAUAUCUCAUUCUCCUAAAUACAGAAUAUGAUAAAGAAGUAAUAUAUAUAUGUGUCAUCCGUGCCUAAACCUUUUCACUAAAUUAACUAUUGAUUAAUCACUCUUUUGAUGACCAAUCCAAAAUAAUAACAUAUAAGGUGUGGGAUAGGAAUUGGGACGGCUAAAAACAAAUGAAAAAGGCAAUAAAUCACUUAAGAAAGAUAAUUUAAAUUGCCAUCAUAUCAUAUUAUCAUGGUGGAGCUGGAAUUAACACCUCCUCCUAUCAAUAUUGUAUUCAGAAUCAUACACUUUUCGGCUAAAUGAAACAAUUUCUAUACUUCUAUUAUCACUAAGUUUUUAUAAAUCACCUUUUCUCAAUGUGUAGUGUAUUAUGGGCAAAUCACAUAAUACCACGUUUUAAUUCUCUCUUCUUCUUCUUUUUUUUUUCUUUAAAUAAAAAAGGAUUAACGUAUAUGAUGAAUUCGUGAAGCCCUUCUAACAAAAGAAAGUUUAAACAAAGUUAAUCAACGCAAGAUUGUAGUUUUUAUCUUCUUCACUUAAAAAUAUCUCAUAAUUUAACUAAAGGAAGAAGAUAACCUCGAGAUAGUAUAAUUCUAUGAGUAUAUGUAACAUUUCAAUUCUAAAGUCAUAAUCGUAGGUAGCUAGUUAAAACUUGAUUUUCCUUUUUUAUUAUCUUAGUGAAAUAGUAUUCUAAAUCCACCAACUCUUAAGAAACAAAAAAAAAAACAAAAAACAAAUUGGAUUUAACAAUAUAGUAUAACCCCUAAUAAUAUUUUAACACUUUCCUACUUAUCUAAUCCAAUACGAAAAUUUUAAAAACAACAAAGACUAGUAAACACAAUAAGACCAUUAUCAUUAUUGGUGUCACACAACAUAUUUAAUUUAAAUGCGGGAAUAUCAAAGUGCCAACAGAAGAUUCUUAUCCUUACAUGUUUUUAAAUCCCAACAUUAGUUGUCACUAAUCUUUAGCAUGUUUUAAAAACAUUUGCUAAUCUUCGAUUAAUCAAUUGAGAGGCGGUUUGGGCGGCACCCAAUAAUGAUCUGCCACGUACUAUGUGCCCCAUCGUUGUCGUCUCCUCUUCGCUAUAUAAAACAAGAGCCCAUACAAAGCCCAAAAUAACAGAGAAAGAAGAAAGAGCUAAACCAGAACCAAAAGUUUUUUCAAAAAAAAAUGGUGAAGAUCGAAGUUGGAAGUGUGGGUGACUCAUUCAGCGUGGCAUCUCUAAAAGCUUACUUGUCUGAGUUUAUAGCAACUCUUCUCUUCGUAUUCGCUGGCGUUGGCUCUGCUAUUGCCUUUGACAAGCUAACCUCUGAUGGAGCCUUAGACCCAGCUGGUCUUGUAGCCAUCGCUAUUGCUCACGCUUUUGCUCUCUUUGUCGGAGUUUCCAUUGCUGCUAACAUCUCCGGUGGUCACCUUAACCCAGCUGUCACUCUUGGCCUUGCCAUCGGCGGAAACAUUACACUCAUCACAGGUUUCUUCUACUGGAUUGCUCAAUGUCUUGGUUCCAUCGUCGCUUGUCUUCUCCUCGUCUUCGUUACCAAUGGCAAGGUACGUAUACUAGUAGCUUACGAGCGGUUAUUCUGGUUUGCUUCGGUUUGCAUCAUGAAUAUCAGUUUUUUAGGUUACAAUAUUUAGGUUUUUUUGUUGUUUGUUGCUUACGUUAUCUAGCUCGAUCGUAACAUUUUCUUACCGAAACAGAACAUGCUUCGGUUUGCAUCAUGAAUAUCAAAUGAUUUGUUUCCCGGUUUGAUGCAUGCAGAGCGUACCAACCCACGGAGUCGCAGCCGGUUUAGGAGCGGUGGAAGGUAUCGUGAUGGAGAUCAUUGUGACCUUUGCUUUGGUCUACACCGUUUACGCAACCGCAGCUGACCCAAAGAAAGGAUCGCUUGGAACCAUCGCACCGAUCGCUAUUGGUUUCAUCGUUGGUGCCAACAUCCUCGCUGCUGGUCCAUUCAGUGGUGGCUCCAUGAACCCAGCUAGGUCGUUCGGACCAGCUGUUGUCAGUGGAGACUUGUCACAGAUUUGGAUCUAUUGGGUUGGACCACUCGUCGGUGGUGCACUUGCCGGACUCAUCUAUGGUGACGUCUUCAUUGGUUCUUACGAAGCUGUAGAAACCCGUGAGAUCCGAGUGUAAUUAUAAACGGGUUUUGUGAUUGUUUGAUGUUUGCUUUUGUUUGGUUGGUUUGAUGUUUUGUUUGGUUCUUUUAUGUUUGGUGUUCAGUUUCUUCCAAGAUUGUAUGUUAGAGAAACCAAAGAAAAACAAAGUCAUGUCUUGUUAAUAAGAAAAUGUAUAUAUUCCACCACUUGAUGGGUUUUUUUCUUUUCUUUAUAAUAUGGUUUUGUAUAACGUGACAAGUAAAAACAAUGAUAGCAGUAUAGAAGGUAAAAGAACAAACCAAUAGCCGAAGGCCAUUCGAAUUUUUGAAAAAUGAACUCGUGGGGAGUAUCUUUAUAGGAAUACCAAAAGUGUUAUGACUUUGUGUAAACUACAAUUAUAACAGAAACUGGUCGGGAGAGUCACGAACUCUGUUAAAGUUGUUCAGUCAAAUCUUCUCAAACUCAAAAAGACAAGACAAAGGCACAGCUUCUGGCUCUUAAACCAAUGAAAAUGUCCCCACAAUAUCCUACCCCUUCUGUCUUAUUAUGCAUAUUAAAAGUUCCAUGGUUUCUCUAAUCUAUAUUUUGUGUCCAUUUGAUGAGACAUUUCCUGAAUACAUGGACUCUGCACAAAGCACAAUUGCAUUGAUUUGUGUUCUCUCCGUCUCUCCCAACCUUCUUGCCUUACUUAUAUCAGAACGUGGGGACUUCACUAGUGUGUUCGAUAAGAUUUGAACAAUUCCAAGUUAUUAAAGAAAAGAGUUAGUGUUUGCUUACUGCUGAUCUUCUCUCUCUCACGAACUUGAGUCAACAUUAACCUUCAUAGUGUAAAGUUCUUUCUUUCGCCAUCUUGGAUUUUCUUUGACUCUGAGAAGGAAAUGGAAGGUGCGUUUUAUUCAGAUUGGAAUGAUACAUCUUCAUCGUUAUUCGGAUCAGAGAAUCUGGAGGAAGACUUGGAGGAGGGAAUUGUGAGAUCUGAAGAUGUAUUCUCUCAGAUUCCUCAGCCUCAGACACCAAAGGAGCCAAUGAAGUUCCUGUCCAGAUCAUGGAGUCUAUCUGCUUCUGAAAUCUCCAAAGCUUUGGCGCAGAAACAGAGACAACAGCGAGUUUCUGUGUCCCAGAACAGUCCUAGAGUCUUCUCCCAAGAUGUUUCUGCAGAUCCACUAAUGGUAUGAUCCCUUCCAGCUGAUGCUCAUAAUUUUGUAGUUUUCCUGAGUAUUCUUGAUACUGUUUCAGCCAGACACUUUCACUGGUUAUUGAAUUCUGAUAUUUUUUUUUAUGAUUCUCUGGUAUUUGCAGGCAGAGAAGAUCAUGAAAUCAGCUGGGGCACGCAGAUCAGGAAGAUUAUCAAAGUGGUUUCACCACAAACAACACACCAACCAAAGCAACAUGAGGAUUCUAAAGAAAAAAGAUAAAGCGCGGGUGGAGAAUGCCCAUGUUCAAUCAGCUGUGUCCGUUGCUGCUCUGGCAGCUGGGUUAGCGGCUGUGACCUCUGAUGAAAGCUGCAACAAAGAGUCAAGCUCCACGAUGGCACUGGCUCUUGCCUCAGCAACAGAGCUACUGGCUUCGCACUGCAUUGAAAUGGCUGAACAAGCAGGUGCCGAUCACAACUGUGUUGUUUCCAAGGUUAGGUCUUCUGUUGAUAUCCACAGCCCUGGAGAUCUCAUGACUCUCACAGCGGCGGCUGCAACUGGUAAGAGUAUUGUUAAAAAAUUGGUGUUGAGGCUAUGGCUGGUUUAGUAAGAUGGCUUUUAAUCUGAGUUUGUGGAAAAAUGAAUCAGCAUUGAGAGGAGAAGCGGCUUUGAAGGUGAGGCAGCCAAAGGAAGCAAGGAAAAAUGCAACUAUCACACCUUGUGAGAGGAGCUUCUCAGACUCUCACUCGCUUGUAAAUUGUCAAUUUAGAGUGAAAGAACCAAAUUUUCCUCUAGAGGGCGAACUGGAGCAAUGUGCACGAAAUGGUAAACUAUUCUUCUCAAAUUCUGCCUGAUUCAAGACUAGUUCCACUAGUUAAGAUGCUUAUAAUACUGAACUUUAUCAGCAGGAGUACAGCGAAUAAAGCGAGCCUGUGUCUAUAUCAACAAGAAGUCUCAGGUACUUAAGCAGUCUGGAUUUAAUCUGUAAGAGGCGCAAAUUUAUUUGCUUAUCUAUACUAGUUACUUAACCUUUAUGAAUUCCUCAGGUCAUGAUCCAACUCAAAAGCAAACACGUUGGAGGGGCAUUCUCCAAGAAUAUCAAAUGUAAGCAUUAUCUAUUCUUUCAAGAGUUAGGAAAAUUACCUGUAACAGGAAGUCUGAAGCUUGUUAUUGCUUUUGAAGGUGUUGUUUAUGGAGUCUGCGACGAGAUAUCUGCAUGGCCUUACAGGAAAGAGAGGGAAAAUUCCGAAGAAGUCUAUUUUGGUCUGAAAACAGGGCAGGGUCUUUUAGAGUUUAAGUGUAAGAGUAAGAUUGAGAAGCAGAGGUGGGUUGCUGGGAUUCAGUCUAGUCUCCGGAAAGCAACAUGCCUCGAGGCUGCCAAAUGCUCUCUGGAAUCUCUGAGUCUCAGCGAUCGCAUGCGAUAGGGAAUCCUGUAUAUACUUACUAUACCCAAAAUUUUCUGCUGCAUAUGAGUCAUCAAUCUUACAGAGAAUUGGUAUAAUACUCUCUUGAAUCGUUCAUAAAAAAAAUCAGAUGAGAAUCAUAGUCAUUGCUUUUGUAACUAGAAUACAACAGUCUUGUUUGUGCCAUAAGGUAAUACCCGUAGUUCGCAGUAUGAUUUUAUAGCUUUCGUGAGGCAUUUUUUCUCUAGGUCCUCGGACUUCUGGACAAAGCUCCUUAGGUUGUCUCGGUGGGAAACACUCUCAACCUGAAAAAGCCAAAUUCAGACAGAGUAAUUAAGAAAGCUGCUGAGUACAUUGAUAAUAACAACCUUCUGAAAAUACUACCAAUUAACUAUAUGGCAAAUGAGUUACCAUUUGUUCAAUGAUAGGCCCUGAAUCCAGUUCCUCGGUAACAAAGUGACUUGUUGCUCCAAUUAAUUUGACACCUGCAUCAAAUGCCUGCAAACAAUCUAGAAUAUAAGUGGCAAAAAACAACAAAAUAACCAAUUACGGGAAGGUAGAGCCAUGGCAAAGCUCAAUGACCUGUUUUGCAGGAUUUCCGCCUUUAAAUGAUGGUAAGAGACCAUGAUGGAUGUUGAUUACAUCCUUUCCAUAACCUUUCAGAAAGUUACCGGACAGAAUCUGCCAAAAGGAAUAUGGUAUGAAUCCAUUUUUUUGUAAGUGAUUCAAGUCUUGGUUAAAAAUAGACAAAGCAACUAAGCUGUAUGCAAUAAUAUUCAUCUGAAGGCUGAACAUAACUGUUACUAAACAUUUGAUCAAAGAAGGAUACAAAAAAUGUUAACCUGCAUGUAUCUUGCAAGAACUAGGAAAUCAGUAUCUCUAACCAAUUCCAAAAUCUCAUCUUCUCUUUUAUUCUCUUUUGUUGUAGCUACAUAAUGAUAUGGGAUGCCAUGCCUCUCAAGAAACCGCAUAAUGUGAGUGUUUGAAGCUCUUUCAUGGUUGCUAAUAACAAAAAAAAAAAAAUUCCAGACCAGCAGCGUAAGUAUUCGAGACACAAGACACUAGACAUACAUGCUGAGCUAGUCAGAUGAAAAUAGGAACUUAUAAGCUCACCUUAUGACACAGGUAAUAUCCACGGGCAGCUUCCCGUCCUGCCAUUUGUGCAACAUUUCGACAAGACAAUGAUCCUGUAUAUAGAAUUACAUACUAUUAUUAAUCAGCAGUGAAUACAAAGAGUAGAAAAAGAAGGAAGUUGCUAACAUUCAAUACCUGUUUAGAGAGUAGAAGAGCUAUCUUAUACUUGGGAUCUAUAGAAGGCACACGCACAACCGAGUUCAAGGCACCAUAUGCUUGCGCAAUGGUUUGAAAAUCUUCAUCCACUUGGUUUCUCGGCCACUUAACCGGAUCAAAGAUAAACUCGCUGUCAAAGAAACCAUUUUUUGUUUUUCAACACAAAACAUAACCUUUCAGUCGAUUCAUCUUCAAAGCUUAGUACUUUAAGUCUAUAGCUUUGAGAAAGUUACUUAAAAAGGAAAGACUUUGAGUAAAAAGGAGCAAAAGUGGUAAUGAAUAAUACAAUACCUGCGGGAGUAGAAGACAUUUUUGUUUUCAGGAACAAAAACAUCGUAGCCAAGUAUGUUACCGCCUUUGGCUGCAAUACAAUCUGAUAGCUUUGCUACAAUCCCAACAGCAUCCUAUCAUUCAACCCCCAAGUAAAAAAAUUAGAUUCAAGAUUCUCCAUCAACAGAACAAAUCCAAAAGGAGUGAAGUACCUGACAAUGGAAGACAUGAACGCCAGGAAUGAGAACAGGGGAGACAGAGGAAUCGAGGGACUCGCCGUGGAAUCGAGACGAUUUGAGAAAUUGAUUUUUAGCGAAUCCACAAGCUCUCUGGGAGAUUCGUCGUAUCAUGAUGGUCUCCCAAACCACUCUCACUCUCCGCUUCACCGCGACGAGAGAGAGAGAGACCAAACCACGGUUCCAAUCCCGAUUCCCCCAAUGGAUCGCCCCACUCAUCCAUUUUUUUUUGUCGUCCCGUAUCUUUCUUUUCUUUUUUAUUUUAAUUUUUUUUAAUUAAUAUAGUAAUUGAGCAAUUAAAGAAAUCUUUUACUCUGGUGAAAAGAAAAUCAGGCAUUUAAUAUAGAAAUCAAGGCCCAAUAAGCACUGGAGGUUUGUUAAAAAAAAUAGAAUACCAAAUUUACAUAUUUUCAAGAAAAUUCAAUUUUAUUUUUUGAACAAAUAAGAUAUUAUUAAUACACAAAAUCAACAUUUUAUAUUUUGAUUAUUCUGAAAACACUUUUAUUAAACUUCCGGCUUAAUUAUAUAAAAUUUUAGGCAUGAAAUAUAUAAAAAAAUAUGUGAAUUAGCUUUGAAAUAUGUCAAUAAUGGUAAAUUAAAUGUUUUUUUUAAGAAAGGAAAAAAAACAGUGGUUUGGUUUAUACUAGGUAAUGUCCCGCGCAUAUGCGCGGGUUGUUGUAUAUUUAUUUAAUUAUUUUAAUUUAUUUAUUAUUUAUAAAAAAUAGAUUAAAUAAAUUUUAAUGCUUAUAACAUUUUUACAUGUUAUUUAUUUAAAUCAUACAAUAGAAGCAUACAUUCAUAUCUUUUGAAUUUAUUCGUUGAUUAAUUGUUGAAUUAAUCAAUUUUGAUAGUAAUUUUCUUUAGUACUUUUAAGUAUUUUUAAUAAAACAAUAAUAUUGUUAAUGAUAAAAAUAGGAAUGAUAUUGGGAGAAUUUAAAAAAAUACCCCUUUAAAAAUAUCACUUUUUAAAUUUACUCCCUUUUCAAACUUUAUCAAAACAACCACUAAAAAUGUUGAAAUUUAUCCAAAUAUGUGUGUAAACUUAUAAAUAUACACAAAAAUUACCUUUAUUUGUGUAUAAAAUUUUAUUUAUUUCAAUGUCUUACAAAUUGGUUUGAAUAUAACAAAAACAAUAUUUUGUUAAAAUAAUUACAUACUUUGAAAAUAAAAUUAAUAUACAUGAAUAUGUGAGAAAGAAAACAUAUAAAGUAAAACAAUGAAAAUGGUUUAUUUAGCUUGAUUUUCUUAUGGUGCGAUGAUCAGAAAUCAAUAUUUUUGAAUCCUAUCGAUAAAGUAAUUUCCUUAUAGCCAUAAAAUAUUAUUAUAUAUAUGUAUUAUACAUUUAAUAGUAUUAAAAACAAUGAAAAAAUGAAGAAGUACAUAAAAUAAAGAAGAAAUAUAAUUGAAAACAAAAGUUUUAACCAAAUAUAUAAUCAUGCUCUUACAAUGAUAUAUUAAUUUAGCUGUCAACCCAUGCAAGAGCAUUAAAAAUUAAACAAAGAAAAUAUUGAGAAUAUCAGAUAUGGUGGAGGAUGAUGUAAAAAUGAGUAUUUAUAGGAUAAAAUAUGAUGUAAGUUACAAUUCUAAAAUAAUUAAAUCAGAGGAGUUAUAAUUAUAAUUUAUAGUGUGUUAAUUGAAGUUAAAUGGAGGAAACAAAUAGUCAAUUGAAACGUUAUAUAAUUUAAGUUACAAUUUAAUAGUAAAGUGUGGAUUUCAAGUAUGAAUUAAAGUAUAUGACUAAAUGUGUUAGAUAUUUGGUUUAAUUAAAAAUAAAUAUUAUAAUUAGAAAAUAAAUGCUAAAUGGACCAAUAAGGAGAGAGUGAAACCUUAAAAAUUCCCAAGAAAUAAUUUUAUUUUUAAUCUCUUUUUAUAUUCCUCUUAAUUUAAGUUAUAUUUCUAGGUUUAAUUAUAUUUUUCAUCCUUGUAGUAUAUAUAAUAGAUAGGAAAUUGAAUAUCAAAAUUGUAUUUUAGAUAGGAAAUCAAGUAUAAAAUUCAAAGUUAAAACAAAUUAUAAUAUUCUUUGUAUUAUUACAUGUUGAAUCACAAAUUAAAUAUAAAGAUCAUUAUUCUUAAAAGAAUGUCUUACAAAUUGGUUUGAUAAUUAUAUAACGAUAAGUUUAUUUUGUUAAAAAAUUACAUACUUUUGAAAAUAAAUUAAAUAUACAUGAAUAUGUGAGAAAAAAACAAACAUCUAAAGUAAAAGAAUGAAGAUGGUUUCUUUAUCUUGAUUUUCUUAUAACCAUAAAAUAUUAUUAUACAUAUGUAUUACAUUUAAAAAUAUAAAAAACAAUGAAGACAUAAAGAAAUACAUAAAAACAAAAAAUAAAUAAAAUUGAAAACAAAAGUUUAAACUAAAUAAUUAAUCAAACUCUUAUAAUGAUAUUUUAAAUGAGUUUUCACCCCAUGCAAGAACUUAAAAAAAAAACAAAGAGAAUAAUGAAGAUAUGAGAUAUGGUAGAGAAGGAUGUGAGAAUGACUAUUUAUAUGAUAAGAAGUGAUGUAAGUUACAUUUUUAAAAUAAUUAAAUUAGAGGAGUUAUAAUUAUAAUUUAUAGUGUGUUUAAUUGGAAUUCAAUAAAGAAAACCAAUAGUCUUUGGAAAUUUAUAUUAUUUUCAGUUUCAUUUUAGUAGUAAAGUGUGAAUUUAAAGUAUGAAUUAAUGUAUAUGAUUAAAUGUGUUUUUUGGUUAAAAAUAAAUAUUAUAAUUUAAAAAUAAAUACAAAAUGAAACAAUAAAGAGAGUGAAACAUUACUUUUAUAUGUAUGAUCAAUAAGGCUUAUAAAAUUUGUUGUAUGAUAUAUGAUUAAGUCCUUUCAUUUUCUUUGCCAUUUGAUUAUAACUUAUAGUGUAAUUAAAUUUUGUAUUGAAUGAUUGUUAUAAACAUUUAUUUAUUUAUUUAUUUUGUUGAAUUUUAUAUGAUUAAGUCUUUUCAUUUUCUUUGCCAUUUGAUUAUAAUUUAUAGUGUAAUUAAAUUUUGUAUUGAAUGAUUGUCAUAAACAAUUUUUUUUUUAAAAAAAAAAAAAUUAAAACCUUAAAUAUUUUUCCACCAAUAAGGAGAGAGUGGAAACUUACUUUUAUAUAUAUCAUUCCCCACAAUAAAUGGGCCUCAAAAGAUAAGAUUGAAUAAAUUUUAUUAUUUAAUGGAAAUUUUGCUGUGGGAUUACAAAAACACGAUACGAAAGAGAGAGAGAGAGAGAUAGCUCUGAGUUCAAACCCUAGAUUUCGAGAUCGAUCUCUCUGCUUUUCUCGUGAAGACACAGCUUUCAGCUCCUCGAUUUCUAUGUUUAUCUUCUAGAUCCUCCUUUUCACUCUCACCCUAGAUUCAUCUCGGGUUUUUUCCGAUCCUGUUCUACCGGAGCUUGGAGCUACCGGAUCUCAUGGAGUGAAACCUGGUUAUUUCGCGACGUUUUUGUAGCUGUGAAGACCUUCGGAGAGGAGAUUUGGAGACAUCAACGGCGCCAUCACAAGCGAUCUACUCGAUUUUUGAUUCAAUCACGAACGUUCUCUCGUGCUUGAAUCUGUAAGAACUUGUCCAGGAUUUGUAGAUUUGGAUUGGCACGCGUGGAGAGGUUUCUUCUGUGGAGUCGAAUCAGGCGAAGUAAACAUAAUAAAAAAAAUUGAAUUUUUAGGUCUUUUUUUUUUUAAUUCGUUUGUAUUUACUUUUAUGUUUUGGAAAUCAAAAUCUCUGGCCUCGUUUUAUUUUUUUGACCAGAGGCCUUGAUUAGGGUUUUCAAAAUUUAAGUAGAUUUGUGUUGUUGUGUUUGAGUUUGGUGUCAAUUUCUUAUAAUGAUCUUUACAAGUUAAGUAAUACAUAUAUAUGUAUUUUGCUUUUAUAUCAGAUAUACAAAAUUUCUCAAUGGCAAUUUAUUACAAGUUUAAGAGUGCAAGGGAUUAUGAUACCGUUGCCAUGGAUGGUCCUUUUAUAUCAGUCGGUAUUCUCAAAGACAAAAUUUUCGAAACUAAGCAUUUGGGCACUGGUAAAGACCUUGAUAUUGUCGUCUCCAAUGCCCAAACUAACGAAGGUUUGUAUUCUACGUCACAUUUUUGUGUGUGUGUGUGUGUCUCUCUCUCUCUCUUUGAUUGUUCUCUAUAUGUCCGAUGUUAGUUUGCUACCUGAACUUGGAGUUGUUUAUUGUCAGAUUCUUUUAUGGUCUGUUACCAAGUCAAGUGUUUUCGUUUAGUUGCUUUGGUAGUAAUUGGCUAUAUGGUUGUAGCUAUCACAUACUCAACUUACUUACAUUCUCUGUUCUAACUUUGAAUUUACUAGUUAUAUAUAUAUACUAGGGUAGAUUUGUCUUGGUUGAUACUUUUGUGAACUAUUAGGAAACAGUUUGUUGGAAUCUGAUUCCAUAGAUUCUUAGGAAGCUUUAGUAUAAUGUGUCUCGCCAACAUGUUUGCACUCUGUGGCCGUUAUAUGUUCUCUGUUUUGAAUUUUCAGAGUAUCUGGAUGAAGCAAUGUUAAUCCCAAAGAAUACAUCUGUCCUCAUUCGUCGGGUUCCUGGACGCCCUCGCAUCACUGUUAUUACUACCCAAGAGUACUUUCUCAGAUCUUUAGUUUCUAUAUUCUUGGUCUAAUUAAUUAGCUAUCUAUCUUUAACUCGACAAAAUACCAAAAAAACAUUGCAAAAUUACUGCUCCUACUUUAGCUAAACAUAAGUCAAUUGUCUGACUAUUAGAUUUUAAGAAACAUUGGGAUCCUCAUGCGAAAUGAUGCAAAUAUCUUUACUUUGCAGGCCUAGAGUUGAGAAUAAAGUGGAAAACGUUCAGGCUGAAACCACUAAUAUUCCUGUUGCCGAUCCAUCUGCAGCCAAAUAUGUAAGUUAAUUAUAGUGAAUAUUUCUUGGCAUUUGUUGGAAUGCCUGCAACCAGUUUUGAUCCUAAUUUUAAUCCUGAUUCACCCUUUAGCCUGAAGAUGAAUGGGACGAGUUUGGGACUGAUUUAUAUUCGAUUCCUGAUGCCCAAGAGGCCCAGCAUAUUAAGCCAGGUCCUGAUCUUGCACCAGCAGACGAAAAAGUAGAUGAAGAAAGCAAAAUUCAGGCGCUCAUCGACACUCCAGCACUUGACUGGCAACGGUAAGCAAUCUUCCAGAAAUGGUGGAGGUAAAACUGUUGAGUUUGUGUGAAGGUUUAACAGCCUUCUUAAUUUUAUUCAAUGUAACAGACAAGGUCCAGAUACUUUUGGGGCUGGGAGAGGUUACGGAAGGGGUAUGACUGGAAGAAUGAAUGGACGUGGUUUUGGUAAUUUAUACUUCCUUUUAUUCUUUGAUUUUCGUUGAAUUCUGGAAUGUCUGUAUUAACUUCUGUCAAAAGGUCUUAUAAUUUUAUUUUUUAUUUGCAUCAAGUUGCAAAUUACUUAGUUUGGUUUUAUUGGCUUCUAUAGGAAUGGAAAGGAAAACACCUCCUCCGGGAUAUGUCUGCCAUCGUUGCAAUGUCCCUGGUAUGUCAGCUUUGAACAUUAUUAGUUUUCUCUCGCCUUUGUGUAUUGAUAAAUCAUAGAUAAAAAGUGUUAAGAGCUUUCUAUUUACUGUCUCAGGACAUUUUAUUCAGCAUUGCCCCACUAAUGGUGACCCUAACUAUGAUGUUAAGAGAGUUAAACCACCUACCGGUAUCCCCAAGUCCAUGUUGAUGGCAACUCCAGAUGGUUCUUAUUCCUUGCCAAGUGGCGCAGUUGCAGUUCUGAAACCAAAUGAGUACGUUGUGCUGAACUAGUGUGGGGAUGUUGCUAUUGGUACUUCUUCACAUAUAUUAAUUAUAAUUUUAAUGUUUGUUGUGCCUUCAUCAAAUUCAGGGAUGCUUUUGAGAAGGAAAUGGAGGGAUUACCAUCAACAACACGCUCUGUAGGAGAACUUCCGCCUGAAUUAAAAUGCCCAUUAUGCAAAGAAGUAAUGAGAGAUGCUGCGCUUACAAGCAAAUGUUGUUUCAAGAGCUUCUGUGACAAGUGUAAGUUCUUCUUAUGCAUUCUGCUGUUCCACAAAACCCUUUUGUUGAUUGUUGCCAGUUCCAGAUAUACAGAUGUAUCGUUUUUCACUUUUUAUAUGCAAUUCAGGUAUCAGAGAUCACAUUAUUUCAAAGUCAAGGUGUGUUUGUGGAGAAACUGAUGUCCUUGCUGACGAUCUUCUACCAAACAAGACCCUCAGGGAUACGAUAAACCGUAUUUUGGAAGCUGGAAACGAUAGCACUGAGAAUGCUGGCAGCGUAGGCCAUAUCCCAGGUCUGUCAUUAUUUGAAAUUCAUGUGUUUUUGUACUUUGUUUGAUUAGUCCUCACUGCUGAAUUAUGACGGACAUAAUAUAGAUUUGGAGUCUGCUUGCUGUCCAGGUCCGAAGGUUCUAUCUCCUACUACAUCUGUUGCAUCUAAAGGGGAGAAGAAACCAGCACUUAGUAACAAUAACGAUGCUUCAACCAUAAAGCCACCAAUGGAAACUGCAGAGAUCACAAGUGCCCCUCGGGCGUCUGCUGAAGUUAAUGUGGAAAAGCCAGUUGAUGCAUGUGAAAGCACUCAAGGGUCCGUGAUUGUGAAAGAAGCAACUGUUUCAAAGUUGAAUACGCAAGCCCCCAAAGAAGAAGUGCAGCCGCAGGUUGCUGCUGGAGAGCCAGGUAAAAGAAAGAUGUCUUAAUAUUAACUUUUCUGGACUUCGCGAAUGAUUUGGGACUAGUGCAGCUCAGAUUUUCCGUUUCUAAGAUUAAUCAAGAUGGACCACACAUGCAUGAACUUCUUUUUUUCAAUGAGGAAACAAACUCUAGUUGCCAUUCAUCAAUGUAAUAUGUUAUUUUUGUUUUAUACAGGAAAAAAGAAGAAAAAGAAACCUAGAGUGCCUGGGAAUGGUAAAAGCUUUUUUGCUAUGCUGAACGCCAUUCAUUCUCAUUUUCAAAGUCUAUGUGAAUCAAAAGGGAGGUCUAAAAGAUGGUUUAUUUUUUUGUGAAUUAUUGCAGACAUGCAAUGGAAUCCUGUGCCAGAUCUAGCAGGCCCUGACUAUAUGAUGCAAAUGGGACCAGGGCCGCAGUACUUCAAUGGCAUGCAACCAGGCUUCAACGGCGUACAACCAGGCUUCAACGGCGUACAACCAGGCUUCAACGGUGUUCAACCAGGCUUCAAUGGCUUUCACCCUGGCUUCAAUGGGUUUGGAGGGCCUUUUCCAGGCGCAAUGCCUCCAUUUAUGGGUUAUGGAUUAAACCCAAUGGACAUGGGAUUUGGUGGGGGUAUGAACAUGAUGCAUCCAGAUCCAUUCAUGGCACAAGGAUUUGGUUUCCCUAAUAUACCACCACCUCAUAGGUAAACCAACCAACACUCACUUAAUGCUCUCUAUCAGUAAAGCUUUCUCAAUAAUAGUCUCAUGAUUGAAUUAUGUGCGCAUGCGCAGGGAUCUAGCUGAAAUGGGAAACCGCAUGAAUCUCCAACGCGCCAUGAUGGGCAGAGAUGAAGCGGAAGCCCGAAAAGCUGAGAUGUUAAGAAAACGCGAAAACGAGAGACGAACCGAAGGGUAAAAAGAUACACAAACAAACUCUUAUCUUUUACUAGACAUAUUAAGACUGAAGAUAGUAAUUCCAAAAGCUAAACGUGGGCUGUGUGUAUGAAACAGUGGGAAGAUGUUUAGGGAUGGAGAAAAUAGCAGAAUGAUGAUGAACAACAAUGGGACUUCAGCCUCUGCAUCAUCCGUCAACCCUAACAAAUCUGUAUGUCUCCUUUUGUUGUCUCAUCUUCCUCUCUUCUUCUCUCUCUUUACUAGUGUAGCUUCGCCUUUUCAUUUACUAUUGGUUUUUAUUUCUUACGAUCAGAAAAUGGCCUCUAAAUUUCCCCCAUUCAUUUUGCUCAUCAACAACAAAAACACUUUUAGGAAAAAGAAAAAAAAAAACUAGAAUUAUUAUCAGGAAACAAUGAUUUUUUUUUAAUUUCUUUUCAAAAAUGUAAUUUUCUGAAUUAUUUACAAUCUGAACUAUAUAAAAAAAAAAGAAACAAUUAAACAAUAAUGGAGAAAAUAUUAAAAGAAACUUUAAAGUAAAGCCUCGUAUGAUUCGCGAGAGUCAUUGGGCUAUAAAGCCCAAUUAGGUAUUAUUUUGAGGCCCGAGUCCAGUUACAUUUAUAUUAUUGUUUUAAUGUUGGGGUUAACAUAUGUUUUACAGAGACAAGCACCUCCGCCUCCGAAUCACGACUACGACCGUCGGCGGAGACUAUCCCCAGAGCAUCCACCACCGCGUAAAAUCAUCUCCCCGUCGCGCGAUUCCAAGAGAAAAUCUGAUCGUCAUCCCGAAGAAAGAGAUGGGCAACGCGACCGUGAAAGGUCUCGUCAUCAAGACUUAGAACGUGAACACGACCGCACUCGCGACCGUCGCGAUGAAGAAAGAAGCCGUCACCACCGUGGUGAUUCGGAACGCAGCCAGCAUCAGCACCGGAAGAGAUCGGAACCUCGUUCAUCGGAGCCACCAGCGACAAAAGCAGAGAUGAUGAUUGAUAACAAUAGUCACAAGUCAAGCGUGUUCGCUCGUAUAAGCUUUCCGGAGGAAGAAACGUCUUCCGGUAAACGAAGAAAAGUAUCAUCGUCUUCAUCGGCGUCAGUGACGGAUCCGCCAGCAGCCGUCGCGGUGGGAACAUCGGUCCACCGACACAGCAGCCGGAAGGAAGUAGAAGUAGCGGACUAUGAAUCGAGCGACGAAGACAGGCAUUUCAAGAGGAAGCCGUCAAGGUACGAGCGGUCACCACCGGUGGUGGUUGCAGAUGUGAGUGAAGAUAAACAACAUCAUCAUCAUCAUCAUCGAUACUCCUCCAAACGUGGCAAGGGAGAGAGAUCCCGACCUUAGUCUUUUUUUUACGUAUAAUCGGAAGAAAUGAGAAUCUUCUUUACUCUUUGCUGUAUGAACAAAUCAUCAGAGAGUUCUUUUGUCUAUCAUAAAAUGCUUUGUUAAUCUAUUUUUGUAAUGAUUCCAUUGCUUUUAUCUUUCAAAUCUAAUGAUAUGAGAAAUUAUGUCUUCAUUUUCACGAUUGUUUAAUUGAUUAUUCAGCUUGCUUCUAUUUUUGUUUAAGGGACAACAUGAAUUACAGAUUCAAUCGUUGAAUUGUUCACAAUAAUAGGUUGACGAGUUUUUGGAAAAUCAACCACUGCUUCAAUCCAUUUUCUUAGCUAUGGAGUCAAUCUAAUAGCAUAAACCAUUAGAAAGAAACUCUACAAUUUGUUCGAAUUCCUAUUUUCUUAUUUACGUUUUCAGAGCAAUAUCAAAGCAACAACAACACAUGUGUCUGACUGAACCGACUAGUAAAAAACGAAAAUAAAAUGGUUUGAGCUGUGUGAGUGUGUAUCAUUCCUCGUUUUCAAAGUCCCCAGAGCUAAUUUCAACAAUUACAACGUUACUAUUUUUGCUUGACGAAAAAGCGUCUCGAAUUCUUUCUAUCUCUGCUUUCAAACUUCGGUUAAGAUUAACGAUGAUAGAAUCACAGCGCAUGCCAGGAACGCGAAUAUCGCUAUCUGUAUCAACAAUUUUGGAUUUUCUCUCAUGUUUGGCGACGUCACCGACCUGUCACAAAGCUUAUAUUUGUUGUUAAUUGUUACACAAAAUCAGAUUUUGGAUUGGUGGUUGGUUUUUUACCUUGCGAUACGCUGCGAGAGCCGAUGAAAUGGUAAGCUUUGUAUGAAGACAAUGCCUGGCCCCGUUAGAGUCGCCAUUACUACGUUAUCACCCUUUUGUACGUUGAAAGAUUGCAACAUAUUAUUAAACAUAUCAGAAAUCCUGAAUGAAUGACAUACAUUUAAAUGUGAGGGAGUGUGUAAAUUAUAUGUACCCCGAAUACUGCUCGUCUCAAAGGAGCAUUGUAUUUGAUUUGGACAUCAAUUGAGGGAGUGAGAGCAGCAAUGCAAGACACGUCAAUGGUUAGAACUUCUCCUACCUCCAAAACUUUUUGUACAACUAACAUAUGUUUUGGGAUGGUAAUAUCAGUUUCUUUUGGAGGUAAUGAGGCCUAAACAGUAACAUCAUCUCAUUGGGAUAAAACCUCACCUGAGCCACCUGCGAGGAUGAAAGCAAGACCUUGUCCAGAUAGGCGUUGUCUCAGAAAACCCUGCAACAACAAUUUGUGAGUAGAAGCCAGGAAAGAAUUUGUGGGAUUGGUAAGUAUACUAAUGCAAAUUACUGCCCGUCUUACCUCAGCACCAGUGGCAACAAUGUUUCUUGCCCUCUGGUCAACGGAGUUGACAACCUUCACAUCAUGGACGGAACAAAGGAAUGCAUCUGGCUACACAGCAAGAAGACAAGGUUACACAACUCUGUAGGAGCUUGAUCUGUACGAGUAAGAAACUGAGAGUUAAGCGUCCACAUUUAGGAAGAAAGACUCUACCUGGCAUAAUAUCUCACCUCCAAACAUAGCCAAAUCGAUCUACAGGAGAAACAAAACAAACAAGAGAUCACAAAAACAAUCAUGAUUGAGAUCAGAGUGAUACAGAAGACAAUUAAUGUCAACAUGGAAAAGCUAAAAUCACACUAACCGGGAGAAUCCUAGCCAAAUAAGGUGCAGCAAUACCAACAAAUCCAUCGUUUUGUCCAGUAUUCUUAAGAAGUAUGCUGCUUACACUCUUGCCCAAAAUCCACUGCAGAACUCCAGCUUCUUGUUCAGGAGUGUAUGUAUUUUCCAUCUCGAUGGAACCAGACAUGUAGCACAUGGAAGCUACAAGCACCACCAUAACAAAUUAGUUGAAGCAGUCUUACAAAUUUGAAUAGAGAAGUGAAUUAUUAAGCGAAGUACCAGGCUUAGCAAUGACUUUCUCCUCUGACUUUAACAUAAUCUGCCAGCAGAAGACCAAUGGUAAGACAAGUUAAAAAGUAUAUGGCCUUAUCUAAUAGCCACCAAAUGUGAAGAUCAAUCUACCUGAACAACUUGGGAUUCUCCACCCAAAAUCUGGAAAGGUGUAACUGUAUCCUGUUGACUCUGCAAUUAACAUGAUCAACAAAAUUGAUAUCAAUGUCAUAAUCACAUCAUCUCAGAACACAUCUAUACAAAUCUCUGCAAUCACAACAGAUAAAAUGGAAUUCUCUAACUCCUACUUACUACAAUGGACCUCAGAUACUGAGUCAAAAUCAUAGUGACAUGAUUGAAGAGAGAAGUAGUGAACCUGGUAAACAUAAGGCUGAAAUGGAGUUGAGAAGAAAGGUGCGGCCAUGGUGGUGAAGACCGCUGAAGAUCUGCAAGCAAAACCUCUGAAAGUGGGGGAGCUUUUAACCAAAUUCGCGACAGAUCAGCCAAGACUGACGAAUUCUCCGGCCAAUUUCGAAGGUUCGCGUUAUAGAGAAACGAUCAGAUCACGAAGCAAGCCAUAUAAAAUUCGAAAUUGUUGAAAGAGUGGAGAGAGGUGCUCGGAAUUUCUCAUACAGUCGGCGACUCCACGACCAACGACCGAUGAAAUUUUGUUGAUGGCUGGGAUAUUAUUAUUAGAUGACACGUGUAGAUUGAUACGUGGAGAAUUCUUAUUGGAUGUUACAAGUAAAGACACGUCCCCGGCGAAUCAUAAAGACGAUGAUUGAUUCAUUUUGCUUUCAUAUGUAAAUGGGACAUACGUGUAAAUACCCGAAAAACUUGUCCCUGUUUCGUAAUAAGCUUUGCAAUUCCUAUCAAAUCCUCUAUGCAACUUAGAGGGUCUAUUUCCUUAUACUUUAGCAUCCAGACACUACGAAAUCAUUCUAGUUACAAUCCUUUUGAGACCAAGAAACAAGAUAUAGAGGAAUAAAAGCAUCAGACACUUUUUGGACGCCAUGACCCGGAGGUUGACUCGAACCCCGAAUCUUUUCAUUAGCUGCAACACCAUACCACAUACCAUCACCAUCCCUCGCAACAGCAUCUUCGCAGCAUCUCCAGCUCCGCUAAUGCUUCUCACAUCUUCCCCUGAUACGUCAACAUAUGACACCGACUCUGAAUUCUCUUUCUUGUCUUUGUUGGUCUCCGAUUGGUUUAGCCCAAGACGAUCAUUGAGCCGGAUUGAGAUGUUGAUUAGAAGCUUAGCCAUCCACGCAACCUCAUCUUCUGAUAUGGGACGGGUCAUCCAGUCCCCUUUGUACUUCACACUGCCUGCUAUUUGAUUGCCAGCACCACGCGGCUUGAAGAGCUCGUCACGGUUCCUCUGGGGAUGGUCCGGCUCUAGGGAAAAAGCAAUUGGUUUUACAACAUGCCCGCCAAAGAAGUUUGAAACCGCUGAUUUUAGUGAAUCUACACACUUAAGGGCCUCUGUGUUAUUUUUAUCGGAUACAGUUUGCAGUUCGGCUUCUGCCCGUAGUAUGAAUAACUGCAAAUGCAAAGAACAAAACCCUUCAGCACAGUUAACAAGUUUUAAGCUCCACUUGCCCCUGUGAGCUUUAAGGGUUCUCGUGUCGUAUAAAAUAAAGUAGAGUAUCUGAUACAAGAAAAAAUGUGUGUAGCAGUGUAGAUGUGUGCUCAGAGUUUAUAAUGCUCAUCGAUACAACUAAGGCACUGGAAAAAAAAUAUAUCAGAUAACUAGUUCUGAAAUUGUUUUUAUGUGAACAAUUCCUCAAAAAUACAUUCCCAAGUUAAUAGAUAGCUCACAAUUUUUAGAUAUCAUCCAGCAAUAUUUUUAAUCUUCUACUUUCUUAUCCGAAUUUAUCACUACAAUAGAUUAUAGAAGAAAAAUAUUAACCUGAAGCAGUUGUUGUCCGCCAUCUUCACCAUCACUAAAGAGUUUCAAGUCUUUGUUCCAGUUUUCAUGCAAGAAUGAACCAUCAGCGUUGCUCUCACACAACCCAUCUUCCCAAUCCUAAAGUUCCACAAGCAGUUAAACAUGAUUAAUCAGUAUAGAGUGUGCAUAUUUGUGUCGGACUUUACAGUAUUUUGUUAAACUUUUCAAGGGUGUUAUGAUGAAAAAAGCUAAGUUCCCUUUUUCAUUAUGAGAUCCCAGAGAAAAGAUAACAAAUUAAGUUGAGGAGAAAUAUAGGCAUACCUUCAACUGCUCACGAAUAGAUGGAGCAAAUCUCGAGAAUUCGUUCACUUUUGAAUUUCCUGGUCCAGUUUGUUUGGUGUGAUAGGCUUUAUCAAUAUUCUUCAUCAGAAACAAAAGCUCUUUUGACGAAGUCAAUGCACUCAUUACCUAAUUAGAGAGACACAACAGUCACAUUAAGUUAGAAACAGAAGUCUUGCAAUCCAUACUCUAAGAGAUAAACCCAUUGAUUUGAGAAAAAUAGCUUAAACCAGGGAUCUAACCUUCAGAACCAUCUGAGUUAUUAUUUCUGGAUCUGUAUGAAGGAACUUGUGCGCAAAGCCAAUAAAAUGCAUGACCAGAGAACUGUAGUAGAGAUAAUUAGAUAUCACAUAGCUCUGCCACAAAGACGUGUAUCCACAAUCGCGUAAUUCAUAUGACUCUUCCUUUUUCACAUCUUUUAAAGAUCCAUUUAAAGAAGCUUCAAGAUCUGAGAAAUCGUCUAAACUGAUAAUCCAUGGUUCCAGGUACAUAACCCAAAUGGAGAACACCUGAGACGCAUUCUUAAUUGAGCUUCCUAUGGGACAGAACAAGAAACUCCUCAAAAUAUAACGAUAGAGCGGCCUCUGUAAAUGAGUAUUCCAAGAAGUGAGCGGUCUGAGGCUCAAAUUGGCAACAUGGAAUGAUGAUCCUGAAGUCGGAGUCUUCCACCGUGGACUCUCGCCAGACUCAACGUAGUUUUCACUCCCAACACCACUUGUAACCCAGCUCAAAUUCAGAUACUUGACAAGCAACUUCACUACUUCUUCCAACCCACAAGUAGGUGGAAUCUCCUCCACAGCAGAACGGAAAGGAGGAGCCACACCAAAAGAUUUAGCCGUAACAACAGGAAACGGUGAGAAGUCAUUCUCAACCAGCCAAUAAUGCACGAACACAUUUACCAAGAACUCAGCUCUCGUCAUUACUGACCCAUCAUACCCAUGUCCGUAAUGCAAAAGAGAGCUACGAUAAGGCUGGUGUGCAUUUAAGUCGAAAACAGGAACAAAAGCUUUCAGAUAUGAGUAAAGAAGCCUUAAGUAGAUAUUACACUCCAAUUUCUGAUCUGGGUCACGCUUGUUACUCCCUGGAAAACCUUUCAUAUGUGUCCAAUUCUGUAGCCUAAACAUAUUUUUCUUUUGGAUAGGAAUCACAGAUGAAGUUUCAUUGUUGCCUCUACAAACCGGAUAAUAAGAGAGCCAAAACAUGUAAUACUCGAAAACAUUUAGCCUAACUUCAUAAGAUGAACCCCGAAGUGAAUCCUCCUCAAUUUUGUCUUUCAAAAAGGGGCACAGAUUAGAUAACGCACUUCGAUCCUUCUCGCUGGAGAGCAUGAAUCGAGCAUACUCCGGUAAACGUUCCGUCGGGAAAACGUACUUAACAAGAGACAAUUUAUCAACAGCAAAGAUUGAGCUCAUGAGUAUACCACUAGGGGAUAAGAGAGCGAACACUCUUUCCGCUAAAUCCAAAUCGUUAGCCGCCGAGACUACAUCGAUCCAACCGUUCGGCCGUAACGACGGAGACUGUGCCGCGGUUGGGUCGCCGAAGCCGAAGAUCUUACAGAUUAAACUCGGAAAAGUGAUAGAGAAGAAAUGGCGACACUGAUCAGGCGUAUGUGCGUGAAGAAACGAUUCAACGGAAGAGCAAGCAGCGGAGAUGUUCGGCGGCGUGGAAGCUGCGAGUAUAGUCGACGCUAGGUCUUGGGAUUGCGAAAGCGAAUCGACGGUGUACGAGUGUGGAAGCAUCGCUAAUUACGGCGAAGUACACAAAGCUCUGAAGACGAAACUAGGGUUGUUAACGAGAGAGAGAGAGAGAGAGCAAAAGGUAUGCGCCGGAGAAGAAGAAGGGUUUGAAAUGCGAGGGCGACUCAAAUCGCGCCUUGUGAAGGGGAAACACACCAAAAGGGGACAAAAAUAUCAACACGAGGAAGAAAAAGGAGAGCGUUCCGUGCCACGUGGCAUCUCUGUAAAUCGCCGUGGUUACUUUCCAUAACUGUGGACUUUUAUUUUAACCAGAGAGAGUCAAUCGGUGAACGCGGGAACACUCUCGAUACUCAUCGCCCUAAAUUUAACGCUCCUGAUUUUGCCACGUCAUUAAGUUCCUUGAGGCCCAUUUUGUACAAUUUAAGCCCAUCUGGCUUUUGGGAACUUGUUAAUCCUCUCUACACAACACUGAUCUAGAGCAUUGGGCCUCAGGCUUACUCAAAGCAGCGAGCACAAUAUAGAGUCCGGUUUUAAUCGGUUCGGCUUACUUUAAUUUGCAAUCUCAAUCCGGUUAGUUUGGUUAGAGGAUAAACAAAGUAAAACUGUAUUUUAUUUAUUCAAAACUAAUAAAUUCUAGUUUUUAGUACACAUUAAACGAAAAUUAACGCAUCCUAGAGUCAAAAAUAAAAGCAUACAGCAAAAAAAUAAUAAUUUGUUUUUUUUUUUUUUUUUUCUCCCUAAUGAUCAAAGCUGAACUAAAACAUCCUAACCAAGUUAAACAACCUAACAAAGCAAAUCUUAUUUAAGUUACUGUUGUAAACCAAGAACUAACCUUAAACAACCCCAACCCAGAGACGAGAUCUUCCUGCAAUAUUGUCAUUUUUGACAGUCACUUCCAAAAGAUCUUUACAAAGCGUGUAUCACGCUUUUGAUGUCUGAACUAUCAGAGCUAGGGUUUGGGUGAAAUGCUGAUUGUCUUGACGAUGAUCCCCCACCUAGCUUCAGCGAAAGAGACUGAUCGGUUUCUCCAUUCUUGUUGGACUCUGCAAGGCUAAGCUUUGACAUACCGAGAAGCUCAUCAACAUUGAUAGGAGCUUUCGAGUGCACAGCAGUUGGUCUGAGAAUCUCAUGAGUUUCCUCUUUCUUGGGUGGUUCAGGAACGUAACCAGCAGGCCAUAUUGGGAAUGGAAACGGGUAAUAUGGUGAGAAGUAGGUUGGAUAGAUUAUGGGGAAUGAGCCAGGUAGUUGUUGUUGCGGUUGUGGUUGCGGUUGUGUAGUUUCUUCUAGUCUGGAAGCAGAAGAAGAAGCAGCAGCAGCAGCAGUUGCGGCUGGUUCCCCGGUGGUAGAGUUUGUGGAGUCCAUGGAUUCACAUUCUUCAAUUUCCAAGAUUGAUGGAGCUUGAUGGGAGCUAGGAGCAAGUGUCUGAUGAACGGAGUCAGCGCUUUGCAUUUCUGUUUCCACAGGAAUGUUCUCUCCUUCCGGUUCUUGCAAGUCCAUCGGAAUAUCUCCAGCCUACAAGGACAAAUUAGAUGCAUAAGCAGAACAAUCAAGAUCAAAUUUCCAUGACAGCACCAAAAUUUCAAUGCUUAACCAAGGUUAGCUGCAAAAUGGUACCCUAAAGCAUAUCCAUUAGAGCCACAACACAAAAUCCAACUUAUUUGGUAAUACUCUAGAUUCCUAUCGAAAUGUAGAAGACAAGCCAAGUCCCCCCUACGGAUCACUCAAUAUCUAACUACUCUGAUAUCAAAAAACAAAAGAAAAUGUGCAUAAGACGAAUCAAAUAAGUGUUUGUGAAUGAAGAAGGAAUAUACCUCAUCAGGAACCAUAUCAAAGAGACUAGAACGCCUUUUGCGACGAGACACAUUGGAUUGUCUGAUAAAGUACUUCUGAGCAUGGCUAGCAACUUGUGUUGGUGUCCUUGUAGUAACAUAGUUCCUUGAGAUACCUCGCCAAUCACCUUUUCCCAGCUUCUGUAAACCUAAUAAGAACAUCCUGUGUUCCUCCUCUGUCCAUGGAGUUCCUAUAUAAAAAAAAAACAAACCAAAUCAAACACACAAAUACAUAAAACAAUCAAACAAUGCGUUCUAAACCAAAUUGCAUUGUUUAGCCUCACAAAACUUGAUUGGCUAACAAUAAAUACUCUGAUUACAAUAACAAGAUCAAGACUUGUAACAUAAUGCACAAUCAGUGACUAUGAUGCAAAAUAAACUCAUUUCCCCCACGGAUUGAUUGUACGGAUGAUUGAAAUGACUUUCAAAAAUUGGAAUUUGAAAAAGGAAAUUAAAAAAAAAGAAAAAAGAAAAAGAGAAAAAAGGAGAAACCUUUCUUUCUCUCGCGGCUAGAGGAAGAGCCAGCAACGAAAUCCUCGGAAGCAUAACCAUCACCAGGGACAUGGUCAGGGACAUCACCCGGAGAACCCGGAGUAUUAGACCCGGUUCCACCAUGACCAGCUGAUCCGGAACCCGUGUAAUGGCUAAGAUUACCCAUACUUGCACUUUUCCGGAUCGAGCCUUCGGUGAGCCUGACACCAAAGAGCUUCACCCCGCGAUUGGGACAAGUCCGAGAGUUGUGGCCAUUGUGAUUGCAGUGAGAGCAGCGACGAGUCAUACCCGACCCGAUUUAGGCUUUUCCUUCGAAUCGGAUCUGAUCGGAGUCUGAAACGGUCGCGGAUCGGAUCUUAGCUGAUCGCACAAGCACAGAAUCUAAUUGAGAGAGAGAUAGAGAGACAAAGGAGCGGAAGAAAGAAAGACAAUAAUAUCGGUUUAUCUGGUGGUCGGAUAUAUUACUUAAUAUUAAUAAUAAAUUCUUUUCUUUUUUUUCUCUUCUUUGCUCUUCCUCUUCUUCUUCCUCUUCACUCUCUGUUUUAUUUAUUUAUAUAUACAAUCGGAAAAUAUUUUUGGUGAAUCCUGUGUGGAUUUUUUCCUUUUACAUAUUUCACAUUGACUUAUUAGUCAAUGCAACGUGUCUACAUUUGUUGGUUUAUUUUUAGGAAAAAUUAUUGAAUUACUUGAACUAAAUAAGUCCAGUUAUCUAUUACUAUUAAUUACUAUUAAUUAUUAAUGGCUAUUUUUGUAUAAAAUUUUUGAAUGGUUGUAUUUACAGGCUGCUAUCUAAAUUUUCAAAAUUUUAAUUUACUAUAUUAACAAAAAAAAAACAGCUUUUUUUUUUUUAACAUGAUUACAAUUAAUAGUAUCUUAAAUCAAUUAUAUAUUGAUGGAUACAACAAAAUAUAAUAGCUGUAAGUAUGUAACUGAUGCAUACUCUCUUUCUAAAUAGACUAGUUAAUUAUGUUUAAUGCAUUUGUGAUUAUCCUAGUUGUCAUAUGCUGAAUAAAUUAUAAAUUCCCUUAUAUUUUCUGUUUACAUAAGGAUGGAUAUAUAUAUUUUUUUAAACUGAAAUAAGUAUAUAUGUUAUGUACAAUUGCUAAGCACUCAACCAGAAAAAAAAAAGAUUAAUUAACAAUUAGGGUGAAUAAUGUUAGCCACAAAAUAUUAAUCACACUAAAAACAUUUCAAGUGUCUUCACGCGUUCCAUACAUAAGAAUUGACUAGAUUUUUUAGAAGUUACAAACAAAAUAAGUAUGAUGACAUCUGUUGAAUAAACAUAUCAUUAAGUAGAAAAGGAAAGGGGGAAAAAAAGUAAUUCAAAUGUAAACAUCCCCACACACAUAAAGAAAAAAAAAAUAGAUAUUUGUUUUUUUAUAGAUAGAGCCAUAAAACUAUUGGUUAGAUUUUACUUAAUAAUCUUUGGAACUUUAUUUAAAAUAUAUAAUUAUUAGUAAAAUAAGACCCAUGAGUAGGUAAAAUAUGUUAUCUUUAAGUAAGAGCUUUAGUUUCUUGCUAAAGAUUAUUACAAAUGAAAUAUCAUAUACUAAUAAGUGUUUUUUUUUUGGGUUAAAUCGUCAAAUACAUAUUAAAAAGGAAAGAAUCUUAUUCACCAUUUUUAUUACUUUUUUUUUGCAAACUAAGAUUAGCUCAAAUGAACCAUUGUUAUUACAAGAAUCAGAAUUUGUAUUCACCAAAAAGAAAAAGAAAUCAGAAUUUGAUGUUACUACAAUAAGAAAAUAAAAAAGGACGAAGGGUACAAGGAAGAAAGAAAAAACAUUAAUAACAUAUAGAUGAUGACGAAGAUGAUGAUAGUAGUGUAUAGUAGUAGUAGGAGAGGGAAUAAUAAAGUCGAGAGAAAUGAGUGGAUGGGUAUAGUCAUAUAGAUUAGUAGGUCCCACUUUCUCAAAAAAAGCCACGUGGACACGGCGAGAGAACGAACGGCUUAUCCAUAAAAGCAUCAACUAGUUUUUAGUUUAGUUUGGUUUGGUUUGGUCUGGUCUCUCUCUCUCUCUCGGACUCGGGAGAUCGAUCGGUUCAUAUGUUUUAGGAUUCUCUUCACAAAGCUUUUCUCAGCCGUACACGUGUCUUUCUCCCGUCGGUGGCAUAUUCGCAUAUUAUUUCUUCUUCUUUGUCAUCAACUCAUCUUAUAAAAAAAGGCUCAAAUAAAAAUGUUUUAGAACUAUUAUAAUAGUUUGUUUCUUGCUAUUUUUAUCCACUUACUGUAUAUCUAUAUCUACCUUUCUCCAACUUUUAUUUAUAUAUAUAUUUUUUUUUUGCAUGCCCGUGGACUUAUUGUAAAUAUGUAAUAACAUUUUUGACAGAAAGCCAGGAAAUCCUUAUUUCCACUGAGGUCAUAAACGUAGAUCUUGGGCCAACCCAAAUCUCAAGGCCCAAGUAAUUCUGCUUCAAAUCCAAUAAUCUUAUGUAUUGACCUUUCUCUAUCACUCAUGAAAUGUUUUUUGUUUUCGGUGGAAACUGAAAAUUCCCAAAAAAAAAAAAAAAAACAGAAGUGUCACGUUGUAUACGAAAUUUAACGGACUUUUCAAAAUUUGGAAAACAAAGAAACAAAAACAUUUAAUGUAACAUUCGUACAGACAUGACAACAUUAACUAGUCUGGAGAAAAUAAACUAUUUUUGGCCAGUUUUGUAGUAAUUUCACGGAGAAAAACAAAAAAAGAGGAGGGAAAUGGAUAUAGAAAAUUAUAAAUUGUCACAAAGAAAAAAAGAAACAAGAAAAAAUAAAAGAUAACGGAAGUAGUAAAUGCGAUACAACAACCAUAAAGUGAAUGUAAUUGAAUAUAUAUGUUUUGGCAGGCACCCCAAUAUACAUAUCUGAUCAAACCUGGUCCUUUUCUUCUGGCUGGUCUAUAAUAAGCUACAGUGCUCUCAGUUCUCUGCAUUUACUUCUUCAUUCUUUCUUUCUUUCUUUCUCCUCUGCUGCUGCUUUUUGAAUCCUUCUCUCCUUCUUUUUAUCAUUAUUUCUCGCGUUCCAUUUGAGAGCUUUCUUCAUAUUCUUGCUAUAACGUUUUGGCUGAGAUGGUUGGUUUGGAUUUGAAUAAAGCAGAGCAGAGAAUACACACAGAUUAUUCUUGGCAUUGCCUUGAUUCUCAUAAUCAUGGACGGUCUAAAAGGUACUCUCUCCUCUAUCUCUCUUUUGUAGCUUAAUCGUUUGAUUCUCGUUUGUAGAACAGAACUGCUUUCUCAAACUUCUAUACGAUGUAAAACGACAUAGAGACUACAGUGUUUUCAUACUAACGCUUUACAUUUAACUCUGGUUUUAUGAUAUUCCCAGUGCGUCUUCAGAGCGAGAUCUCCACGUUUCUAGUAAUGAAGCCACACAAUGUACUAAUAACAACUUCCCUAGCUAGAAUGCAAGUAAGUAAGAUUGAGAUAUUGUAUCUCAUAUAUAUGACAAUAUUUUUUAUCUCUUGAAGUUGGUCCAAAGACAUCAUCAUCUGCUCAGACAAGAGCAAGCAAGAAACCAAAACCUCUGCAUAAUCGUCAGAUAUUGAUUAGAAACAAUGCCUCUUCUAACGAUAGAGCAUCCUUGGAACGCGAUGUGAGCACCACCUGUAUCUUUUAACAUGCAUCAUUAUAUCAUGAUGUCCCCAUAAGUGAAACUUUAUAAUGUCAAUGGUCUUUGCGAUUUGACUAAACAGGUUGAGCAGCUUCACCUUCGUCUGCAACAAGAGAAAUCUAUGAGAAUAGUGUUAGAGAAAGCAAUGGGACGUGCUUCCAGCAGUUUAUCUCCAGGGCACCGACAUUUUGCUGGUCAGGUAAACACUUGAGAGUACUUAUGCAUUUUAUUUCAGAGUAUAUAGAAAUUUAUGAGACUUUGAGUAUAUAUAUAUGUGAAUUCAGGCCAAGGAACUUAUCACAGAGAUUGAACUGUUGGAAGCAGAGGUUGCGAAUCGCGAGCAUCAUGUGCUCUCUCUGUAUCGGAGUAUCUUUGAACAGACAGUCAGCAGAGCAUCCUCAGAGCAAAGCUCAGUUAUUUCUUCUCCAGCUCAUCGAAUAAAGCAGCCCCCAAGAAAACACCCAAGUGUUAUUUCAAAUGCAUUUUGUUCCUCCAAAAAUUUCCCUCCAAGGCCUUGGCAUGCUCUUGUUACUUUUAAAGAUUCAAGUAGAAAAACAUACAAAGCAGAUCAAUCUUCUCAGUUCCAGAACAAACACUCUGUCUCUUCAACAACAAGUUGCUCAAGUCAAGCAAAAGUAAAUAUUAUGACUUCUUCCUAAAUUAUAAGACUUCUUCUAACUUUUAUAUGUUCUGUUGUUGUUGCUUUUAAUUGUUUCAGUCCCAUUCCAAGGAUUCAGUAACAGAUAAAUCCCCAUCGCAAAGGACUCUAAAGGAUCAUUUGUACCAAUGCCCAAACAAGUUGUCUGAAGAUAUGGUCAAGUGUAUGGCUUCAGUUUACUUCUGGCUCUGCAGCAGUGACAUGUCAGCAGAUCCUGAGAAGAGGAGAAGAUCACCAACCCUAUCAAGAUCGUCGACCAGCAAUGUGAUCAUCCCCAAGAACAUUAUGAAUGAAGACCGAGCUUGGUCCUGCAGAUCCAUGGUGGAAGUCUCUUGGAUCUCAUCAGACAAGAGAAGCUUUUCUCAAGCAUCAUAUGCUAUUAACAACUAUAGGUUAGUCCAACAAUAGUGAUUUUUGUUUUUCCAAAACAAAGAGCAUUUGAUGGUUUAGAUUACAAGAAUAAAGCAUGGUUUCACUCGCAGGCUCCUCGUUGAACAACUGGAGAGAGUUAGCAUAAAUCAAAUGGAAGGCAAUGCAAAGUUAGCAUUUUGGAUCAACAUCUACAAUUCUCUCCUCAUGCAUGUAAGAACAUAUUGAUCUGAUAUAAAAUCCCAUAACCUUUGGUAAUUCAUGAUUCUUCUAUGAGUAUAUAAUUAAUUAAUUAAUUAUAUAUCUUCUCUAGGCAUACUUGGCAUAUGGUGUACCUGCUAAUUCCCUCGGAAGGUUAGCUUUGUUUCACAAGGUACUCUACUUUCAUUUCAACUAGAGGAUGGCCCGUGCUUUCGCACGGAUGAUGUUUUUUAAACUGAAGAUAUAAUUGGAUUUGUAUUAAUAUUUGGUAUUCAAUAGUAUAGGAUAAACAUAAUAGUCUUGUAUAUUUUAAUUUUAAUUCUAUAGAGUUAAAUCGCGUGUUGAUUUGUAUAUUUUAACUGUAUAGAAAGUAAAUAAUAUAUACAAUAAUAAUUAGGUCUGGUUUUAAUAUAAGUACGUAUAUAUUAUAUUUUCCCUAAAACCGUUAAAUUUAUCAAUCACGGACAUUACCUCAACGGUGUAUAAGAAAAUGCAAUCUUUUAAUAUAAUUUACAAAAAUUGUAUAUCGGUUGAAAGAUAACAUAAGUGAUAUAUAACAAUUUCAUAAAUUUGGAUAAUCUAUUUAUGAAUACCUUAUGAAUAAAAUUUAACUAUUGGCAAAAGUAUAUGAUAAACUAAUCUGCUAAAAUGUUAACAAAAAAGGAAAAUAUGAUAAAUAUUGUAAUUGUAAACAAUUUCAAUAUAAAAUUUAAUCUUUAAUCUACUUGAAAUAAGGUAAAUUAAAUGUUUUAAGUUUAAUAAUGUACGAAAUAUUUAAAUUUAGAAAUAUCGACCCCGAUCUGAACUGAUGGAGAUUUUUCNNNNNNNNNNNNNNNNNNNNNNNNNNNNNNNNNNNNNNNNNNNNNNNNNNNNNNNNNNNNNNNNNNNNNNNNNNNNNNNNNNNNNNNNNNNNNNNNNNNNNNNNNNNNNNNNNNNNNNNNNNNNNNNNNNNNNNNNNNNNNNNNNNNUAAAAUUUAGUUUAAAUUAAUUAAAUGCUUACCAAAAUUAAAUUUAUUAUCAUUUUUAUCUAAAAUCGGUUAGUAAAAGAGGUAAUAUUAGUUGAAAUUUAUUUCCUUCCUUUUUCGUUUCUGAAAAAUGAUUUUUUCUUAUAAGUUUUUAAAGAAAAAAUGUUAUCAAUCAAAUUUUUUAUUUCAUAAAAUGUAUAUUAUUUUUAUUCAUGGUUAAAAAAUAUAUUAGUUACAUAAGAUCUUUUAAGAUAUCUUGCAUAUCUUAUGUUUCAAAAAAAUAUUUAAGUAUAUAUUUUUCAAAUUUAUUUUCUCUUUUAUAACAAUGAAAAUAAUUUAAGAGUUACAAUAAAACCACUAAAAUAAAUUUUAAUUUAUUUUAAAUUUUAUUCCUUAGUAGCCUUACAUGCACCUUUUGGUUAUAAAUUUCACAUAUAUUAAUUGAAAACUUUAAAUUAUUCAGGAAAUAAUGAAUACUUAUAUAUAUAUUAUAAAACUUUAAAAGAAAAGGAGUGCUAUUUUUUAAUAAUAAGUAAUUAAAUGUUUUCAAAAUUAAAUUGGAUUAAAACCUUUAAUACGAAGUUUGUGAAUAAAAAAAGAUGCACAAAUAUUAAUUUAAUUUCUUUUGUUUACUUUAAAAAAACGUUUUAAAUAUAAAUGAUUUUAGUUAAAUAGUUUAGGAAAUAUUUAAUUCACGUAUAGGAAUAGUAAUGAAGACAAAAUAUAUUGAGAUUCUUCACCUAAUAAAUUUCCUUAGAUAAAAAUUAUAAUAUCUAUAAAAUCUUUUAGAUAUUUGAAAAUUUAGAUUAACGAUCAAGAUUUAAUCUACAAAUAAACGAUUGCGAUAAAAUCUUAAAUGCAUAUAUAUAUAUAUAUAUACCAUGUAAUUUAGAGGAAAAUUUUUUAAAAGGAAUAUUAACCAUUUUAUUUAACUUUUUUUACAUAUAUGAUGAUAAGAAGUAGGACUAAAUAACCUUCGAAUGCAUACCACGUUUUUUGGAUUUAUUGGGGAGGAUGUUGUUGAUCUUCGUAGUUUUCCCAAAGACCUCAAAAUCUCAAGCUACUACAUCAAAAAAGUAGAUUAUAAUUAGUUGUUUUAUAAAAAUUAAACACAAAAAGUAAAAUAUUAUGAGUAAACAUUGAUUAAAAACGAUAUGAAAGCAUGUGGUGUGAAAAUUUUUAUUAGUUCAUGCUUUGUUUUGUGAGAUAUAUAUUUUGUCUCGCUUUUGAAAUGAAUGUAAACUAAGAAAACAUGGAAUGGUUUAUAUAGGCUGUAAAAAUGGGGUAGUUAAUAUUUUAGAAUAUUUGGUUUGAGAUUUAGUUUUGAAAAGAAAUAACUUUAUUCAAUCUCAAUCACUAAAUUAUCGUGAUUUUAUUGUUAAAUAUUAAAUAUUAUAUCCGAAUAUUCCAUUAUCGUGAUUUUAUUGUUAAAUAUUAAACAUGGAAUGGUUUCUAUUAAAACAAAUAUUAAAAUACUCAAUGUUUAAAAUUUCGAUCAAGAUCUUUAUAAAAUAUUUGAAAUUAAGAAAAUCUUGCCAAUUAAGCUAAAUUUUAGGCAUUGUAUCUUACAAAUAAAGUUAAAUAUCAAACGUAAUAAUUAUCUUUCCUUUAAUAUUGAAAACCAAUUUUUUUUUUUAUCAACUGAAAAAUAAACAAUGGAGAUUAAAUCUCUAAACCCGAUAAACAUAUCCGUUUACUUAGUUAGAUCCGCGUGUUAACCCAGUUAGAAAUGAUAAUUAUUUCAUUUUGAAACUAUAGUGUAAAUUCAUUGUGUAUUUCAGCUUUAAUAGUAUAGAUGCUUCACAUGAAAAUAGAUACAUAUUUGAGCAGAGACUAAUGGGUUUUAUUUGUUGUAGUGCAGUCUGCGUAUAAUAUCGGUGGGCAAAUCAUAAACGCAAACACCAUCGAAUACUCUAUCUUCCGCUUCCAGACUCCAAGGAACGGACGUGUAAGAGUCUUAACUCUUAACUAGCUCCUUAUUUUCAAACACAAAUAUACAAUUUUUUGAAAUCAACCUAUAUUAUACAGUGGCUUGAGACCAUUAUUAACACAGCCUUGAGGAAGAAACCAACCGAAGAUAAAGUAAGCUCAGUGUUCAGCCUUUGCAAACCAGAGCCACUUCUCUGUUUUGCUCUUUGCACUGGUGCUCUCUCUGAUCCAGUGGUAACUUAUUUUUGACUCUAUUACUAAUCCUAUUCACAUACAUAUUCUAAGGUUUGUCAUACUUCAGUCAGAAAUGUCCAUGGCUUUUAAUGAAAACUCAACAUACUUGAAUUGGUUACAGUUGAAAGCCUACACUGCAUCAGACGUUAAAGAGGAAUUAGAAGCUUCUAAAAGAGAGUUUGUGGGAGCAAACGUAACUGUAAAGAUGCAAAAGAAAGUGUUGUUACCUAAGUUAAUAGAAAGGUUUACAAAGGAAGCUUCUCUGAGCUCUAAUGAUUUGAUGAGAUUGUUAAUAGAUAACGCAGACGAAAAGCUUAGGGAGUCGGUACAAAAAUGCGUACAAGGUAAACCAAACAACAAGAAAUCUUCUCAGGUCAUUGAAUGGUUGCCAUACAGUUCAAAGUUCCGUUAUGUUUUCUCAAAGGACUUGAUGGAGAAAAAGCCUUGGUGGACUUAGAAGGAUAUUGCUUGUGUUAUAAGAAGCAUCUAAAUUCCUUUGCAUAUGAUUUUGUUUUGUAUGAUGAUGGUGUAUUAGAAUCGUAAGUUGAUUUAAUCGUUUCCCUAUGUAUAUAAGUAUAAAGCUUGAGUUUAUGAUCGUUGAGACAAUAAAGCUUGUGAUCCUUGUAUAGCAAGUUACAAGACAAAUCCAUACCUGACAAUGACAAGUGAGGGAUAUUUUGCCAAGAGGCAUCUCCUUUCUUCAGAGAGACGCUAUCUUGUUCGCUAAUCAUCUUAAUAACUAGGUAAUCUUUGGCCAACCAUCAGAAGCCAGCUUCCGUGAGUCAUCACGCAAAAACUCUUUGCAAAGUCGUCACCGAGAUGGCGACUUUUGUAGAGCUUUUCUUUCUCUUCGGGAUUGAACAAGAGACAGCAAUUCUCAUCUCUGGGGAAGCUAAUGAUCCAAGGGAUCUGAUUGUUUGGCUGAGAUUGUCUUGAAACUUGAUCGCCAAGAUGAGCAAACGCACUUAGCUCUUGUGAAAUCAGCGAAGCCAAGACCUUCGAAUACCAGUUGCAUGAGAUCCAGAGGAAGGUUCGACCAGCCAUGAGAUUAAGGAGGAGGAAUAAAAGAGGCCCAACAACCUGCAUCUCAUACUUACUUCUCAUUGUAUAAUAGAAAUAAUUGAAUUUAAAAAUAUAUAUACUUUUAAGAAAUAUAUAUUCUUAUGGUGUGAGAGUAGACAUACAGUAAGGAUUUUGUGAUAGCCAAUAGGAGCAAGAUGAUCAUGUAGAGUUAUGAAAGAUGUUAAUUAAAUUUUGUAAGAUUUAGUCCUAAUAAAGAGAGAAAGAGAUGUACUGUAUAUUACUUGAAUGAAGUCGCAUUUGCUAACUUAAGAGAAUGAAGUAGAAGAAAAGACAAUGUUGUUGUUACGGUGAUUGAUUGAUUAAUAAAUAUCAAAAAUCAUAGAAAAAUAUGAGAUAUUUUAGAGGAAAUUAAAAAGCUUAGACCACACAUAGACAUAGGAACAGAAGAGAUCCCCACAUGAGGUCCAGCUAAGGAUAUACAUAGUUGUGAUUUGUGAACCGGAGGUCCACUAUGACCGAUGUUAUCUGUUGGAUUUUGUGGUUUGUAAAUUAAUUUUGAAAAGCCAAAAAGUUUCCUUCCUAUUAUUAAAAAAAGUAAUUGUGAUUUUUCUAUACAGUUGUGUUGUGCAGUUGCAGCACACGUUUCAUACUAACUCAUUCUCAAAAAACAUGUCAUACAGUUUGGGUUUCUUGUUCUUUGUAAAAGCAAUCUUCUUCAUUAUAUUUAUAUCCUUUCGACAGUAGCUGUAGCUGCACCAUCUCUGUUUUCUUGGUUUGUGAUCAUGAUCAUCAAAGGUCUGACUGGAUUUUUAAUGUUUAUAAACUGGUUUCUCAAACUUUUCUCAAAAGGCACCGUCUGAAUUGUGAUCUUCUCUAUCUUCAAGUCUGUUUUCUUGCAUCUAACAAUUCUUGCAGUGUUGUCAAUGUUUGUAAGUUUUUGGUUUGCUCUGUCACACCGAUGUAUGUAUAUAUGGAUCAUACUUGGUUGUCAAAGAAGAUAGCAGUUUUUACAGCAAAUAUUCUUCGGCCAUGUUGUCUCCCAUAUGAUUUCAUCUCAUUAUUCAGUUCAGUAAUUCUUUUCAUGAGUGUUUCUUUUGCUGUUUGCUUUAUGCUCCAGAAAGCUUCUCCCUUAGCCUUUGUAGUCUAAUUUGUGAUGUCUUUGAAUCUCCUCUGUAUUCUGUAUGCAGAAUAUCCCAAGCUGCUUGGGCUGAGUCUUCAUCAGAAACUCUUCCUCCAAAGCAAGGUGAUCUUUGACUUCUAAUUUCUUCCCAUUCUUAUACCGAAUUAAGCAGACAACACACUUCUUGUUUUCAUGUCAAAUAGAAAAUGAGUUUGAUGUCUCAUAUUCAUGUCAUAAUAUAGUUGGUAGUUAGGUUAGACAUAUAUACUAUUUGUUUAGGAAAUUAUUGGUUUUAGUUAGGUUAAGGGAAAAGAAAAGAGUAUAUUAAAAAAUAUGGGAAUAUCAUCAAUGAUGACCUCGUUCGUUCUACAUGUACAGCCAAUGCUGUAAAGAACAAUCAAAGCUAAUAUACACAUGUAUGAAACACAUAUGAUUAAGCAAAACUAGUUCUUUGUCUUGUGUCUAUGUAAAACCGUCUUUCUCCACUUCCCUUAUUUGUUGGUCUUGUUUUGUUAAGUUUUCUGGACUAGUCACUGAACUAGUACACUCUAUUGUUCAGACUGUAUCUUCAAUAUUAUUUUCUUAGCGUUAAACUGCUCACGUGGUCCAGUUAUAUUAUAUGGUCGUAACCAGAUUGAGAAAAUCUUAGCUUCUACCAAAAUUUUGUUCGCAAGCUGUUCAAGAACUGUAGUUUGCACAAAAAAGAACAACUAACGUUCUUGAACAGCUUGCGAAAAUUUUUUUGGUAGAGGCUAAGAUUUUCUCAAUCUGGUUACGACCAUAUAAUAUAAUAGGACCACGUGAGCAGUUUAACGCUGGGAAAAUAAUGUUUGGGGUUAUGAUCCCAAGCACAUCAAGGAAGAUCAUAUCUAUAUUCCGUUGGUGGAGCCAUCAAGGGGAUAUUGGGAGGUCCAACUAAAUAAAAAAAUUUGGUGAACGAAGAUACCAAAAGCUGUGUUCGAGGAUGCACAAUAGUUGUCGAUUCUGGGACAACGGAUAUCGUUGGCCCCUUGGUAAGAGACUUGUGUUUUCAUCAAUAUUAUAUAUUCAGUUUUGUAAUCAUAAUAUUUUAUUUUUUUGGGUAUUUGUAAUUUUGUUUUGACAAUUUUUUUUUUCCUGAAGUAUAUAUAUAAAGAUGGGAGAUAUUGCUACACUCGCUUUGCGAUUAGUAUCAAUGGGGAAUGGUAAGUUGUGAAGUUGUGCGAUCAAUUGAUCUAAUUCCACAAAUUUAAAAAAAAAAAAAAAAAAAAAAAAAAAAAAAAAAAAAAAAAAAAAAAACAAAUAAUUGGAUUCCAAUGUAGGUUACUAGGAGAAGCUUUCAUGCAGGUCUUUUUUGAUUUCGGAGAUGAUGCUAAAGGCCGAAGAAUUGGAUUUGCAAAAUCAGAACCCGAACCUGCAUAGAAUGUGAUGGGAAUAAUUUCACCAAUUAUCCGGUUUAUGGUUUAAUGUUGCUAUUUACUAUUCCGGUUUAGUUAUCUCAAAC
rnacentral:lncRNA from 1 species